AAGAAUAAAAUGGUAGAGAGAAAGUGAGUGGGUAGAGAGAGAGAGGACAAAAUUCUCUCUUCUUUCUCUCGUGCUUCUCUACACCUACCACUGCUCUUACUAGAGAUACAAACUACGGAGAGACAUAGCCUUACUUAUCAUAGGCCGUAGAGAAAGACAAGUGUUACCUUUAAAACGUCACCAACGUUGACUAUUAAGGCAUCAGGAAGGGGUUUAACAGCAAACCAUUUUCCAUCUUUCUUAAUUUGGAGACCAUCCAUCUCAUUGAUUUGGAGGAGGAUGGUGAGUAUGGAGCCAUCAGAAUGAGGCUUAAAGCCGAGAACUUACUCUGGUUGCGGACAAGGAGGAUAAUAAUUCAUCCUUAAUGAUUGCAUCCCGUUUUCAAACAGCUCUUUCAUGUCAUUGGGAUCCAUUCUUAGAGCUUUAGCCAUUAGGUCAAGGAUUUUCAAGGUAAGAUUUUUAAGUUCCGUUAAGUAAACUUCCAAGUCAUCUCCGCAUGCAAAUAAUAAUAUAUAGUCCAGUAAUUAUCAUAAGAUAGAAUAUACUAUAUAAGAAAAGUCUAAAAUUUAAGUAUAGAACCUGAAUGGAAGAGGCAACUUGGGGAACAAGUGGGGUUUCCUCAGAUGGGUUGGGAGAGUGAACAUAGUAAAGCCGUAUCCCCAAUCAAGCUUCUGCUCUUCAGACGUAAUAAAAAGCUGCCCAAAUCCCUCAACAUCUCCUGGCUGCUGCCAAAACUUCUUUUUCUCAUCAAUUGGAAGAUUAAAGAAUUCUUGAAUCUCUGCUUUCACUUUCUCCACCAAUGAACUGCUCACUCCAUGAUUCAUCAACCGCAUAUAUGCAAAUUAAAGCAAGAUGUUCUUUCCAUAUAUACAUGGUUCAUAAAGGAAAUUUUGAAGUUCUGGAAACAAAAUGAUUUUUAUGGAAAAUGCUAAAGAAACGGAGAGCUGAUAAAAUGCUGACAAAAACAACGAUAAAUUAGUCUGUUUAAUGGGUUUACAAUCAAGUGACUAAUCCGGUACUGAUUUACUUUGUUUUUUGUAAACGUUUUGUCUAAUUUUUAUUAUCUGAAUAUCACUGCUAAAUUGUUAUGUACCUGAAAGAAACCCCAGUCUUUACAUGCAUGGUUCAUAUAGGGAACUUAAAGCUCAGGAAGUAAAAUUAUUUUUAUGGAAAAUGUAAAAACACUGAGACCUGAAAAAACGCUAACAAAAGCAAUGAUUUGCAAUCAAUUAAGUAUUUUUAUUAUAUGAAUAUCACUGCUCAAUUAUUAUGUACCUGAAAGAAACCCCACUCUUUACAUGCAUGGUCAAGCUUCUCAAGCUCUGAGUCAUCCCCAGAGAGCAACGUGUGCAUGUCAAUGACUGGAAGUUGUUGUGCUGAAGAAUCGUCGUUGCGAAUCAAGGGAUGGUCUAUCUCAGGGAGAACAUAACGUGGCGGAACAGUUGUCAGUGGCAGAUUAUUUGCCAGCUCCAGAAUCGAAGGCUCCACGAGAGAAUUCCCAAUAACUGUUGCUUUUGCCUCCAUGUUAUAUAGAUUUAGAUUAACUGAUUUCUAGCUAUUACCUUUUUGUUUUCUUCUACUCUUCUGCAGACUUAGCUAGUAUGUGUUUUGACAAGAAACUCAUAUAUAAAUAGUCCUCUAGAUGUACUGUACUGUAACUGGGUGCAGUGAAAUAUUAAUUUUAUCAUGAAAAUUCGAGAGAAUUUUGACUUUUAUUAAAGGACACAAAUCAGUGCAACAUUAACACGAUAAAAUUAAUUUUAUAAUGGAAUUAUUUACACUCUACAUUUAAUUUUGAAUAUCAUUUGAUUUUUUACACUCUAAAUUUAAUUUUGAAUAUCAUUUGAUUUUUUACACUCAGUUAAUAAAUUUUAAAAAUUAAUUUUUAUUCUAUACGUUCUUUUAUAUACCAAAACAGUCUUUUAUUUAUAUAUGAUUAUUAUCUCACCCAAUUUAAUUCUUUAUCAAAGAACUUCAUUCUAAAUAAGUCUAUUAUUGUUAACAAGAUAUUUAAGUCUCUGUUUAACAAAAUAUCACUGUGAUGUCUUUAAAUGAAAUAAUAUAUAUAUAUAUUUUUUUUUAAAAGAGAAUUUUCUCUUAUCUUUACUAGAGAGUUAUAUAUUAGAAUCCAAUUCAUGUUCUUCAUUGAUAAUCUUCAAGCAAUAGUAAUAAGCAACUGAUUUGUUUUUCUUUUUCAUUUUUUUUAAUCGGAACUUACAGUUUUAUUUUUUAUUUUUUAAAACAAAAUAAUGUUACUCGUAAAUUUCUAUUUUUUUUUUUAUUCAGCUUCUAUAGUUGGUAGCUUGUUGGGUAUUUAUGAAACUUCUAAUAUUUUAUGAGGUGUAACUGUAAUUGGAUUACUGGGUUGAGCGUGUGUUAGAUGGUGUUAAGAGUAAUAAUAUUCUAUUAACUUGAAUUGACUUGUUCUUAUUAGUAAAUUAUAUUAGGGUAACUUUUGCAAUAAUAUUUUUAUUAAAAAUUAAAGUGUUGAGAAUAAAAUUUAAAGUAUAGUGUUUAAAUUUCAUUUGUCACUGUCAACGCUCCUCUAACUAAAGCUCAGAUGAGAUCAGAAUGCGAAAGGAUUGUUAUCGACUUCGUUAGUAUUCGUAUCCACUUAGUAUUCGUAUCUUUUGCAAUAACGUUCCACCCAUAAUGUUUUGUUCAUUGAACAAUAACACUAUGGCAGACCAAAAUGGUAUGUACUGUUUGUUUGCACGCAGUACUAUCACUUCAGUCAUAUCUUAAUGUCACUAUAGUGUUUAAAUAUCAUUUGUCUCUGUCAACGCUCCCCUAACUAAAGCUCAGAUAAGAUCAGAAUGCCAAAGGAUUGUUAUCGACUUGGUUAGUAUUCGUAUCCAUCUCUUCUCGCAUUUGCGUGAUUAAUUUUUGAAUUGGUACUAAUACGACUAAAUUGGCAUUUUGAAUGAUGAAACCAGGCUGGCCACACAAAAUUGUGUACCCUAAUUAUUGAAUUGAGCAUACAGUAGUAAAAUAGAUACAGACAGGCAUACAACAAUGACAAAAUGGACAACUAUCGCUAUCAAGUUCACGUCCCCAAUCUUGAAAUUACGAAAUUUUUGGGAUUUUUUUUUUGUUGAUCGGUCCUUGUCGUUGGUAGAAAUUACGAAAUUUAAGGGGCACCCUGACUUUUUAAAAUAAUUUACAUUUGUUUUUGUUUCAUCUUGACUAAGGACUCAUUUAAGAUUUACUAUUGAGACUCUAAAGUCACUUAUAAAAGUUAAAAUUUAAUUUUGAUAAUUUUUUUAAAUCAAAAUUUUAAUUUUGAUAAUUUUUUAACUCAAAAAUUUAAUUUUGAUAAUUUUUUUUUUAAAUCACCACAAAUUUUGAAUUUAAGAAUCAAUUUUAUACUUAACAUAAUUUCGCAUAUAUUGUUACACAUUUUCAUAAAACAAAAUUAUUUUUAAUUAGUUAACAAAUAAAAUUAGAAAAUUUAAGAUCGUUAUUAUUUUGAUUUUCUUUUUUUUUUCUUCGUGCACGCUCUUUACCCCAAUUCUUCUUCUUUCUAUUUUCCAUUCCAUCAAGAAUUCUGUAAUAAUGUAAAUAUUAUUGUUUCAAGAUCAACACUUAGGUUAAUAUGUGUUUUUAAAUAUUUAAUAAAAUUUAAGGUGAAUUAUAUACGCACAUUCCAAUCUAAAACAUGGAUUUAUUAAAGUUCGGAAAAGUUAUCAAGCCAUAUAGCUUAAUAGCUUUUUGGACUUCAAUAAUGUGUGAUAAUUAGUUAUAUGAGAAUCCUAUUACUCUAUUACUUCUUUCCCUCUGCCACUUGUACCAGAAUUUUCUAAUAGAGACUGCUUAUUGCACCUAAAUGACUAACUGGUGCUGACUUAAUAAUAUAUGCCCCGUUUGGAAUUGAGGUUGAAACUCAAUAAGCAACUUAUUUUGUAAUUUGUGACAAAAAUAAUGUUUGGUAAAUUUUGUAAAAGUUGCUUAUUUAAUCAUUUUCUCCAUUUUGACAACAACUUUUAAAAGUAAGUAGAGAGUUACUUUUCAUAAGCAGCUUAUUAAAUAAACUAUCAUACCUUUUUAAAGUUCCUAUUAUAGCCUUAAUAUUUUAAUUAAAAAAAUAAUUGUCUUACUUUCUCAUACACCAUAAUAUUAAACCAUUAGAUAUCACAUUACCACCACAAUCAAAUUACCGACACAACUAUUAUAUAUUCUCUCUAGUAUUAAAGUUUUGACCUAGUAAGUUUGUAUUUUUUUUUAUAUUUUACUUUUAUUUUCUAUUAUAAGAUUAAAAAACGUAUGUAUAUAAUUAUGCAAAUUAUUUUUUUUAACUUUGAACAAUUUCACAUGAAAAUUAACCAUAACUUUUAAAAUUAAUUUUAUAACCAUGGUUUUUAAUAUUCAAUCUCUCUCUCUCUCUCUCUCUCUCUCUCUCUCUCUCUCUCUCUCUCUCUCUCUCUCUAUAUAUAUAUAUAUAUAUAUAUAUAUAUAUAUAUAUAUAUAUUAUAGUUAUGGUGUUUAUUGCAUCAAGUUUAAUACGAAUGUAAUACAUACUACUUUUUUAUUUUAUCUUAGUUAUGUAUUAGUAUGAAUUUUAAUCAUAUUUUUUAUAUAACAAAUUUAUAGAGUUCUUUUUUCACUUUAUGCAAUUUUACUUGUUUUAAAGAGAAAAAGGCAUGUCUAAACAUUAUUAAAUAUACUUAAAAAAGAAGAAGAUAAUUUAAAGUUAUAUCUAUUUUCACAACAAGAAAACAGGUAAUAGAUGACGGGAAAUAACUAUUGUAAAAGGGAGUGCAUGACAGACAGUUCAUCUGUCAUCUAUUUCACUGUCAUUAAUUUAUGACAAAAUAUUUUCCAUCAUGAAUUCAUGAUAGUAUUUUACAGUUAUAUAUACGUCACACAAUAUCUUAAUGUGAAAAAUAAUUAAAUUAAAAUUUGAAUUUAUAUAUAUUUUUGCGCUAUUUUUUUAAAUUUUUGGUGGGAAAUUAAAUUAUCAUUUGUAAAUUUAUUAUUGAAUUUUGGCUCAAAAUGUUUUAUGACAAACAUUAUGAUCAUUAUUUCCCAUCAUAAAGUCAAUUUUUUUUAAAAAAAAUUCUAUUGUGAUUAUAAUUUAUUUGUGAAUUCCUGAUUACAAAUUUAAUUAACUAAUAAAAAUGAAUAUCAUCAAAAAAACUAAAAGUAAUUAAUAUUAAUUAACCUCCAUUCAAUCCAACAAAUUAAUUUCAAAACAAAUACAUCUAGUAUUCAAUGUCGUCACCACCAAUACAUAAUAAAACAUCCCAAAUAUAAAAAAAUCUAAAAUAUAAAACAAUAGUUAAAUCCCAAUUAAACUCUAAGAAAAGCAAUUCAAAUUCUAGCCAUCAAGCCAAGUUACCCAACAAAACUUCGAAAGAUUAAUGGAAAUAUUCUAACAGUAAGACUUCCAAUAGAGAUACCAUCUUCCAGCGGCAAUAGAUAAGAAAUUUUACUACAUAUUAAGUAUUUAACAUACAUUCAAUUUGAAUUUAAAAAAAAAAUCUUUUAUUAAUAGAUAACAACUUUUUUUAUGUAUAAAUAUUAUGCUAAAUUGUAAAAAUUAAUGUUACCAAAAUUAUUUUUCAUAAAUUAUAUAUCAAUUAUUUUUCUUGUAAAUAUUUAUAACAUAUAAAAACUAUUGUACUAGAAAACACUAUGAAUACAUAUCUAUUUAAGCUAGUCAUAAGUGUAAAAAUACAAACAACUUACCACUUACACUCAGAUGCCAAAAAAUAAAAACCAAACAUAUUAUUCUAUCUUAAGCAUUCAAAGCCAUUCAAACUUCAGUAACAUUCAAACCUAUUUCAAAUUUAAAAUAAAAAGACAAACCAUGACUUAAUAUGGGGCUAUUUGAAAUCUAGAUUUUACAGUAUCACUUUAUUCUAUACACUCGUUCUCUCAUUUAAUAAAUUUAAAAAAUUGAUUUUAUUGAGCACAUUCUUUUAAAUACCAAAAUAGUCCUCCAUUUAUAUCUUACGUCUCACCCAAUUUAAUUCUUUGUUGACUAAAGAACUUUUUUCUAUGUAAUUCUAUUAUUGUUAAUGAUAUUCAAAUCUCUUGAAAAAAAAAAAUGACCCUCAUCUCUUUGAAUGAAAUAAACUUCCGUCAAAAGAGAAAUGUCUCUUAAUUUUACCAGAGAGUUAUAGACUGGAGUCAAGUUUGUAUUUCCAAUUGAUAAUUUUGAAGCAGCAGCAAUAUGCAGCUGAUUUCUUAUUAUUUUUCCUUUUUCUUUUUGGGGUUUUGCAACGUACAGUUUUAUUUUUAAUUUUUUAAAUCAAAAUAAUGUUUCUCAUUUUUUCGCAUAAAUAAAAAUUGUUUUUCAAUUGCUGUUGUUGGUAGCAUGUUGGUUAUUUAUUAAACCCUUAAUAUUUUCUUUUACGAAUGAUAAAUUAGAUUUAUUGUUAAAGAAAGUUACAGGGUUUUGUAAUUGGAUUAUUGAAUUGAAUGUGCGUUCAAUGGUGUGAAGAGUAAUCAUAUUCCAUUAACUUAAAUUGAAUUGUCUUUAUUAGUAAAUGAUAUUGGAGGAGUUUUUGUAAUAAUAUUUUUAUUAAAAAUUACAGUCUUUAAAAUAAAAUUUAGGGUACAAACAACAUCACUCUAUAAUAUUAUUAUUCAAUAAAUCAUAAUUUUGCGGCACACUAAAAUGAUGCGGAUCAUUUACGCAACCUACCAUCACUUGUAUUAUAUCCUAAUGCCAUUAUAGUGUUCAAAUAUCAUUUGUCUAUCCCAAACGUUCGUUCAAUUAAAGCUAAGGUAAGCUAAGAUUUCACAGUAGAAUAGUAUUCUUAUCCAUGUAGUGUCACAUUGUGUGCUUUAUCUUUAGAUUGGUACUAAUCCCACAAAACUGGCAUUUUGAAAUAUAAAACCAGGCUGACCACACAAACUUGUGUACACAAUUUUUUGUUUUUUUUUUCAAGUGUUACGUCGUAAAAUCGUAAAUUAAAUAUAGACAAAUAUACAACAAUGACAAUGCCUGUCAAGUUCGCGUGCCCAAUCAUAGAAGUUACGAAACUAUUGGGAUAUUUCAUAGUUGAUCGGUCCGCAUCGUUGGUAGAAAUCACGAAUUUUAGAAGGGGACCGUGACUUUUUAAACUGCAUUAUAAUUUAAGUCCUUUAAAUUUAAAUUCAUUUUCGUUUUAUCCUGGUAAUUGAAUAAGGGCUCAUUUAAGAUUACUAUUUUACUCAAAAGUAAUUUUAAAAUAUUAAAAUUUAAUUUUGUUUGGUAAUUUUCUUAAAAUUAUUGAUAACUUUAAUUUUGAGAACAAAUUUUAUACUUAAAUAAUUUUAAAUAUAUUAUUACAUAAAACAAAAAUUAUCCUUAAUUAAUUAAGAAAUAAAAUAAAAAAAAUUCAAGACCACUAUUAUUUUUAUUCGUUUUUUUUUCUUUAUGCACGAUCUCUACCCCAAUUCUUCUUCUUUUGUUUUUAUAUUCCAUCAAUAAUUCUCCAAUACUGCAAAUAUCAUUGCUGCAAGAUCAACACUUAGGUGGCGUUUGUUUUUUUGUCUGAAAUCUGAAUAGAUCUGAAUUAGUCUGAAUGUCUGAAUAUGAAUAAUAUGUUUGUUUUUUUGUCUGAAUCUCAAAAAAUAAGUAUUAAGUUGUUUGUUUUUUUCAACUUAAAAAGCUGAAAAUAUGUACUUUUACAUUUGUAUCCUUAUUAAAUUUGAAUGUCAAAUAAAUAAUAUAUUAAAUACCACAAUAUUUUAACAUUUAUAAGUAAAACUAUAUUCAAGUGAAUACAUAAUUAUUUUAGAAUUUUAAUAUAUAAAAUACCAUAAAUUUCAAAUUUUAUCGUAUAUAAUAUAAGAAAGAAAAAACAGAGAUAUUUUUAUGUGGGGUAAAUAUCUAUGGGUGAGUUUUGGGAUAGACGUGAAAAAUAAAUUAUAAAACAAGGAUAUUUUUUACAUUAGCAAGUAAUUGACUUAAUUCAAAUUUCUCCAUUAAGUAAAAACCCAAAAAAAUUAGCUUAUUUUAUUAAGUCAAAAUUAUCUAAAAAGUCUCAUUAAGUUAUAAAAACAAACACAUCUAAUUAACUUAAUUAAUUAAGUUAAGUCACUUUAAGUCAUUAAGUUAAAAAACAAACGCCACCUUAGUAUAUGUUUCACGACUUUAUUUUUUAAUUUAUCAAUAUUCAAUAAAAUUUAUUCUCAGGUGCAGACGCCCGCAUUUUUAUUAAUGCGGCCACAAUUUUAAACUGUGUGAUUUAAAAAAAAAAUAGUUUGUGAAUGAACUAUAAAACUGUGAGUUUUAAAAGAUUUAAAAACUAAUUCUUUUAAACCCUGUGGUUUUAAAGUGUAUCCGCAUGGAAAUUUCAUAAGACUUGGUGCUAGACCCAAUUCUCCAUCUAAUUUUAGGUUGUAAAAUGUAGUGAAAGAUAACCUUUCCUUCAUUAAGUUUACAGUCACACGAUGUUCAAUAUCACGAUAAGUUCCAUUGCUAAAAAUCUACAGGAUCAUAAAUUGAACCUAAAAAAAAAAAAAGUUAGAGAGUAUAAUCAAGAGGAGGAAAAAAUUAGAUGAAACUAGUCAUCAACUACAUAUCCUAUGCUAACAGCUUAGUUUUUAUUGCAAGCGACGUGUCACCAAUUAUUUCUUAUUAUAGAUUUGCUGUUAGUAGACUUUAUUUUCUAUUAUUAAUACAAAUUAUACAAAGAUUCUACUCUACUUACCAAUAAAAGACAUGUUAGAUGUCACUUAACAUUACUAGAGAUAGAAACUAUGUAGAGACAUAGCGUUACUUAUAAUAGGCUAUAGAAAAUGACCAGUGUUACCUCUAAAACGUCACCAAUGUUGAAUAUAAAGGCAUCAGGAAGGGGUUUAACAGCAACCCAUUUUCCAUCUUUCUUAAUUUGGAGAUCAUCCAUCUCAUUGAUUUGGAGGAGGAUGGUGAGUACGGAGCCAUCAGAAUGAGGCUUAAAGCCAGGAACUUGCUCUGGUUGCGGACAAGGAGGAUAAUAAUUCAUCCUUAAUGAUUGCAUCCCGUUUUCAGACAACUCUAUCAUGUCAUUGGGAUCCAUUCUUAGAGCUUUAGCCAUUAGGUCAAGGAUUUUCAAGGUAAGAUUUUUAAGUUCCGUUAAGUAAACUUCCAAGUCAUCUCUGCAUGCAAAUAACGAUAUAUAGUCCAGUAAUUAUCAUAUGAUAGAAUAUACUAUGUAGCAAAACUCUACGAUUUAAAUAUAGAACCUGAAUGGGAGAGGCAACUUGGGGAACAAGUGGGGUUUCCUCAGAUGGGUUGGGAGAGUGAACAUAGUAAAGCCGUAUCCCCAAUCAAGCUUCUGCUCCUCAGACGUAAUAAAAAGCUGCCCAAAUCCCUCAAUAUCCCCUGGCUGCUGCCAAAAUUUCUUUUUCUCAUCAAUUGGAAGAUUAAAGAAGUCUUGAAUCCUUCUUUCACUUUCUCCACCAAUGAACUGCUCACUCCAUGAUUCAUCAACUGCAUAUAUGCAGAUUAAAACAAGCUGUUCUUUCCAUACAUGGUUCUUAUAGGAAACUUAAAGCUCAGGAAAUAAAAUGAUUUUUAUGGAAAAUGCUAAAAACACCGAGAGCCGAAAGAACGCUAACAAAAGCAAUGAUUCAAGUAUUUUUAUUAUCUGAAUAUCACUGCUCAAUUAUUAUGUACCUGAAAGAAACCCCAGUCUUUACAUGCAUGCUCAAGCUUCUCAAGCUCUGAGUCAUCCCCAGAGAGCAGCCUGUGCAUGUCAAUGACUGGAAGUUGUCGUGUUGAAGAAUCGUCGUUGCGAAUCAGGGGAUGGUCUAUCUCAGCGCGAACAUAACGUGGAGGAACUGUGAUCAGUGGCUGAUUAUUUGCCAGCUCCAGAAUCGAAGGCUCCACCAGAGAACUCCCAAUAACUGUUGCUUUGGUCCCCAUAUUAUAUAGAUUUAGAUUAACUGAUUUCUAGCUAUUACCUUUUUGUUUCUUUUCUCUGCUGUAGACUCAGCUGGUCUGUGUUUUAACGAGAAAUUCAUGUAUAAAUAAUCCUCAGGAUGUACUGUACUGUAAUUGUGUGCUUUAAAAUAUCAAUUUUAAUAUGAAAAUUCGAGAGAAUUUUGACUUUUAUAAGGACACUGAUUAGUGCAACAUUAAGACGAUAAAGAUAAUCUUAGAAUGAAUUAUUUGCACUCUACAUUUAAUUUUGAAUAUCAUUUGAUUUUUACACUCAUUUAAUAAAUUUUAAAAUUAAUUUUUAUUCUAUACUCUUUUAUGUAUCAAAACAGUCUUUUGUUUAUAUCUUAUUAUAUCUCACCCAAUUUAAUUCUUUAUCACAGAACUUCAUUCUAUAUAAUUCUAUUUUUGUUAAAGUGAUAUUUAAGCCUCUCUUUAACAAAAUAUCACUAUGAUACCUUUAAAUGAAAUAGUAUUUUUUUUAAAAAGAGAAUUUUCUCUUAUCUUUACUAGAGAGUUAUGUGCUAGAAUCCAAUUCAUGCUCUUAAUUGAUAAUCUUCAAGCAAUAGAAUAUGCAACUGAUUUGUUUUUAUUUUUCAUUUUUUCAAUUGGGAACUUACAGUCUUAUUUUUUAUUUUCAAAACCAAACAAUGUUACUCGUAAAUUUUUUUUAUCCAGUUUCUAGAGUUGGUAGCUUGUUGGGUAUUUAUGAAACCUUUAAUAUUUUAUGAGGUGUAACAGUAAUAGGAUUAAUAUUUUCACUUCCUUUCUUCACCCUACAAACAGCAAAGUAUGCAAUGAAUGUUUAAAGUUAACAAUCUGUAAAGUCUGGUCUAAACUUUGCUCUAAUUAAAUAUCAUAAUAAAUUAUAAAGAGAGGUUAGAUUAGAAGAUCUCCAACAGCUAGAUUCAAAGAGAUUCUUCAUUACAUUAUUUUAUAAUCAUUUUUUCGAAAAUGUCAUUCCUGUUAUAACAGAGGUAGAGAAACAAAUUGAGAGGGCCUUUCAAUUCCAUUUUCAAGGCGAAAAAUGCAAUGUUAUGUUUCGUUUCUUUUGUUAAUCUAAUCCACUUUCUAUCAAGCAUUUAUUAUUAUUUUUAUUUUUUUGGCUUUUGUUGAGUGUUUUUGUUCUACGAUGGCAAUUUGGGAGAUUAUAAUUGAGAAACAUUUUUAAUAUUUGAAAGAAACCCACGGCUGCACUGAUAAUGAACCCACAGAGAUUAUCAAAGAGUCCCUUUUCGUUUUUAAAGCAGAUUUUUAAAGUUUUAUACGGUGGAGUGUAUGAGAAGAGGAUAAAAAUUGUCAUAAGAGUAAAGUGAGGAUUAGACGGGAUAAAUUGAGUGAUAAAAAAAUUAUUUAAAAAUUUUUAGUGGGGUGUAUUGAGAAGUGGAGGAUGAUGUGGAGAAAUGAGAGUGAAAUAUCCACUAUAACUAUGCUUCAUGAGUAACGAAAUGUUAUAUUCAUUUAGUUAGGAUUCUUAAUUGGUGUACUAAUUAAUGUGUCACCAAUAUAAAUUUAUCAUUUAGAUAUGAAAUGAUAAGACUGAGUAGUUAAGUUCACUUGAACCAAUCAAAUAAUACAACAUAAUCACUUACACAUCUGUUGGUAUACAUAUUAAAUAUCUCAACGAAGUAAAAUUAUUAUUAUAGCAAAUAGAUCUUAAAUAUUAGAAGAAGCUUAUAAUGAAACUGACUCUGAGCCCACUGUCACCUAACCCGUGCAUCCCAGCUACUCUUACGCCUGUAAAUAUUACAAUACUUGGGUUGGGUUGUGCAAUAAUGAAAUUGAUUUUGAUCAAUCACCAUAAAUAGCUGAUUGUAAAUAUUGUGUAAUUAGUUUGAAGUGUGUCACAACAGAAUUAAUGUAGGUUGAUCUCAAUAAAAAUUUAAUUGUAAAUAUAUGAGUGGUGCUCUAAUUAUGAUGUAUAUAUCAAAUGAUAUAAGUAGAGGUCUGAUUGUAAUACUUUCAACGUGAUAUUUAAUUUGACUUGGUUCAACUAUAGCCUUUUCGCUUUCAAUCGAAAACAAAAUAUAAUAAACCCUAAUGUUGUGUUUACUUGCUGGAGUGGGAGUGAGGAGUGUGGAUUCCUCCCACUCCAGCGUUUACUUACUUAAAAUGGAGAGGGAUUGGGAGUCCAACUCCGUGGGCCCCACCCACUUUUGGAGUGGGGAGUGGGAGUGGGAAUCCACUCCCACCUCUCCAAUUUCUACCUUUUUUUUUUAUUUUAUGUUUUAUAAUUAAUAAAAUAAAAUAAAUAAUAUUAUAUUUAUUUAAAUAAUAAUAUUAUAUUUAACUAAAUAAUAAUUUACAUUGAUUCUAAGUUAAAAUUAUUUUAAAAUAAUAUUAUUAUAUUAAUAGAGAAUUAAUAAAUAUAAUAUUAUUAUUUAUUUUAAAAAUAAUAGUACUAUAUUUAUUUAAUAAUAAUAAUAAAUACUUUAUUCUAAGAAAAUAUUAAUUUUGUACUAAAUAAUAUUAUAUUAUUAUUUUAUAUAAUAAUAAAUUUAAUAUAAUUAUAUUAAAUAAAAUAAAAUAACAUUUCAUUUUAUAUUAAAAUUACAAUUAAUAAUUUAUUGUUCAUAAUUAAGAAUAUUAAUAAUUAUAAUAAAUUUACAAAUAUAAUAAAAUAAAUAUUAUUCAUUAAAUAUAUUUUUUAUUAGUUUUGUAAUUAAAAAUUAUAAUUCUUUAAAUAAGGAUAAAAUUGUAAUUUGAAACUAUUUACUUCCAAUCCAAGACAAAGUAAACACAUAAAUUGAAUUCUGAUCUCCAUUCCAUGCUUCCAUUCUAGUGUAAGUAAACAACCUACUCCCACUCCCACUCCACACUCCCAAUCCUAGGAUUCCCACUCCCUAGGAUUCCCAAUCCAAUCCAAAAAGUAAACGCUACCUAAAAACCGUCGUUGAUUACAAUUACAAAUUUACCCCCAUAACUGACAGUCAUUGAUUGCUUCUUUCCCAAGAAACCUUUGGAUAUAUAUUUUAUAACAAUCGGCUAUCACUUUCUUCUUCCAUGUACAAUAUCUCAGUAGGCUGCACUGAUGUUACGGUUGGGUGCUAUUUUGCACAGGAUUAAGAAAACCCAAUUUAGUCAUGCAAACUUAUUGGGAGCUUCCCGGCUGUCAACAACAACAACACGAGACCAAACAACAAGUGCUUUUUGGGGUUCAACGGAAAAGAUCUCCCCAGUCGGACUGUCGGAAGCCCGGCAGUCUGGGUGUUUGAGGAGCUCGAUGAAAUGGCUAAAAUGGGAGAAGACGUAGGCAAAGAUGACAUUGAGUUCAAUAUGGAUCUGUUGCUAAACAAAGCAUGUUACUUGGAUGCUCUCGAGGUAUUUAUUAAAUCAUCAGAUUUCAUUUUUUUUUUUUUUUCCAUUUGGGUUAUCAAUUGCAUCAGUCUUUACUUCUCUGUGUUUUAAUGAUUUUGCAUUAUGGAAUUGGAAUCAAAUGUUAUUUUAUAUAUUUUCACCUUUUAUAAACAUAACCGAAAUCAGCUGAUAUUAAAUUGGGUGCUUGGUGUAUUUUUCAAAGGAUCCUUCAAACACGACAUCAUUUCACAGCACGCACAGAUGUGUGAUUUUAGUUGUAAUAUUUUAUUGCUUUUGUUUUCUAAGACUUGCUCGUUAUCUUGGGUACCUAUAUUAAUCAAGAAAAUUGACUGGCUGGUAAAAUAGUUUUGAUGUUCUGCCAAAUUUAGCUUCCUUGAAAGCAUAAGAAAUUUGAGCUAUUAUUGAUAAUUGAUUUUUUUUUUUAAUUAUCUUGUUGCAAAACUUGUUUGGUAUUGUUUGUCAGUUUAGCAUGCUUUUGUCGUCGCAUUUUAUUUUUUGCAAUCCUUUUAUUAUAAUCUCUCUUUUCUCCAGAUACCGAUGUGGAACAAAAGAUACUUUGAACUUACAACUGGUGAUAUUGCUGUUCGACUGGUUUUGAUUUUCCAUUAUAAGGGAAUAGAAGAGCAGAAAUUUUUUUCAGUAACAUUCCAGAAAACUUAAGGGCUCUCGAGGUUUAUAUUGCUUUGCUUUAUUGCUAUGCCAAACUAGAUUCUGUGUACAAAUCAGAGUCUGUGAAGAAAGCGGAAGCCAUCAUGCAGACAUUAAGGGAUUUGGGGUUAGACAGGGAAACAAUGGCUUACGAUUGUAUGCUUAAUCUUUACUAUCAGACUGGAAAACUUGAGAAAAUUGAAGUAUGGUGCUGGAAAUUGAAGAAAAGGGUAUUGGUUACAACGAUUAUACAUUCUACAUCCGUCUGAGUGCAUAUGCAGCUGUUUCUGAUUGCAAGGGAAUUAAGAAGAUGGUGACAAUGAUGGAAUCGGAUCCCAAUUUUGUUGUAGACUUGUCAGUUUAUGCUAUUGCAGCAAGUGGGUAUGCAAGAGCUGGGCUUCUGGACAAGACUCAUGCAAUGCUAAAGAAAUGUGAGGGACUGGCAACGGGUGGACAAGACAGAUACCCACCGUAUGAUUUUCUUAUCUCAAAGUAUGCGGAAUUUGGGAAUAAAGACGAUGUUUUAAGAGUUUGGGAAUUCUGCAAAAAGAACUCGAGCGGUUGGAAGGUGGCAGGCUCCGUCAUUCCUUCUGUGCUGAAAUUUGACGACCUGGAAAUUUCUGAGACGAUUUUGGAGGAAGUGAAUUGGCCCAAGGGGAAUCCACAUUAUUGUAUCCAUGUUAUAAAUCCCUUGAUUGCUGCAUAUUGCAGAAAAGGUCUUUUAGGGAAGGCUGAAGCUAUUAUCAACAAUGCACAAUCAAGGGGGCUGAACCCUGAUGUGAGGACGUGGUAUCUUAUGGCAACGGGGUAUCUUCAGAAUGAUCAAACAGAAAAGGCAAUGGAAGCGAUGAAGAAAUCAAUUUGUGAAACUGGAAUCGGGUGGAUUCCAUCUAAGGAAUGUUUGGCCGUGUUUCUGAAAUGGUUUGAAGCUGGAAAAGAUACUGAGGAGGCAGAGCAUUUGGCAAACUUAGAAGGGGACUUUUUUGUUAGUUUGGAUCUUUCUUACGAUUUGUUGAAUUAUUUUCAACAUGGCUACGUAGACAAAAUACCCCUGGAGUUCCUGGUUUCGUCGUGGUAAAUAAUACUCCAAUCUUUUAAAUUGACUUUGGAAUUGGGAAUCUUCCCUACAAGUGUGAUUGAUUUUGUUGCCUCUGCAUACAUUUGAAAAAUCUUAAAUAUUGUGGUUUUUCGCUUCCUAUAAGUUUCGGUUGAGAUUUUUAAAAUGGUUGAACUGCUAAAAACAGCUUAAUAAUUAUUUUACAUAAGUACCACAUUGGCCCUUGGCCAUCAACAAUGCUAUCGACAAAAACGGAUUCAUAACUCUAUGUUUCCACGUCAGCGUGGUUGCAAAAGUAACGUGUAUUUUGUAGUUUGAUUAUGUCCAACUUGGGGAUAACAAAACUCAGCCAUUUGAUCGGUGGCUUUAUAUGAACGGUCAAAAUUUUGAAACCAAAUAUCUUCUUUGUGGUCGAAGGCCAGUCGAACAUCGUACGUUACUGGGAGGACGGUGAGAUAUUUUGCAUCCAACGGUCAGCAAAUACGCUCCUAGACACUUUUACUCUUAUCUGAACGGCAGAAAUUUUGAUAGAAAUAACGAAAUUUAAAGGGGGACCCUGACUUUUUUUUUUUUACGAGAGGACCUGACUUUUUAAAAUAAUUUAAAUUUAUUUUUGUUUCAUCUUGACUGAGGACUCAUUUAAGAUUACUAUUAAGACUUCAAAGUAAUUUAAGAAGUAAAAACUUAAUUUUGGUAAUUUUCUUUUUGAAAUCACUCGUGACAAAAUUUGAUUUUGAGCAUCAAAUAAAAUUUAAAUUUUAAUAUGCAUAAUUAAUUUUGGUAAUUUACUAUAUCGUUACAUAUUUUACAUAAGACCAACAUUAUCCUUAAUUAAUUAACAAAUAAAAUCAGAAAGUUUAAGAUUAUUAUCAUUUUGAUUUUUUUUCAUGCACGCUCUUUAUCCCAAUUCUUUUUCUCUCUAUUUUCCAUUCCAUCAAUAAUUCUCUAAUAGUGCAAAUAUCAUUGUUUCAAGAUAGGGUUAAUAUGUGUUUUUUAAUAUUUAAUAAAAUUUAAGGUGAAUUAUAUAUAUUCCAAUCUAGAAUCCUAGAUUUGUUAAAGUCUGGAAAUACUAUUAAGCCAUAUAGUUUAAUAGUGUAUGAUAUAAUACUAUUAAAGCAUAUAUCUUAAUAACUUUUUGGUACUUUAAUAAAGUAUAGAAUCCUGGACUAUUUGUUGAAGUAAAUUUCACUUAACAUUAUGUCUAUUUUAGUCACUUGUACUCUAACAAUAAUUUAAUAAUAAGAUUUAAUAUGUAUAAUUAAUUUUAAUACUCCCAACACUUUUAGAAAUAAAAUUUACUGAACAUUUAGUUGAUUUUGUUCACAAUUGAUUAGGUCCACUACAAAUCUAAUAGAAAUUAUUUUAAAAGCUACAACAUUACAAAACUAGUCCUAAAUUUCGUUGUUAAAUAUAUUAGUACGACAAGUCCACAAGGGCAUUUUAGUCAAACUCAAAUGAACCAUCUUCUUAUAUUAUCAAUAUGACAUGCGCUAGGAGUUUAAGCAUACCAUUCUUAGUGUUAACUACUCAAAGGGAAAUCUACAUUAAGGUAACUACUAAGUUACAUUAUAUGUAAUUUGUAGUUGACCUAAAAGUAGUGUCCUAUAACCUUAGUUGUGUGACAAGUAACAAUUGAGUCAUAAAAAUUAAAAAAAAAAAAAAAAUUUGGUCGAUAUACGUUACAUAUGAUAUAACUUAGCAAGACCCGUUAUAUAUAUUUACCGUAUAUUUACGCAACGGAAUAUUUUUUUAGGUGAUCGAUGUUUGUUGAUAUACAUUGUCAAUGCGGCUUCAUCUUUGGAUUCUUCUUGGAGAACUAAAGCCUGAGAGAAUCCCUAGCUGAAAAUAACAAGAGAAGAUCCGCAAAUAAGGGAGAGAGUUUUAGCCAAGAUUGCGGACUCAGUUGAUGAUAAUGAUGAUCUUUAUGAGAAAUUAAAAGUUGAGGCUUAAUGGCUUAUUGAUAAUUUGAUAUCUUUUAUAGGUUAAUAUGAUGUUUCUAGCUAUGCAAGCAUUUGUAUGAAGUUGGAUUUUUAUAUUCAUAUACUUUGAUACGAUAUUUAGUUAAUUGGUACUUCUUUAAUAAUGUAAAUUUUACUUUACCUUAUUCAGUUUUCAUAUACUUUAAGAUGAUAUUUAGUUAAGGGAGAUUAUCAAUUUCCCCACUACUGUAAUUAAUAUAUACAAUUUAUUUCCCUGUUGUAUUUAUAAUAACUAGUAACUCCCAUAACAACAUAAGUUUACAAUAUUACGUCUAUUUUAAAAUAUACUUUUAUUUAUAUUUAUUAUAAAUUAAAUAAAUGAUAUGAAUAGAAAAUAAAUAAAAAAAUUAAAUAUUAAAAACAAGAAAUAUAUGCUUUGAUGUGAACAAAAAAAUUAAUAAUAAAAUUUUUUCUUGUACUUUUUUAUUUUGUAAAUAUUUUCUUAUAAUAAAUAUUUUAUAAUAUUUUAAAAUUAAAUAUAAAAAAGUAUCGGAAAAUAUUUUAUUAUUUAUUUUAUAAUAAUAAUUUAUUAAUUAUUCAAGUUUUCUUAUAACAAUUUUUUUUAUCAUUUUAUAAUAAUUUUCUUAUAUAUUUAUUAUAAGAAAAUGUUUAUAAAAUAAAAAAAAAGUAUAAGAAAAAUAUUUUAUUAUUAAUUUUUUUCACAUGAAAACAUAUAUUUCUUAUUUUUUAAACUUAAUUUUUUUAUUUUAAUUUCCAUUCACAUGAUUUAUUUAAUCUAUAAUAAAUAUGAAUAAAAGUGUAUUUAAAAACAAGGGUAAUAUUGUAAACUUAUAUUGUUGAGGGAUUAUUGGCUAUUAUAAAAAUAUGAGGGCGCAAAUCAUAAAUAUUAAUUACAGUAGGGGAGGAAUUGACAAUCUUCCUUUAGUUAAUUAAGGGGUGGGGAUAUUUCCACCCAAUUAUUUGCCUAAACCCCCUUCACUUCUACAAAAUAUUUGCAAUAAAUACACAUUUUUUUUCUAAUAAAUACAAAUCAACAAAAAAAUAUAUAUAAUUAAUCAAUUAAAUCAUUCUUAUAUUUUUUUACUUAGUUUUUUAAAACUAUUAAAGUAAGUAAAAAAAUAUAAUAUAAGUUCCAUUUAAUUAUUUUGCUUUAUGACAUAAAAUGACCCACUUGUCCAAAAAAAUAUGUGUUCUUGUAUCUAAUACUUUAGGUACUUAGUUUUUUGACUUUUAAUCUAACUUCUUGUUAGAGUGCAAUUUAUGCACUAGUUUUGCAUUGUUUACUUCCUUUAAUAUCGAUGUUUUGCACUUAAUAAUAGUGAUUUACUUGUAUUUUAUUUUUGUAGGUGCAAUUAUAUUGAUUGGUGCUAAAAUUGAGCUACAAGAUGAUGUUUGGGGAUGAUUGUUUUCCUGGAGAAAUUAUGAGCUUCAGAAGAACUUUGUUGAUAAGGUGUGGGGGUGUGCUGUCAACUACGGACCUGCAGUUUUUAGUUUAACGUGUUUUGUCUUUUUGGUUAAUUUUGUACUUUUGAAUUUAAUAUUUAGAUAAUAUUUUAGAUGUUAGUAUUUUAUUUUUAGAAAAACUCUAUAAGAGGAAGGAGACGUGAAAAACAAGAGAGGAGGGGACUUUGGAAAGAGGAAGAAGAAAGAAACCCUAGAUCUAAAUUUUUCUCUUCUCUCUAUGAAGAACUAAACCUAUUAUUCUGGUUGAAGGUUAAUGAAGCUUUGAUUCAUCAUUAUUGUGAGAUCUUUCUUAUGCUUUAAUUGUUUUAUUACUUUUUGGGUAUUUGUUUAUUCUCAAAAUUAUUGUCAUGAUUAUGUUUGUUAAUUAGAUAAUAUGCCACUAUUUAAUUAUCAACUUAAUAUAUUGUCAAUUAUAGGAUUCAUCGUAUGAAGAUUUCAAUGUUUGUGACAAAUAACAUAGCAGUGCGUUGUGUUAUGAGAAUAAACAAUCUAAUUUAAAUGAACCAUCGUAUGCGUUUGUUGAUUAGGAUUUGGGUCUCUCUGGUUUUUCAGGCUGUAAAUUGAUUAAAUCCUAUGAUCGUAUCUAGGGUUAUCUAUUGAUUAGGGAAAUAACCAAUGGUCGUACCUUGGUUAUCGACUAGUUAAGGAGAGAUUGGCUAUUAGAGGGUCUCAGUAGCUACAACCGGUCUAUUCAUAAGUAGUAAUGAUUUAUAUUUGAAUCAAUGAUCAGUAGUCGAAUCAAGCUGAGUUAAUUCCUUCAACCAGAGCUUUUCCCAAUUUGAAUUACAAUUUUAAUUUGCAUUCUUGUUAUUUUUAUUUGAUUUUUAUUAUUGUCAACAAUCCCCCCAUUUUGCAAUUUACAUUUUAAAAAGGAUUUAAAUAAUUACCGAUCUCUGUGGACACGACUCUUCUCAAUCCCUAUACACAAUUUAUUUAGAGUAGGUAUUUAUUUUUACUAGCUUCGACAACCAUCACUUCUUAAAUGACGUCUAAUAAUUUUCAAUAUUUUACAUGUAAAUGACAUAAAUUUGACAGGCUAAUAAUUUAAUGAGAAUUUUCUCAUAAGAACAUUAUGUUAGUUUAAUUAAAAAUUAAUAAUCAUAUUAAUAAAGUAAAAUUAACUAUUUAGAAACAAUGAAUUUUGUAUGAAAUUAAGAAAUUGUUGAAGCUAAAUUAAAUUUUUGGUAUUUUUACCCUUUAAGCGUAAAAUAGUCAAUUUAAAUUUAGGUUAAAGCAGUCUUAUUAGUCAAAUAUAAUAAAAAAAUCUAAGUCACAACAAAAUAAAUUUAAAUAGAUUUAAUUAAUUAAUUCUUCUGAAUUCUUUUUUAUUUGAAAUUUUUAAAAAUAAUGAGAAUUUUUUGUAAUUAUUUUUUAAAAGUGGGGUGGAUUUGCAGAAUUUGUGGGGUGGAAAUAUCACCACCCUUAAUUAAAUACUUCUUUAAUAAUAUAAAUUUCACUUUACCUCAUUCAAUUUUGUUCUCCUAAAGAUAGGUUUUUAUUCUCAUAUUUGAAGUAAAAAUUUAAUUUUUCGAGAAACCUCGAUAGAGAGGGCAAUUUUUUCGGAUAUAAAAGAAACAGUUGCAUCAAUUCAGGAGAGCACAUAGUGAGGCUUACCUCUUCAAAACUGAAAUAAUCUCUAACUUGAAAGACCAUCUAACUUCUUUGGAAGGAUGUUUGUACCUUUGAAGGCACCACAUGCCAUCCAGUAAACCUGGAGUACUCAUGAUCAAGAUUUGCUGGAUGAUCCAUAACACCCUUUUGUUAUCUAAAAGUACAACAGAAAAGGAAAUUCAUUGCCUUUAGAAAGAUGGCGACAAUUAAGCCAUCUAUUUCGAAUACCAUUUUAUUAAUGAAGAUAUUAUGAAUAUCUUGAUAAUAGUAUAAAGUUCAAAUCGCUCAAAACGGUUUAAACCGGUAGAGUGGGGCUCGUUAAAGCUAUUUUCCGCAGUCCUUUGCUCUAUAGCAUCUAGAUUUAUUUAUGGCCUAAAUCUUUGAUCAAACAGCUUCAUACCUGGUCUCGGAAAUUCAUUUCUUGUGAUUACAGUUCUCGGAAGAUAGCGUUAGUUCAUUGCGAUCAGUUUUGUUUGUUAAAGGCAGUGGGUGGUCUUGGACUUCGUCGUCUAGAUAUUUUAAAUAGAUCAUGCAUGCCUGUAAAAGAUUUUAUGCAAUGUUAAAAAUCAUUCUUCUAUGUAUGCUGACUAUCUUAAAGCUUGUUACAAACUUAUUAUACACCAAUCGGUUUUUUGUUAAUUCCUCUUAAUAGGCUGGUCUCUUAAAGUGUUAUUGCUGAUGGCUUCUUUAUUCAUUUUUUGGAUUGACAGAUGGUUGUCGGAUCCUCUUCCUCCUAUUAGUUAAAGCUUGUUACAAACUUAUUAUACAGCCAAUCGGUUUUUUGUUAAUUCCUCUUAAUAGGCUGGUCUCUUAAAGUGUUGUUGCUGAUGGCUUCUUUAUUCAUUUUUUGGAUUGACAGAUGGUUGUCGGAUCCUCUUCCUCCUAUUAGUUAUUUUAUUGACCUUGCUUUGUCUUGUACUAAAGUCUCCAGAUUAAUGAUUUAUGGGAGUUUAUUUUUCAAUAUCAGAUUAAUUAGUCCUCAACUUUAUAAUAUUUGGGUCACCACCAGUUAUUACCUGCUUUAUUUGAUUUGGAAAGACAGAAAUAAGCUGAGAUUUGAGAAUGUCUAUCCUUCUGUAGAUCGUUUUACGGCCAAAUGUUCUGCCCGUAUUAUUAUUUUGCUAAACUUUGCCCAGGUUAUGUUGGUUAUGCCAUAUUAUUAUUCUGCCAAACUUUAUCGAGGCUGUUGAAAGUCAAAUAAUCGCUCGCCAAUUUCAAAAAGCAAAAUCGGCGGCAUGUUUUUGUUGACAUAUGCAUGGAGAAAAAUGUGGUGGUUUUUCUAGAUGCCGCUUGAAUUUGUCAAAAUUGUUGAUUUUGGUUGCCGUUUUUCAAAGCUUUUGGGGACAAAGGAAUUAAAUGCAUGCAUGAUCUUUGGCUAUAAAUACCAAGCCAUUUGUUCAUUUGAAGGCAUCCACAUUUUGAGAGCAAUUGCAAGUAAAUCAAUUUGAGAGAUUUGAGAGAUUUGAGAGAGCUAUUACUUAAGUGUUCUAGUGAGGAUCCAAAUGGGUGUAUUGAGGUUUCCGGCUUCGAGAGCUUUUUUCUCAAUUUUGUAAAUUCCCAUUUAUUACUGAAAUUAGCUUUAAUCUUUGCCCGUGAAUGUAGAUUUUAUGCCGAACCACAUAAAUUAUUGUAUUUAAUUUAUUUUUUUGCAUUUUCUUAUUACCAUAUUUAUAUUUCUGCAGAAGUCACAGUCACCAUAAUAUUGAUAAUUGCUCAACCCGCGCUUCCGCAAAAAUUGGUAUUAGAGCCAAAGGUUCAUACUUGGGGUAUACUACACUGUUCACGUAAAUAGUAUUAUUUGUAGAUAUGGUACUAUUCACGCAUACGAUGGAGACGACGAUUUGUACUUGGGAGACAGUCUAUUUAUGAAUAGCUACUGACGGCAUUGGUCAUUUAGGUUAAGAAAGAUGAUAGAGACAUCAUUGUUGUCUUCAUCAGCGAUGACUACUGUGACUAAUGCAAAGUUUGAAGUGGACAAAUUCAAUAGUACUAAUAAUUUUGGUAUGCAGCAAUAUGAGGUGAUGGAUCUCUUAUGUUAGAAAGAGUUGGAGCUUACUCUUAAAGAAAAGACUGAGAAGAUAAAUCACAAGGAGUGGACAAAAAUCAAUAGAUAGUGGACAAAAAUCAAUAGAUAGGUAUGUGGUACUAUUCACUUAUGUCUAGUUAAAGAUCAUAAAUACUUUGUCAUGAGUGAGACAUCAGUAAAGAAAUUGUGGGAAAACAUUGGAAGAAAAAUAUAUAAAGAAAAGCCAUGAAAACAUGCUUUAUAUGAAGAAAAAACUCUCAAAACCAAAAACCUAAUACACCGAAUUGGAUCCUCACUUGAACAUUCAAGUAUAAACUCUCUCAAAUGUCUAAUAUUGCUUCACUUGUAGUUUAUCUCAAAAUGUGGAUGCCUUCAAAUGAACAAAUGUUUGUCAAAAUGGUCUUUAGCGAUAAAUACCAAGCCAUUUGGUCAUUUGAAGGCAUUCACAUUUUGAGAGCAAUUGCAAGUAAAGUAAUUUGAGAGAUUUGAAAGAGUUUCAACCUACGUGUUCUAGUCAAGAUCUAAUUGGGUGUAUUGGGAUUUUGAGUUUUGAGAUUUUUUUUUUCUAAUUUUGUUAAUUCGCAUUUAUUAGCUCAUGAAAUUAUCUUCUAGUCUUUGCUCUUGGACGUAGGCUUUACGUCAAAACAAGUAAAUUAUUGUGUUCAAAUUUUUCUUUUUAUUUGUUUAUUACCACAUUUAUAUUUAUAUAAAAGUUGCAAUCACCGUAAUGUUGAUAAUUGCUAAACCUGCACUUCCCUAACAGAGGUUAUGAUAGUUAUGGGUGGAACAUGAACAAAUUUUUGCUUAGUACAAGAUUAGAUCAUGAGAAAAUCUUAUAUAGGACAUACAUAUCCUCAAGUUCCUUAGCAUCCCAUCUUAUAUAGGACAUAGAUAAGAUCAUGAGAAAAUCUUAUAUAAGAAAAAUGUUAAACAAACUGAACGUUCACAGAAGAAUCACAGAUUUAAUUAACAAAGUAAUCCUGCACAGUUUUAUAGUUAAUUUGGUCAUCAUUUAAUAUCAGUGCUCUGAAGGGAAUUAAGAAAACACUAAGUUAAAGUAGAAAACAAAGGCAGUAGAAAGUGAUGAGUGCUACAUCCAAAACGUCACCAACGAUUAUGAUAAAAGCAUCAGGGAGGAGUUUAACGAGAACCCAAUUUCCAUCUUUCUUUAUUUGGAGGCCAUCCAUCUCAUUGAUUUGGAGGAGGAUGGUGAGUGCAGAGGCAUCAGAAUGAGAAUUCAAGCCAAUAACUUGCUCUGGUUGUUGACAAGGAGGGUCAUAAUUCAUCCUUAUUGAUUGCACACCAUUUCAAACAACUCUUUCAUCUCAUUGGGAUCCAUUCUUAGAGCUUUUUCCAUUUGGUCAAGCAUUUUCAGGGUAAGAUUUUUCACUUCCGUUAAGUAAACUUCCAAGGUAUCUCUAGCAAUGCAGCACUAUUGUAGUAUUGUUAGAUGGACGAAACGUUGCAUCAAUAAUUGGUGUGUUGUGUGGCUAAAAAUGAAAAAAGAAAAAUUGAGAGGCAGAGAAAACCUGAAUGGGAGAGGCAAUUUGGGGAACAGGUGGGGUCUUCUCGAAUGAAUUGGGAGAGUGAAUAUGGUAAAGCCGUAUCCCCAAUCAAGUUUCUGCUCCUCAGAAGCAAUGAAGAGCUGCCCAAAUCCCUCAAUAUCACCAGGUCGAUGCCAGUACUUGUUCUUUUCCUCAAUUGGAAGAUCAAAGAAGUCUUGGGUCUCAGCUUUCAUUUUCUCCACCAGUGAACUGCUCACUCCAUGAUUCACCAGCUACAUGCAAAUUAUUCAAAGCACGAUGUUGUUGUCAUAUAUGUUCCACAGAAAUUAAUUUGAAGUCAGAAAAACAUGAAGAAAUACUCAUUUAAUUCCCAUAAUUUGAGCUAAUCAUCUAGUCAGUCGAUUUCCUUUCAAAACAACAAUAAUAUGUUCACAAAAAAUAGUAUAAAAAUGGUACGUCAUACUAGAAAACCAAAAAAAAAAAAAAAUAACUAUAGGAUGAAAAAAAUUAUUACAAGACAAGAAAUUUUUUUUUAAUCUUUUGUAGUUUUUAUACUAAUUUUUGUAUUAUUUUCGAUACAUAUUUCAUUAUUUUUUCAAAAAGAUUACUUAAAACAUAUUUUUGUAGCGAUUGGAUCCGAUUUUUUAAGGAUAAAAUAAUAUUUACAUAAUUUCAAAUAAUUAAAAUUCAAAUUAAUUCAACAUUUAGGAGGUGAAAAAAAAUGAUAAUUAAAUUGAUAUCAAUGAAUCAACAAAAAUACAAUAGAGGACGUUUUAGAUGAUUUUUUUUUUUUUUUUUUGUGUUGGGGAAAAUACAAGCACUACUUGGAUAAUUUGCUAAAAUUAUGGAAAAUGACAAUAAUUAACAAAGAAGAGUACGUAUACAUGAAAGAAACCCUAUUCUUUGCAUGCAAGGUCAAGCUUCUCAAGCUCUGAAUCAUCUCUAGAGAGCAAUUUCUGCAGGUCGAUGACUGUUAGGAAAUUAGUGGGUGAAGCUGACACGCAGCUAAAAUAAAAUUGGAAGAAACUAAAGAACAAGCACAAUAGAGGACACCAGAAAUUACGUGGUUCGGUUUUUAGCCUAUGUCCACUGGCGAAAACAGAAGGAAAAUAUUUUACUAGUAAAAAAGAGUUACACGUAUUGUGGUAUUUUGUCUCACUACCCAAAACCCGAAUACACCCAAAACUCUCAAAUCACAAAUCACUCAAGAGUUUGUUAAAACUCUUAAAAUACUCUCACUUUCUCUCUAAAGAAGAAGAAAUAAAAUGGAAAAUUUGGAUGCUCUAAGCCGAUGGGGAGCUCCCCCUUUUAUAGCCAAAAUUGGCUAUUAAAAUAAUAAUAUUUUUUUCUUUUCUUCCAUUUUGAUGUGCCAACCACCAUUUGCAGCAUUUUCUUCAUUCUUCUUUCUUCUUUGUCAAAAUUUCCCUUUUUUUUCCUUUCCUUGGGCGGCAUCUACUUGGACUUCAAUUUGGGUGGUCAUUUUGAAAAAUGUUAAUGGUGCCAAACCGCCCAACCAUGACUUUGACAUUCUCCCACUUGGAGAUUAAAUUGAGAAUCAAUCAAUCUCUACACUAUUCUUUCUACUUCGCCAUAAUCAUGUUACCUACGUUUCUGCUAGGCCACAAGAGGAUCUAAUCCAGACAAACUUAUCAGUAUUUAUUGGCUUGGUCAAAACAUCUGCUAGAUUCUCCUUCAUAUGGAUUUUUUGUAAAUCCACACUUCCGUCUUCCACUACUUCUCGAACGAAGUGAUACUGAACUCCUAUGUGUUUUGUCCUGGAAUGAAAGGCUAGAUUCCUUGCAAUGUGCAAGACACUCUGACUAUCACAAAACACAGAAAUUUUCUCUUGUUUGUGCCCGAGUUCCUCCAAUAACCUUUGUAUCCAGAUAGCUUCCUUGCAAGCUUGUGUAGCCGCCAUGUACUCUGCUUCUGUUGUAGAUAAUUCCUUAACUCUUUGCAGUUUUGAAACCCAGCUUACAGCUCCUCCCGUAAGUGUUGUUGUGCAAAUUUUAAUGUACUCGCAAGUGCACGAAUCUAUUGUAGUAUAGAUCAAUGGUGACGAGUGUCGAUCCCACGAGGAGGUGGAUUUUAAUUGUGUAUAGAAUUAAUUUUGUAAAUGGGGGAUUGAAUUUGUGGUGGAAAUGAUUUGGAAUAUGCUAAAACUUAAAUUAAAAUGGCGAGAAUAAAUUCUAAAAUUGGAAUUGAAAUGGCGAGAAUAAAUUGAAGAGAAUUCUAUUGAAAUGGUGUACUUGAGUAUCUGGAUCCGUAUCAACAUGCAUCAUGGGCUAAAUAUUCCUUAUUAAUACCAAUUAAAUCAUGAGGGGGGAAUCCACACCUCAUGAACCACGCUCUAAUCAAUAUGGUGCUAAGGGCUUAUCGUGCCAAAUAAUAAUAACCUUAUACUAGAGAGCCGGUGUAACCAAGGCGGUAUCUAGACAAGAUCAGUAUUAUUUGUCGACGAUAAGUCAAAUCAUCCACAAAAAUUAGAGGGGAAGAGAAAGUAAAUUUACCAAAUCAAGCCCAUGACACAUGUUGAGACUUCACCUUCAACCCAAGUUUGAAAGAAAAUUAGCCACUCAUAAUUGAACUAGGGGCAAAAUGGAAAUUUAUUAAAAUACGAAGAAAAUACAAGAUGGAGAGGGAAUUACAGAAAAUGGAUCCCAAAAAUGGAUUCAAAGAUAUCAAAUUAGGGGGGGGAGGCCCCCUUUUUAUAGAUACAUGGAGUAAAUCAUGGCCAUCGGAUUAAAAACAGUUUGGACGCUCAGGAUUGCGCCACGUCAUCAGUCAACAGUCCACGGUUUGACCACGUGGAUGAACAGUAACACGGUUUGACCCGGAUGAACAGUACGCGGUUUGGUUGAAAAUAAUCCUGUGUGAUGCAUGCACCGUACGCGAGAUUUUUCGUCCACUGAUAUGCUGCCACGUCACCAUCAACAGUACAUAAGAAUUUUAGUCCAACAGGAUCGUGACACCUCAUCAGUCAAUGCCACAUCAUCGGUCCGUCUAUGUGAACAGUGUCGUGAACAGUAACGUAGACAGUACCGUAUACGUGAAUAGUACCGUACAUGUGAAUAGUGCCAUUUUUCCUUUUAUGCUCCUCCUAAGGUUUUCGACCAUCCUGAGUUCAAAAGUGAUGUCCGUUUUGCCGUCUGAUCUCUCCUUUAUUGUGAAAUGACUAUACUGCCCCUAAAAUACAUAAAAUACUUAAUUAAAAUAACACACACGUAAUUACAUCAUAAGAAGGUUAAAUACAUAAAAGUAAGGGUUGUUAGUAAGACUUGAAAUGUAAAAUGACGGUUUUCUCCUUUAUAAAUAUGCAUUUUCUGACACUCAACACACCCUCCAACCAGCUUAUUGCUAGUCCCUAGCAAAUAAAGCGAAAACAAAAUUCAAAUUCAAUUUUUUUUUUUUUUUUUUUUUUUUUAGAAACACUCGUGUUUAUUCAAUCAGAUUAAUGAUAGCAAUCAAAUAAAAGUAUAAGCAUUAUCUCUAGUCUAAAGCAAUAUCACACCCACAUCAACCAUCCACAUGAAUUGGCCCAGUAGACUUUGUUAUAGCUACUUUCAAGAAUGACAUGUCAAACCCCAAAAUCUCACUGGAAGUAGUGACACUCUCAUAAUGAAUGGUAAUUGAGAGAAAAUAAUGAAAAAGUGAUAUCACAUGCUCUCACCAAGAUGAAAUAAAUAUGCCCUCAGCUUAGAAAUAAUACAAUCUCAAGUCAAAUAAAAAAAAUGUUAGUCAACCCAAUUUAUUUAUUUAUUUUUUUUAUAUGCACCACUACAUCUUUUUAGCCCAUAUAACUAGCUUCUACUUCAAACUAUAGUUCCCUAAAAUCAAGAAGGACUUUUAUUAGGACGUAACGUAGGCUAGGGAUAUGACUAACAAAGAAAGGAAAUAAGGAAAACAAAGUGUAUAUUUGAGAAAAAUGCAGAAAUAUUUUUUCUUUUUUUUGAAGUUGCAAGGUGGAUUUCACCUAUUAUUGUUAUUUUAUUAUUUUGAAACAACAACUUUUGUUUUUUUUUUGUUUUGUUUUGUUUUUUUUGUUUUUUUUUGUUUUUUUUGCUUUUAUUUGGCAUAACUUCACUGAACAACAUAAUUAUUUACAUUUUCUCAAACAUAAAUAGGUGAUGGAACUUAUAAGACAUCGGGUAAUACUCCAAAUCAGAGUGGGUCAAGAUGAUAAGUUGACAAAGAAAAUAUAUAUAUUUUUUUUAAAGGCUCAAAAGGGGUAACUAUGGAUAUUUAAUAACGGGGAUGGCUAGAAAGGCUCAAACGGAUCAAAGAUGGCCUUUCCAUCGUUUUUUAGGGCUCUAAAUAAUUAUCCAUAUCUACUAGUUAGAUGGGCCUCCCAAUGUAGCAACGCACAUUUUUUUCUUUUUUUUUUUCUUUUUUUUUUUAAUUUUACCAUUUUUUUUUUAUAGGGUUAACUCAAAAGAAAUCUAGAGAUCGUGUAUAAAAUAAUAAACUGCUAAGCUGUAUAGAAAAUGGGCAAAAGGGUUACUCUCCAAGAAAAUGAUAGGCUCAACAACUCACUUGGCACUUAUUUAUGACAUGUUCGAAUUCAAGCAACUCAUAUUUGUCUCCGACAUCAACAUGUAAAGUAGCAAACAUAGCGUAACAUCACUUAAGACCAAAGAUAAUACAAAUACUAAAAUUUGAAAUUAAUCAUGUUAUCCAAUGUUAAAACAAAAAACACAAUUUUUUUUUUUUUUUACACAACAUUCUACCCCCCAACCUAUUCUAAACAUGAAAGGAAAAUAUGCAUGCAGAAAUGUGAAAAUGAUGUAGAAAAAUUAAUUAGAAAAAUAAAUUUUUUGUUUUUUAACUAAGAAGAUGCGUUUCUAGAGGCACUACACUCCAUAUUCAGCCAUCUUCGACUCAAAAAUUUGAAAAUAUAUAUUUAUAAAGGAGAAAGAGGAAGAAAACGAUUUUGUUUUUGUUUUUUUUUUUUAAACGAUGAAGAUGCGUUUCUAGAGUAACUACACUCCAUAUUCAGCCAUCUUCAACAUAAAACGUUAGCAACAGUUAGUUUCUACAACAAAAAAUCAGUAAAAACUUAACCAAGAUUCCACAAUUGUCGACUAUUCCCUCCCCCAACCAGAACGAAACAUUGUCCUCAAUGUUUUAAAGGAAAGAAGUAGAGUUUAGAAGACAUCACCUGGGUGGUGCAACACAGAAGAAUAUAUUUACAGGCGGAGAGUUAAAUCUAAUUUGUACUUCUUACUGCGGCUACUGUUACCAUCAUUAUUUGGGCGCUCCAACACAAAGGUCCAGGGGUCUGGCUCCGGUUUAUAAGCUUGUAACAGAUCAAGUAGCUCAUUAGCAGUGUGAGCACAAAUAAAAAGUUUUUUUUACAUUAGAAGGAAUGAAAUAGUUUUUUAUUGCAUGGUUAAGAAAUGCGAUAAAGCCAUCAUAAAAGUUAUUGACAUUUAACAAACCGAUAGGUUUCUGGUGGAUGUGCAGAUGGGCCCAAGAUCCUAGUGUCAUAAGUGCCUCUAGUGUUGCAAGAUCUCCUGGAAGGAAAAUAAAAGCAUCAGCAUGAUUAAGCAUUUCAGUUAUUCUUUCUUGCAUACUUGAGACGACUAACUCUUCUCCAGUUGAUGAGUCAGACGAACUGCCCAAUGGUUUUAGGACUCUUGGGAUGAUGCCUAACACUUGACUUCCUCUGAUAAAAGCUGCUUCUGAGACCAUUUUUGAUAACCCUCGGUUACCUCCUCCAUACACCAAAUGUAAUUUUCUCGCUGCUAUGCUUCGACCAAGAUCUAUGGCUGCCUCAACGAACUCUUUAUGUUUGCCAUAUGUAAAUCCAGAAAGCACACAAAUGUUCUUGAAUUGUCUAUUGGGAGUAGCUGCCAUUGUGAUACUUCUCAAAAACAAUUUGUGAGUGCUUGACAAAAGAUAAAUCACAUUUAAGAAUCUUGGUGACAAUGGAUCACUGCUGUGAAUGAGGUAACAUAUCAGUGUCAAAUAACGCGUAAAGCACGUGGCUCGCGAGUCAAAAAGGAAACAGUAAAAAGGACAAAGCAAACAGUAAUAAAAUUAUUAAAGACAAUAAUGCAAACAAUAAAACAACAGUGAAAUGAAAUAAAAUAACAGUAAAGUAAAAGGAUAUUUACACGUAGUUGCGACUGUGGCUCACAUCUUCCUCUGGUUUUACGUCCAGAAACGGCUUGAACGCCCUCUAUGGGUCGAGGAUCGGCUUCCCAUCCAGUUUUCUUAUAAACUGACAAACAUGGUCGUUUAUAGUCAGAUUCCCGAGACUAUAUCGUGCAUGCUCUUUCUGGAAUAAUGGCUCAACACUCAACACAUAUCCACUGGGAUGCGUUUCAAGAGACAAAAGGAUAUCAUCCAAUUUGCACAUUUAACACUCAACACUCAACACAUAUCUUCCCUGUUAUCAGACACCAUUCCUAAAGAACAUGGGUUUCUAUCGCAACUCAUUCUAGCACACUUAUGACAAGCAAUAGAAAUUCUUCGAGCUCGUCGUUUUCUUGCAUAAUUUCCUUUACCACAACCAGGCAUGAAUGCAAUAAAUUUUGGAGGUAACUCACCUGCCGAUCGUACUUUAGCCUCGAUUAACCAACGGAUGUCAGCAGGUAUGUUAUUCUUCAUGAGCAAUCGCAUGCGUUCGGACCGGGCUUUAUAGAUUGUAAGGAGGGCAUUCUGAGGAAGUGAAGGGAAUCGCUUGUGAAGCUUCGCUAGAAUCUCGUUUCUGUCCAUACCUUCGCCUCAGAAUAUCAGUUAUUAUGGGAAACUGAAGUUAACCGACUUGAUUGUCAUGGAGUACCGUUAUCCGCCACUUCACCGGGGUAACAAACUAAAGCACACAAACAGAAAAAUAAAUUAAAACACACAAAGAAAAUUAAAAUUGUCCUUUUAUUGAAUUUACCUCAAGCUCCAACUGGAUGUCGUAAACACUUCUCUCAAUGUCUCUGAGUUGGCGUUCUAAACCCUCAACAUAGGCUACUAACUCUGGUGGUUGUAGAGCCCAAAUACGAUGUGUUUUACAAAAUUGAAUUUGCCAUUUGAGAUGAGUUUUGACACGUUGAAGUGGUUUAAGAAUGUUCAGGAGGAACGGUCUAAGUAAGGUACUCAUGAUUAAAAAUGAUAAGAGAAAACUUAAUAGUUUAAACAAACACACUUAUGCAAAAAUAAUUUCAAUUAGCAAAAGAAUAAUAAAAAGAAAGAAAGAAAAAUUAAAUCAACGAAAAGAAAAAACAAAUCAAUUCAAAUCUGGUGGGUCACUCAAAUUUAUUUCGGUGUCUUCUCCAUGUGGUUGGUAUUCUAGAUAUAGCUUUAAUAUUUGACCAUUAACUUUAAACGUGACACCGUUCUUUGGGUCCUUAAUUUCAAUUGCCCCAUGUGGAAAAACAGUAUGAACAAUAAAGGGACCAGACCAUCGAGAGCGUAACUUACCUGGGAAUAGGUGCAAGCGAGAAUUGAAUAAAAGCACUUUCUGACCUGGAGUGAACGAUUUUCUCAUAAUUUGCUUGUCGUGAAAGACUUUCAUUCGUUGCUUGUAAAUCUUGGCAUUUUCAUAUGCGUCAUUGCGAAUUUCUUCAAGUUCUACCAGUUGUAAUCUUCUCUCUGAGCUGGCUUGCUGCAUGUCAAAGUUGAAUUUCUUGAUGGCCCAAUAUGCACGAUGCUCGAGUUCCACAGGUAGGUGGCAAGCUUUUCCAUACACUAGCCUGUAGGGUGACAUCCCAAUCGGGGUCUUGAAAGCCGUUCUAUAUGCCCAUAAUGCAUCAUCAAGUCUUAAUGACCAAUAUUUUCUGUCUGGCCUCACUGUUUUUUCUAAUAUGUGCUUUAUUUCUCGAUUGGAGAUCUCAACUUGGCCACUAGUUUGCGGAUGAUACGGGGUCGCCACUUUGUGUGUGAUUGAAUAUUUUGUCAAAAGAGCUUUGAAUGCUUUGUUACAAAAGUGGGCACCACCAUCACUGAUUAUCGCUCGAGGGAAUCCAAAGCGUGAAACAAUGUUGCUUUUCAAAAAUCCUAUCACCACAUUGUGAUCAUUGGUUCUACAUGGAAUUGCUUCUACCCAUUUCGAGACGUAGUCAACACCAACCAAUAUGUAUUGAUGGCCAAAAGAAGGGGGAAAGGGUCCCAUGAAGUCGAUACCCCAUACGUAAAAAAUCUCAACCACUAAAAUUGGAUUUAGUGGCAUCAUGUUCCUUCGUGUAAUGCUCCCCAUUCGUUGACACCUAUCACAUGAAGAACAGAAAGUGUAAGCGUCUCGAAAUAUAGUUGGCCAAUAGAAACCACAUUGUAAAACUUUAGUCGCUGUUUUCUUAGCACUGAAAUGGCCUCCACAAGCUUGUUCAUGGCAGAAUGAAAGGAUAUUCUGAAUUUCAUUUUCAGGGACACAUCGUCUAACAAUUUGGUCUGCACAAUACUUGAACAAAUAUGGGUCAUCCCAAAAGAAAUUCUUUAUUUCCGCAAAGAAUUUAGCCUUGUCUUGAUUGGUCCAAUGCUCUGAAAGUUUACUUGUAACAAGAUAAUUAACUAUAUCAGCAUACCAAGGUAAUACUUCCACAUUCAUUAAUUGUUCAUCUAGAAAUGACUCAUUCAAUGGUAAUGGUUCCAUAAUUGUAUCAAAAUGGAGGCGAGAGAGAUGGUCAGCUACAACAUUCUCUGUGCUUUUCUUAUCUUUGAAUUCCAAGUCAAAUUCCUGCAAAAGUAACACCCAACGAAUUAGUCUAGCUUUUGCAUCUUUCUUUGUGAGAAGAUAUUUAAGAGCAGCAUGAUCUGUGAAUAUAAUUAUUUUACAACUAAUGAGAUAAGAUCAAAAUUUCUCUAAUGCAAACACUACUGCUAGCAUUUAUUUUUUAGUAGUUGAAUAGUUCAACUGUGCAUCACUCAAUGUCAUACUAGCAUAGUAAAUAAUAUGGGGAAUUCGAUCAACUCUUUGUCCUAAUACUGCUCCUACUGCAUAAUCAGAUGCAUCACACAUGAGCUCAAAUGGUAAGCUCCAGUUUGGGGCCUGAAUGAUGGGUGAUGAUGUCAACAACUGCUUUAAUUUUUCAAAUGCCACAAGACAUGAAUCAUUAAAGAUAAAAGGUACAUCCUUAGCAAGUAGAUUGCAUAAGGGUCUAGAAACUUUGCUAAAAUCUUUAAUGAAACGUCUAUAGAAACCAGCAUGCCCAAGGAAAGAUCUUACUUCUCUGACUGUUUUGGGUGGAGGAAGAUUAGAAAUGAGAUCCACCUUGGCUUUGUCAACCUCAAUACCUUUGCUUGAAAUGAUGUGACCGAGAACAAUACCUUGUUUUACCAUAAAAUGGCACUUCUCCCAAUUCAAGACUAAGUUCUUCUCGGUACAUCUCUGCAGAACUAGCGUUAGAUGAUGUAAACAUUGAUCAAACGAAUCACCAAAGACAGAAAAGUCAUCCAUAAAGACUUCAAGGAAUCGUUCAACCAUAUCAGAAAAAAUGCUUAACAUACAUCGUUGAAAUGUAGCAGGUGCAUUACAUAAUCCAAAUGGCAUUCUCCUAUAUGCAAAUGUGCCAAAAGGGCAAGUGAAAGUAGUUUUCUCUUGAUCUUUUGGUGCUAUGGGAAUCUGAUUAUAUCCUGAAUAGCCAUCUAGAAAGCAAUAAAAUUCAUGGCCUGCUAAUCUAUCAAGCAUUUGAUCAAUAAAUGGUAAAGGAAAAUGGUCUUUACGUGUGACAGAAUUCAACUUUCUAUAAUCAAUGCAUACACGCCAUCCUGUAGUUACUCUAGUUGGUAUUAAUUCAUUAUCAGCAUUGGUAACUACUGUGACUCCUGACUUUUUGGGGACAACUUGUACAGGACUGACCCAUGAACUAUCAGAAAUUGGGUAAAUGAUACCUGCGUCUAAUAGCUUAAGGACUUCUGUUCUAACAACUUCUUUCAUAUUAUGAUUUAAUCGACGUUGCAUUUCCCUAGUAGAUUUAGCAUUUUCAUCAAGGUGAAUGUAAUGCAUGCAAUCUGCAGGGUUUAUACCUUUUAUGUCCGCUAUGGUCCAUCCUAAUGCUCCUUUGUGCUUUUUUAAAACAUCCAACAACUUACCUUUUUGUUCGUCAUUGAGGGAUGAUGAGAUGAUUACCGGCAGAGAACUUUCUUCCCCCAAAAAUGCAUAUUCCAAAGUGUUGGGCAAUGGUUUGAGCUCGAGUUUCGGUGGUGAUUCUGAUGAUGGGAUGAGUUUCUUCUCUAAUGGUGCUAGUUGUUCAACUCUUGACUUCCAUUUAUUAGUGUCCAUGGAUGGUGCUGAGUCAAGUAGGGCGUUGACCUCAUCAACUGAUCUGUCAAUAUCAAAAUCAAAACCAAAGUGAGUUAAGCAUGCCUGUAAAGGAUCAUCACUAAGGUUUGAAAGAAAAGUAUUAUCAACUAUUGUUUCUAUUAAAUCCACAUCAACAAUUCCAUCAUCUGCACUGUGAGGUUGUUUGGCAAUGUUGAAAAUGUUUAGCUCCAUAGUCAUGUUGCCGAAGGACAACUGCAUAUUUUCGGUCCUGCAUUGAACAUGAGCAUCCACAGUUGCCAAGAAAGGUCGGCCUAGAAUAAUAGGGAUGUGCUUCCUUGAAUCAUGUAUUAGUUGAGUGUCAAUUACAAUGAAAUCAACAGGAAAAUAAAACUUGUCUACCUGGAUAAGCACGUCCUCCACAAUACCACGAGGUAUUUUCGUAGACCGAUCUGCAAGCUGUAACACCACUGGAGUUGGGUGUAAUUCUCCCAGUCCAAGUUUCACGAAUACAGAGUAAGGCAACAGAUUUACACUAGCUCCUAAAUCCAACAAAGCAUUCUCAAUUGUGUGGUUCCCUAUACUACAUGAGAUAGUGGGGGAGCCUGGGUCUUUGCAUUUUAAAGGAAUUUUAUGUUGGAGUAUAGAACUAACGUUUUCUGUUAAAAAUGUCUUCUUUUGAACAUGCAUAUUUCUCUUUUUAGUACAAAGGUCUUUAAGAAACUUGGCAUAAGAUGGAACUUGUUUAAUAGCAUCAAGCAAAGGGAUGUUGACACUUACCUGUUUGAAGAUUUCGAGAAUCUCACCUGUGGAUUUUCCUUUCUUUCCUUUCGCUAACCUCUGAGGAAAUAGAGCUUUGGGAACGUAUUCUCGUGGGUUGGUUUCUUCUUUUUCCUCCGGUGGUGAGUCUUCAACACUCACAGGUACAAUUUGAUUUUCUUUUGUCACCGGCAUCUCCUUUUUGUUGUCGACUUCUUUUCCUUUUCGCAAGGUCAUUACUGCUUUGACCUCUCCAUGCUGCUGUGGUGAACUUGUACUUGCUUCAUGUACUCCUUUAGGGUUAGUCACUGGUUGACUUGGAAAUUUACCUUUCUCAACAGUCAUUGCCAAGGUCUGAACUGAAGAAGCGAGUUGUCCCACCAUCUUCUCAAGGCUUGAAACUGAUUGGGCUUGUGAGUUGAAGCCUGCUCUCAACUCAUUUCGUAGUCCAUCAAUGGUGCGGUUCUGUUGCUCAAUCGUGGAGUGAGUAAGAUUCUUGAGAUUCUGGAAUGAAUCCUCCCAUGGUCUGGGUUGAGAGUAAUUCUGGUUCUGAUUGUAUGGUCUAAAUGGGGGCUGAGAGGCUUGAGGAUUUUAAGGAAUUGGUGGAGCUGGAGCUGCUGGUCCAUUUUGUUGGAAUCCUUGAGACCAUGAAAAAUUGGGGUGGUCUCUCCAUCCAGGGUUAUAUGUGUUGGAGUAAGGGUUGUAAUUCGAUGGUUUUCUCAUUACACCUAUGGCAUUGGCUUGAUCUGAGUAUGAGUCAUGGUCAUGUGGCUCUGUUGAUUUAGCAGUCGAUAACGAUGCUAUUUGUCGAGAGAGACCUUCAACCAUCUCCUUGGCUUCUUUGAUUCCCGAAGUUGACUCGCCAAUGUGAACCUCAUUCACUCCUUUAAUCCUUCUAGUAUUCCUGAGUGAUCGACUCCGUUGUUGGGAAUUGUCCGCUUGUCGCUGGAAAAACUCCCAAAUUUCUGAUGCACUUUUUGACAUUAGCUCUCCUCCACUUGUUGCCAUUAGCCAUUCUUGCACAUUCGGCAAUAAUCCCUCCAAAAAGUAUUGGCAUUGGUGCCAUUUCUCGUACCCAUGAUGUGGACACUUCAAGAGUAGUCCAUUGAAUCGCUCCCAAGUUUCGAAAAACUGCUCGUCCUCUCUUUGUGUAAACUCUGAAAUUUCCCUGCGAAUAGAAUUGGUUUUAUGCACUGGGAAAUAUUUAUUUAGAAAUUUUGUAACCAUUUGUUCCCAUGAUGCAAUGCUAUUAGCAGGCAAAGUAUUUAACCAUGAACGAGCUCUAUCCUUUAAAGAAAAUGGGAAUAAUCUAAGCUUUACAUCAUCAUCUGAAAAAUUCUCAUAUUUAAAAGUUUGACAAAUAGCAUGAAAAUCAUUCAGAUGAUUAUAUGGGUCCUCAUUUUCUAGGCCAUAAAAUGUGGGGAGACAAUUUAGCACACUAGGUUUUAAUUCAAAACUCCUAGCAGCUACAUUUGGGUAUCUUAUACAUGAUGUGCUCAAAUUAGCUAAGGGACUAAAAUAAUCCUUAAAUGGCCUCUCCUGUGGUGCUUGUAAAUCCAUUCCAAAUUUAUUAAUGUGCUUUUGUGUGCGAAGUAUUUUCUCAAGUUCAAGGUCUAUAGGUUCAAGAUUAGGUAAUAAUGACCUACGACCAUGCAUGCAAAACAAAUAAAAUAAAAAUAAAGAUGGGAACAAAACAAAUAAAAAUAAAGAAGAGGGAGAAAUUACGAUACUAACCUUAUUGCGCUAUUACAACCUUACUAUAAAAAUACACAAAAAUAAAUAUGUGAAAUAAAUUAACUAAAAAUUAAAUUAAUAAGAUAAACAAAAAUUACAAAGAAAAAUAAAUUAAAAAUUCAAUUACAGAAUUUUAAAGAAGAGAAAAAGAAAAGAAAUACUAACCUUUAAAUGUAGAUUCACUUUUUUUUUAAUAACAAAAAAAUUACACAAACAAUUAAAAGAAAUUAAUCACAAAAAUUAAUUCUACGAAUUAAAAUAACUUACCUCCCCGGCAACGGCACCAAAAAACUUGUUGUGCAAAUUUUAAUGUACUCGCAAGUGCACGAAUCUAUUGUAGUAUAGAUCAAUGGUGACGAGUGUCGAUCCCACGAGGAGGUGGAUUUUAAUUGUGUAUAGAAUUAAUUUUGUAAAUGGGGGAUUGAAUUUGUGGUGGAAAUGAUUUGGAAUAUGCUAAAACUUAAAUUAAAAUGGCGAGAAUAAAUUCUAAAAUUGGAAUUGAAAUGGCGAGAAUAAAUUGAAGAGAAUUCUAUUGAAAUGGUGUACUUGGGUAUCUGGAUCCGUAUCAACAUGCAUCAUGGGCUAAAUAUUCCUUAUUAAUACCAAUUAAAUCAUGAGGGGGGAAUCCACACCUCAUGAACCACGCUCUAAUCAAUAUGGUGCUAAGGGCUUAUCGUGCCAAAUAAUAAUAACCUUAUACUAGAGAGCCGGUGUAACCAAGGCGGUAUCUAGACAAGAUCAGUAUUAUUUGUCGACGAUAAGUCAAAUCAUCCACAAAAAUUAGAGGGGCAGAGAAAGUAAAUUUACCAAAUCAAGCCCAUGACACAUGUUGAGACUUCACCUUCAACCCAAGCUUGAAAGAAAAUUAGCCACUCAUAAUUGAACUAGGGGCAAAAUGGAAAUUUAUUAAAAUACGAAGAAAAUACAAGAUGGAGAGGGAAUUACAGAAAAUGGAUCCCAAAAAUGGAUUCAGAGAUAUCAAAUUAGGGGGGGAGGCCCCCUUUUUAUAGAUACAUGGAGUAAAUCAUGGCCAUCGGAUUAAAAACAGUUUAGACGCUCAGGAUUGCGCCACGUCAUCAGUCAACAGUCCACGGUUUGACCACGCGGAUGAACAGUAACACGGUUUGACCUGGAUGAACAGUACGCGGUUUGGUUGAAAAUAAUCCUGUCUGAUGCAUGCACCGUACGCGAGAUUUUUCGUCCACUGAUAUGCUGCCACGUCACCAUCAACAGUACAUAAGAAUUUUAGUCCAACAGGAUCGUGACACCUCAUCAGUCAAUGCCACAUCAUCGGUCAAUGCCACGUCAUCGAUCCGUCUAUGUGAACAGUGUCGUGAAUAGUAACGUAGAUAGUACCGUAUACGUGAAUAGUACUGUACACGUGAAUAGUGCCAUUUUUCCUUUUAUGCUCCUCCUAAGGUUUUCGACCAUCCUGAGUUCAAAAGUGAUGUUCGUUUUGCCGUCUGAUCUCUCCUUUAUUGUGAAAUGACUAUACUGCCCCUAAAAUACAUAAAAUACUUAAUUAAAAUAACACACACGUAAUUACAUCACAAGAAAGUUAAAUACAUAAAAGUAAGGGUUGUUAGUAAGACUUGAAAUGUAAAAUGAAGGUUUUCUCCUUUAUAAAUAUGCAUUUUCUAACACUCAACACACUCCCCAACCAGCUUAUUGCUAGUCCCUAGUGGUGAGUAUUCCCGCCUGUCACGCGGGUGACCCGGGUUCGAUCCCCGGCAACGGCGCCAAAAACUUGUUGUGCAAAUUUUAAUGUACUCGCAAGUGCACGAAUCUAUUGUAGUAUAGAUCAAUGGUGACGAGUGUCGAUCCCACGAGGAGGUGGAUUUUAAUUGUGUAUAGAAUUAAUUUUGUAAAUGGGGGAUUGAAUUUGUGGUGGAAAUGAUUUGGAAUAUGCUAAAACUUAAAUUAAAAUAGCGAGAAUAAAUUCUAAAAUUGGAAUUGAAAUGACGAGAAUAAAUUGAAGAGAAUUAUAUUGAAAUGAUGUACUUGGGUAUCUGGAUCCGUAUCAACAUGCAUCAUGGGCUAAAUAUUCCUUAUUAAUACCAAUUAAAUCAUGAGGGGGGAAUCCACACCUCAUGAACCACGCUCUAAUCAAUAUGGUGCUAAGGGCUUAUCGUGCCAAAUAAUAAUAACCUUAUACUAGAGAGCCGGUGUAACCAAGGCGGUAUUUAGACAAGAUCAGUAUUAUUUGUCGACGAUAAGUCAAAUCAUCCACAAAAAUUAGAGGGGCAGAGAAAGUAAAUUUACCAAAUCAAGCCCAUGACACAUGUUGAGACUUCACCUUCAACCCAAGCUUGAAAGAAAAUUAGCCACUCAUAAUUGAACUAGGGGCAAAAUGGAAAUUUAUUAAAAUACGAAGAAAAUACAAGAUGGAGAGGGAAUUACAUAAAAUGGAUCCCAAAAAUGGAUUCAGAGAUAUCAAAUUAGGGGGGGAGGCCCCCUUUUUAUAGAUACAUGGAGUAAAUCAUGGCCAUCGGAUUAAAAACAGUUUAGACGCUCAGGAUUGCGCCACGUCAUCAGUCAACAGUCCACGGUUUGACCACGCGGAUGAACAGUAACACGGUUUGACCUGGAUGAACAGUACGCGGUUUGGUUGAAAAUAAUCCUGUCUGAUGCAUGCACCGUACGCGAGAUUUUUCGUCCACUGAUAUGCUGCCACGUCACCAUCAACAGUACAUAAGAAUUUUAGUCCAACAGGAUCGUGACACCUCAUCAGUCAAUGCCACAUCAUCGGUCAAUGCCACGUCAUCGAUCCGUCUAUGUGAACAGUGUCGUGAAUAGUAACGUAGAUAGUACCGUAUACGUGAAUAGUACUGUACACGUGAAUAGUGCCAUUUUUCCUUUUAUGCUCCUCCUAAGGUUUUCGACCAUCCUGAGUUCAAAAGUGAUGUUCGUUUUGCCGUCUGAUCUCUCCUUUAUUGUGAAAUGACUAUACUGCCCCUAAAAUACAUAAAAUACUUAAUUAAAAUAACACACACGUAAUUACAUCACAAGAAGGUUAAAUACAUAAAAGUAAGGGUUGUUAGUAAGACUUGAAAUGUAAAAUGAAGGUUUUCUCCUUUAUAAAUAUGCAUUUUCUAACACUCAACACACUCCCCAACCAGCUUAUUGCUAGUCCCUAGUGGUGAGUAUUCCCGCCUGUCACGCGGGUGACCCGGGUUCGAUCCCCGGCAACGGCGCCAAAAACUUGUUGUGCAAAUUUUAAUGUACUCGCAAGUGCACGAAUCUAUUGUAGUAUAGAUCAAUGGUGACGAGUGUCGAUCCCACGAGGAGGUGGAUUUUAAUUGUGUAUAGAAUUAAUUUUGUAAAUGGGGGAUUGAAUUUGUGGUGGAAAUGAUUUGGAAUAUGCUAAAACUUAAAUUAAAAUAGCGAGAAUAAAUUCUAAAAUUGGAAUUGAAAUGACGAGAAUAAAUUGAAGAGAAUUAUAUUGAAAUGAUGUACUUGGGUAUCUGGAUCCGUAUCAACAUGCAUCAUGGGCUAAAUAUUCCUUAUUAAUACCAAUUAAAUCAUGAGGGGGGAAUCCACACCUCAUGAACCACGCUCUAAUCAAUAUGGUGCUAAGGGCUUAUCGUGCCAAAUAAUAAUAACCUUAUACUAGAGAGCCGGUGUAACCAAGGCGGUAUCUAGACAAGAUCAGUAUUAUUUGUCGACGAUAAGUCAAAUCAUCCACAAAAAUUAGAGGGGCAGAGAAAGUAAAUUUACCAAAUCAAGCCCAUGACACAUGUUGAGACUUCACCUUCAACCCAAGCUUGAAAGAAAAUUAGCCACUCAUAAUUGAACUAGGGGCAAAAUGGAAAUUUAUUAAAAUACGAAGAAAAUACAAGAUGGAGAGGGAAUUACAGAAAAUGGAUCCCAAAAAUGGAUUCAGAGAUAUCAAAUUAGGGGGGGAGGCCCCCUUUUUAUAGAUACAUGGAGUAAAUCAUGGCCAUCGGAUUAAAAACAGUUUAGACGCUCAGGAUUGCGCCACGUCAUCAGUCAACAGUCCACGGUUUGACCACGCGGAUGAACAGUAACACGGUUUGACCUGGAUGAACAGUACGCGGUUUGGUUGAAAAUAAUCCUGUCUGAUGCAUGCACCGUACGCGAGAUUUUUCGUCCACUGAUAUGCUGCCACGUCACCAUCAACAGUACAUAAGAAUUUUAGUCCAACAGGAUCGUGACACCUCAUCAGUCAAUGCCACAUCAUCGGUCCGUCUAUGUGAACAGUGUCGUGAAUAGUAACGUAGACAGUAUCGUAUACGUGAAUAGUACCGUACAUGUGAAUAGUGCCAUUUUUCCUUUUAUGCUCCUCCUAAGGUUUUCGACCAUCCUGAGUUCAAAAGUAAUGUCCGUUUUGCCGUCUGAUCUCUCCUUUAUUGUGAAAUGACUAUACUGCCCCUAAAAUACAUAAAAUACUUAAUUAAAAUAACACACACGUAAUUAUAUCACAAGAAGGUUAAAUACAUAAAAGUAAGGGUUGUUAGUAAGACUUGAAAUGUAAAAUGACGGUUUUCUCCUUUAUAAAUAUGCAUUUUCUAACACUCAACAAGUGUAAACACAUAGGCAGUAGUAGAUUUUCUUUUAUCAAGGUCUCCUGCAAAAUCUAAAUCCACAUAGCCCCUUACAGUAAACUCUGAUCCUCUUUAAUAUAAUGCAACAUCUGAGGUUCCUCUGAUGUAUCUCAGAAUCCUCUUCAUAACUAUCCAAUGCUCUCCACCAGGAUUCACCAUGUAUCGACUGACUGCUCCACUGCUUGUGCAAUGUCUGGUCUUGUACAAAUCAUAGCGAACAUUAAACUUCCCACUGCUGAUGCAUAUGGUACUCGAGACAUCUCAUUUCUCUCUGCUUCAUUGCUAGGACACAUACUUGAGGAUAAUUUGAAAUUAACAGGAAGUGGGGUAUAAAUUGGCUUACAAUCUUGCAUGUUGAAGCCCCGCAAGAUUUUCUUCAAGUAGUUCUUUUGAGAAAGCCAAAUCUUCCUGUUAUUUCUGUCUCGGUGAAUUUGCAUCCCUAGAAUCUUGUUUGCUGGUCCCAAGUUCUUCAUUUCAAACUCCCUAGCCAACUGUGCCUUCAAUUCUUGGAUUCGAUCUUUGUUGGAGCCUGCUACUAACAUAUCAUCCAUAUACAACAGUAAAAUAAUGAAAUCAUUAUCUUUAAACCUUUUGUAAUAUGCACAAUAGUCUUAACUGAGUCUAUUGUAUCCAAGGCUCACAAUGAAUGAAUCAAAUCUCUUAUACCAACAUCUCGGCGCCUGUUUGAGACCGUAUAGAGAUUUGUUCAACCUGCAAACCAAGUUUUCUUUUCCUGUUUCUGCAAAACCUCCUGGUUGGAGCAUAUAUAUUUCUUCUUCAAGUUCUCCAUGAAGAAAUGCAGUUUUCACAUCUAACUGCUCUAAAUCUAGGUCAAAUGUAGCACACAUUGCCAAGACUAUUCUGACUGUUGUGAGUCGAAUUAUCGGAGAAAAUAUCUCGUUGAAGUCAAUACCUUCUUUCUGAGCAUAUUCUUUCACCACCAAUCUUGUAUGAUAUCGCUCCACUUGGUCAUUGCCAUCACGCUUGAUCUUGUAGACCCAUUUAUUUUCAAUAACUUUUCUUCCACGUGGUAGUGGUAUAAGUUCCCAUGUCUUGUUCUUGUGUAGAGGCUCAAUUUCUUCCUGCAUUACUGUCAUCCAUAAAGCAACAUCUGUGUUGCUUAAAGUUUCAUGGAAAGUUGAUGGCUCUCCAUCCUCUGUUAGAAGACAGUAUGCAACAUUGAUCUAUGUGACAUACUCCGAGUGCCAUACUGGCGGUCGUCUCUCACGAGUUGACCGAUGAAAUUCUAGAGCCUCGGACUCGACUGGUUCUUAUUCCUUGUGCUCUAGUGCUGCUUCAGAAGAAUCUGAAUCUUCUGGAUGAUUUUCCACAUAUACCGGCACAGUCUCUGACUUUUCUUUUACAGUGCUAUCAUCCUCAUCUUUUCUUUGCAGUUGAUCUUCUACAAAGAUAACAUCUCUGCUGAUGACGAUCUUGUAGGCAGUGAGGUCCCACAGACGAUACCCUUUACUCUAUCAGCAUAUCCUAAGAAGAUAUACCUCCUAGAUUUUGGAUCCAGCUUUGCUCUUUCUUGGGCAUUGUACAUCACGUACACAUGACAUCCAAAUGCAUGUAGGUAGGAGUAAUCAGCUGGCUUUUCAGUCUACAUCUCCAUCGCUGUCUUCAGCCCAAUAGUUGUAGAUGGGUAGACCAGCAGUCCUCAACAUAGCUCUUAUUCGUUCUGUAAGAAUCCUAUUCAUCCGCUCUGCCACUCCAUUUUGUUGAGGAGUGUAUGCUACCGUGAACUGCCUCUGAAUACCUUCUUGCCUACAAAAAGCAAGAAACUCGCCGCUGUAUAGUCUCCACCAUUAUCCGUCCUCAAGCACUUGAUCUUUUUUCCGGAUUCAAGUUCCAUCCGCACUUUGUAUUCUUUAAACACUAGAAAUACAUAUGACUUUUUCCUAAUUAGAUACACCCAACAUCUCCUAGAAUAAUUAUCAAUGAAAGUCACCAUGUACUUUGCACCUCUCAUAGUCAUAUCCGGCGAUUCCCAAACAUCAUAAUGAAUCAAGUCUAGAAUGCGUUUACUUCUAGCAAUAGAUCUACUGAACUUUAAUAUAUGAUGCUUACUUGUAACACAAUGCUCGCAAAAUGGUAAACGUACCGAUUUAAGUCCUGGAAGCAAUUUUCGCUCAGAGAAAAUCUUCAAAUCUUGUUAUGACAUGUGGUCAAGUUUGAGAUGCCACAUCAUCGUUGACUCUUCUCCAUUUGAUGCAACACAUGCAUCAGCCUCCUGUAAUGUUUCUCCUUUAAGCAUGAAUAGAUUAACACCGAUUUUUUCUGCCUUCAUCAAUACAAGCGCGCCUUUAACGAUCUUCAUAAUUUUAUUCUCCACAUGAGUUUUGUACCCAUGACUAUCCAUUUGUCUCAAAGACAAUAGAUUUUUCUUCAGGCCAUUGACAUGACGUACCUCCCUAAUUGUGCGAAUUGCACUAUCAAACAUUUUUAUUUUGAUAGUACCAAUAUCAGCGAUCUCCAAGGCAUGAUCAUUACCCAUAUAUACAGAUACUCCUGAGAUAGGUUCAUAUGUGUGAAACUAUUUUCUCCAAGAGGUCAUGUGCCAGGUAGCUCCUGAGUCUAUAAGCCAGACAUCAGAUUAUCGUUUUCUGCCUUCUGAAACAGUUGUUGCCUCGUUGUAGAGAAUUUCGCCAUCAUCUGAGGUACUUGCUACACACCCCUGAGCAUUUGAUGACUUAGGUUCUUUGCCCUCUUUUCUCUUCUGGUUACUCCAAUACUCUUUCUUGACAUGUCCUUUCUUACCACAGUUGUAGCAUUUAACAUUCUUCUUACUUCUGGAUUUGGAUCUACCAUGAUUGUGACUCCCAUUGGGGCCACGUUCCGUUGAUCUCCCUCUCGUAACUGAUAACGCCUCUGCUUGCUGUGAACUUGCUUGUCUGUUUUCCUUAUUUUUCCGUCUGCUCUCCUCAUUUAAUACGGAGGCUGCAACAUCGUAAAAAACUAGACUAUUUGCUGGAUUGUUGUUCGUUAGGUUGAUGAUAAGUUGAUCAUACGAAUCUGGUAGACUUUGAAGUAGAAGUUUUGCACGUUCAUUUUCCUCUAUAUUAUGACCCAACGUUGUGAGUUGUGAAAAUAAAAUUUUCAAGGUGUUGAUGUGGUCGGUCACCAUUAUAGAUUCUGCCAUUCGAAGAGUAUAGAGUUUCCUCUUCAAGAAAAUUUUGUUGUGUAGUGAUUUGGUCUCGUACAAUUUUGUGAGAGUAUCCCAUAUUUCUUUUGCUGUAGUUUUCUUUGCCACACUGGAUAAUACUAUGUCCACAAGUGCUAAGUGUAGAUCAGAAAUGGCGUUGCCAUCUAUCCCAUUCCACUUGUCAUUAGUUAUCUCAAUGGGCCUUCUCCAAUUGCUGCCAAGCAAUUAUUUUUCCUCAAUACAGCUUUCAUCUUCAUUUUCCACAACGAAAAUUUAUUUCCGUUAAACUUCUCAAUUUCAUACUUUGCCGCCAUUUUGUUGAUAAAUACAGUACACAAACCAGUGUAUCACCUCGAAUAGUUGUGAGUAUGUGUGAAUAUGCACACCAGGAAAGUUCCCAGGAAAGACUGGAGGGGUCACAACGGUCUCACUUAAAACCUAGACUCCUUAGGCUCUUAUCGCCUUUGUGACAGAACUUUUCUAGACAUGUUCAAAACCACACAGUUACUCCACUCACACUACUAUUCCCUACUUUGCACCGCAAAAAUUCUUGGAUUACUCCCACCGUUUCCCAUGAACAGUGUCGUAUACGUGAACAGUGUCGUAUACGUGAAUAGUAUCGUAUACGUGAAUAGUAUCAUAUACGUGAACAAUGUCGUAUACGUGAACAGUGUCGUAUACGUGAACAAUACCCAACUCCAAAAAAUACAACCAAUAGCUCUGAUACCACUAUAAGAAAAUUGGUGGGUGAAGCAGACACACAACUAAAAUAAAAUUAGAAGAAAAUAAAGAACAAGCACAGUAGAGGACCCCAGAAAUUACGUGAUUCGGCUUUUAACUUACGUCCACAUGCAAAAACAGAAGGAAAAUAUUUUACUAGUGAAAAUGAGUUACAAGUAUUGUGGUAUUUUGUCUCACUACCCAAAACCCCAAUACACCCAAAACUCUCAAAUCACAAAUCACUCAAGAGUUUGUUAAAACUCUUAAAAUACUCUCACUUUCUCUCUAAAGAAUAAGAAAUAAAAUGAAAAAUUUGGAUGCUCUAAGCCGAUGGGGAACCCCCCCAUUUAUAGCCAAAAUUGGCUAUUAAAAUAAUAAUUUUUUUUCUUUUCUUCCAUUUUGGUGUGCCAACCACCAUUUGCAGCAUUUUCUUCAUUCGUCUUUCUUCUUUGUCAAAAUUUCCCUUUUUUUUUCCUUUCCUUGAGCGGCAUCUACUUGGACUUCAAUUUGGGUGGCCAUUUUGAAAAAUGUUAAUGGUGCCAAACCGCCCAACCAUGACUUUGACAAUGACUGGAAGUUGUUCUGUUGAAGAAUUGUUGUUGUUGCAGAUCAUUACAUCUUUUAUAUCAGGGUGAACAUAUCGUGGUGGAACUUUAGUCGUCAUUGGCUUCAUUGCCAGCUCCUGAAUCGAAGGCUCCAGAAGAGAACUUGCUAUCGUUGUUGCUUUACAUAGUUUUUGAUUAAUUACCUCUCUUUUCUCUCCAAACUCGUGUGAUUAAACAAGACUAUACAAAGUUUUCAAUUAUUGAAGUAGAGAAUAACUUUUUUAAUUGCGGUCAUUUGAAAAAUAUUGCUUUAAAUAUAAGAUACUUAAUACAUUAAUUGAUCAAAUGGACAACUAAAUACUUUCGACUUGGAAAAGCAACAAUUCCUUGACGGUAGUGAAGUAGGGGUAUUCACAGAUUAGAUGUUAUGGAUUGGAUAUCAAUCCAUAUCCAAUUAACAAUUUUUUAUAUUAUAAAUUUUUAAUCCAAUUCAAUCUACGAAUUAGUGAAAUUCAAUUCAAAUUCAAUCCAUGUGAAUCAGAUGUGUAUUUGACCUAAUUCAUAUCCAAUCCACCAUUUUAUGGCCAUGGGUUAGUUUGUAAGUUAAGAAUUUUUAAUUUUGUCAAAUUUAAAAUUUAAUAAGAUUUAAAUAAAUUAAUCAUUUAAAUAAAACUAGAAAAAUACAUUCAAAGUUUCAAAUAUAAAACAACAAGAAGAAACAAUCUCAUUUUUUUAAAUCAAUACAUAAAAAUUAACUAAAAUUAUGAAAAUUAACUGUUUAGGAAGCUAUUUUUACUUAUUUAAUUAUUUUUUAUUUUAUAUUAUCAUGAAUAAGAUAUAAUAUGCUAUUAACGUAACUACAUUUUUAACUUAUUUUGUUAUUAGUAAGUAAUAAUGCCACAUUUACAAGUUUAAUAUUUUAAUUAAAUAAUUUUUGUUUUUGCAAAUUUACAGAUUUUUAUGAAUUUAUAGAAGUAAAUCUAUAUCUAAUUUAUUGACUGCGGAUUUUUAAAUUUUUAAUCUAAUUCAAUCCACUAAUCCACAGAUCGGAUUUUUAUAGAUCAAAUUUUUUGUAGAUCAAAUUAAGCAAAUCAGAUUAGAUUUUGAACACCCCUAGAGUGAAGAAGAGUUUAUUAAUUUAAUUUUUUUUGGGAUGGAUUUUAAUUCUGAUUUGGGGUGGGUUCGAUUCGGUUUUCCAAACCGAGCCGAACCAAAAUUUAUGUUAAUUAGAUUUAAUUUCGGUUUUAUAAAUAAAUAAAAUAAUUAUAAACAUUAAAAUCAUGCACACACCCACCAUCUCUCUCUCACACACUAGCCGACACACACAUACACCCUCACCAUCUGUCUCACUCUCGCUGAUACACACAUUCCAUCCACCACUGUCGCUUAUUAGCCAGCCUGUCACCGUAGUCGUCGCCAUCGCGCUCGUGUCAGCCUGUCGUAGUUCAUCCGGUCGUGCUCGUGUCAGCGUCGCCUCCCGUUCGUUGUGGUCGUGUCGUCGGUAGCCCGCCGCUGCUGUCGUGUCGGUGGACUUGUGUAACUUGUGUUUACAUUUUUUAUUUAUUCGUUGAUUUUGAUGGAAAGAUUUGGAAGCAAAUGAAAAGGUCAGUUUUAUAAUUACAAAUUAUUUGAAACAUCCAAAUAAAUUUUCAUGAAGUUCACGAGGAGGCUGUUGUUUUCAAUUGAAUCAAUUUUAAGUGUGCUUGUAGCAGCUGCCAUGCUCAAUAAUCCAUUUCACACCUGAAUUUCAAAACACUUGUUUUCCUUAAUUUUGUGAGUUCGGAUUCAUAAAUUGGAGUUUAAUUUGUUGGGUGUUUUAUAAAUAAAUUGUUGAAUGAAUCUAAUCACCAGCAAAGGGCUUCCUCAUCCAUUUUGAACCGAUCCACCCGUUUGUGAACCGAACUGAUCACAAAAUCGAACCGAUCGAAUCAUCUUUGGUACGGUUCAAAAGUUGGUUCGUAUUCGGUUCCAGCUUUAAAGAAUCGAUUGAUUUCAGUUUGGUUCAGUUCUUCGACUGAACCGAAUUGUACCAGAUAUGCCCAGCCCUAAUCUGAUAUGUCGAGUUUGGUCUCUGUAGUACGUUAGGUUUUAUUUAUUAUAAGAGCCCAUAGUCUAAGUCAUACUCAAAAACUAUUUAAAGAGUUGAGUAUUGUCUUAAAAUUUUUAUAUAGCCUUGUAAUUUUUCUUAGCCAGCGGCCAAACGUUGGAUAAUUUCCUCAAAACCUCUUGUCAUGUUCAUACUGUUCUUCUUGUAUGGUCGUUGUGAAAUGGAAUGGUAGUGUGAGACUGCUCAUGUAUGAUUUUGACACUAAUAUCAUAUAAAAACCAAUUUUCCUAAUUUAUACACAAAAACUAAUUCAAAAGAGUUGAGAUCUUAUAAUAUUAACCUAAUAAAUAUUAUUCUCAACUAAUGUGUAAUAAUAUCUUCAACAUUUAUCAAUAUUUAUAUUUUACUCUUUAAUAAUAAUAUUAAAAAAAUCAUGUGUUGGAAAAGCCAAUUACAUGUAUUAUUUUUGUCAAUUUUUGUUGAUAUAAGAUGUAAAGUCAAUGACACGCUUAAGCAUUUUUCAAAUGUGGAUGUCUGACCACACUGCUUGAGCAAGAUUAUUCAGCAUAAAGGAUAUAUACAUUAGGUUUCCACGUGGCCUGUCUUGUUUUUUGGAAUUUUGUUGGAUCUUGAUCCCUUACUUAAUGAUCUAAGUACUUUGUGAUUGUCUGGUGCAAUUCUAUGAUCGAUGUAACUUAUAUCAUUAUAUAAGGGACCUCUUAUUUUUUAUUGAUACUUUAAAAUACUAAUGUCUCACAUUAAAGGAAAGCAGGAUCAAUUUUCUUUGCAUUUGAUUUGAAAUUAGUCAUAUGUUAUAUUUAAUUACAAUUUAGAGUUGAAUAAACUAAAUUUGUAUGUGAUUGUAAUUAUUCAAGUUGAAUUAAAUUCUGAGAUAUAUGAAUGACUAAUUUAAAUUAAAAAGAUAUCCGUAAAAUGUUUCUCUAUAAAAAGGAGACAUACAAAGUUUUCUGUAUGAAAAAGCACUAUGUUGUCUUAUUAAAAAAAAAAAAAAAAACUAACAGUCUUUUUAUAACUUUUAAUUUUUGUCUCAUAUUUCUUCAUCAAUUUAUUUUUACUAUUUUUUAAACAAUGUUGGAAGUUUGAUAUAAUUUUUCCAUAUAAAGUCAAUGAAAAGAUAGACCACGAUGAGUGGAAGAAAAAUAUUAUAAGUUUUUUUCCAUGAAAGAGCACCACGUGUUUGACAAUUAAUAUGAUUUUAAAGGGACCAUCAUAAACAUCAUCUUUUCAAAAGCAAAAUUGAAAAUUGUCAUCUUCCAAACUUUCCAGGCAAACACAUUAAUUUGCUGGUCCAAUAGAAAGAAGUCACAUUUGUUGAAAAUAAUCACUUCAAGUCAUCAUACGCCAAUCUCAAUUGUAGGUUCAAAUCAGGUCCUAGGACAACAAUUGAAACUGCAGAUAUAUAUAAAUCGACAAAGAAACAUAGAAUAUACACAAAAUUUAUUAUGUAAUUUUAUUUUAACUUUUCUACAAGUUAUAAUUCACAUACAAAUACAAGUUACACAACUCCGUAAACUUAUUUAAGUUUAUCCAUUGAAGUAUACACAGCCCAGCAAGUCUAAACACAAUCCAACAGAAUAAGUUCACAACUUAAUUGACUUAUUUUAUCAGAAUGGACUCCAUGUAAUCUCGUCGUAUAACUGGAAGCAAUCAAUAACUUUUAAGUGCCCUGGUCUUGCAUUCUCAAGAAAUCAAUAAAAGACUUCCCACGCAGCUCACUUGAAUAAAAUCUUUUCCAGUAAUCUACCACACUUAUUUUUUUAAACAACGCUGGAGUCUUCGAAGUAAUAAGACUUGGUGCUGGACCCAAUUCUCCAUCUAAUUUCGGACUGUAAAAUGUAGCAAAAGAUAACCUUUCCUUCACUGAGUUUACAGUCGCACGAUGCUCGAUACUACGAUAAGUUCCAUUGGUAAAAAUCUAUAAACACAUAAAGUAAAUAAAUUAAACAAUAACAUAAAUAUAUGAAACCAGUUAUCAUCUACAUCUCCCAUCCUAACAACAUCAUUUUUAUCGCAAGCAAGGUGUUCCCAACCCUUUUUUUUUUCUUAUGAAUUCGGUGUUAGAUGACUUUAUUUUCUAUCAUUAUAUCAUUAACACAAAUUAUAUAAUAAUUCUACUCCACUUACAAUGAAGGUCAGAUGUCACAUAACAUUACUAGAGAUACAAACUGCGUAGAAUAUAGCAUUAGUCAUCAUACGCUAUAGAAAAUGACAAGUGUUACCUCUAAAGCGUCACCAAUAUUGACUAUAAAGGCAUCAGGAAGGGGUUUAACUGCAACCCAUUUUCCAUCUUUCUUAAUUUGGAGACCAUCCAUCUCAUUGAUUUGGAGGAGGAUGGUGAGUGCGGCGCCAUCAGAAUGAGGCUUAAAGCCAAGAACUUGCUCUGGUUUCGGACAAGAAGGAUAAUAAUUCAUCCUUAAUGAUUGCCUUCCGUUUCCAAACAACUCUUUCAUAUCAUUGGGAUCCAUUCGUAGAGCUUUGGCCAUUUGGUCAAGGAUUUUCAUUGCAAGAUUUUUAAGUUCUGUCGAGUAAACUUCCAAGUCAUCUCUGCAUGCAAAUAACGAUAUAUAGUCCAGUAAUUAUCAUAAGAUAGAAUAUACCAUAUAGCAAAACUAUACGCUUCAACUAUAGAACCUGAAUGGAAGAGGCAACUUGGGGAACAAGUGGGGUUUCCUCAGAUGAGUUGGGAAAGAGAUCAAAGUAAAGCCAUAUGCCCAAUCAAGUUUCUGCUCUUCAGACGCAAUAAAGAGCUGCCCAAAUCCCUCAAUAUCUCCUGGUUGUUGCCAAAACUUCGUUUUCUCAUCAAUUGGAAGAUUAAAGAAGUCUUGAAUCUCUACUCUCACUUUCUCCACCAAUGAACUGCUCAUUCCAUGAUUCAUCAACUGCAUAUAUGCAAAUUAAAGGAAAAUGUCCUUUCCAUAUACACAUGGUUCAUAAAGGAAAUUUUGAAGUUCAGGAAACAAAAUGAUUUUUAUGGAAAAAGCUAAAGAAACGGAGAGCUGAUAAAAUGCUAACAAAAACAAUGAUAAGUUAGCGUCUGUUUACAGUGUUUACAAUCAAGUGACUAAUCCGGUACUGAUUUACUUUCUUUUUUGUCAACGUUUUGUCUAAUUAUGAUUAUCUGAAUUUCACUGCUAAAUUAUUAUUUACCUGAAAGAAACCCCACUCUUUGCAUGCACGGUCAAGCUUCUCAAGCUCUGAGUCAUCUCCAGAGAGCAACUUGUGCAUGUCAAUGACUGGAAAUUGUUGUGCUGAAGAAUCGUCGUUGCGAAUCAGGGGAUGGUCUAUCUCAGGGCGAACAUAACGUGGAGGAACUGUGAUCAGUGGCUUAUUAUUUGCCAGCUCCAGAAUCGAAGGCACCACGAGAGAACUCCCAAUAGCUGUCGAUUCUGCCUCCAUAUUAUAUAGAUUUGGAUUAUCUGGUUUCUAGCUAUUUCUUUCUUUUUUUUCUCCCUCUCCCCUCCAGACUUAGUUGGGUUGUGUUUUAACAAGAAACUCAUAUAUAAAUAGUCCUUUGGAUGUACUGUGAUCCACUUAGGUGUAAUAAAAUAAUAAUUUUGUUAUAAAAAUUCAAGAAGAUCCUGACUUCUGUCUUGAUAUGAUCACUUGUAGAGCAAAUAAUUUAGGUGUUGAUUAGUAGAUAAUGAAUUAAAAAAAUAAAGAAGUUAAAUUUUAUUCUUACAUUAUCACUAAAUGAUAUAUGACUGGAAAUCUUUAAAACUUCAGUAGAGUUUAGAUUAGGGCUAGAUAAAUAAUCCGAUUCGACCCAACUAAUCCAAAAAACAUCGGGUUCAGUUUGGAUUGAAUUAUUAACCUAAUCCAAUCGGUGGUAGAAACAAACCCGAUUAGAUCGUGAUCGGAUUGGAUUAAACCCAAUCCGCUCUGAAAAUCCAAUCGGGUUGGUCCCUUACCAAAAAAAGAAAAAAUGAGCUAACCUAAUUGAUCAUUUCAAUUUACAAGCACAAAGUACAAACAAGCGAACAUCGUGGUAUCCUUUUCACACACAGAGCACAAUGGCACUUCACACACACAACACAACAUAGGGGCAGCACACCACACAUAGUCACAUACGCAGUGGCAGCCGGCGGCACUCACCAAACAUAGCAUGGCAGACGGCAGUCAUGGCAGAGCAAAGCAGCCCUAAUGCGAUCCGUAACUUGCCUACGCAUUCUGCUGUCAUGUACCACGACUGCUGCUGCUGGUUGAUCCAUUCGCCACCACGAUUGCUGCUGCACUCCGAUCUGCAGCUCUCCACCGCUAAAUGGUUUGCCUUGUAAGAAACCUAAAAGAUUUAAUUUAUCCCUAAGAUAUUGUAUUAAUUUCUUCUUGUUGUACCAUAAAUAUUUGGACUGGGUUUGAGUUUAAUUUUUUUCCAACAAUUCUUUUCUUUGAUCGGCAAAAUUUGAUAUGAUAUAUUAGGUAAAAUUCGAUUAAUCAUCCAAUUGACCUAAAUUUUUUACCCGAAUUUUUUAUUUGAUUCGAUUUGAAUAUAUUCAAAUUGGUUUAAUUCGAUUCAAUCCAAAAAUUAGAUCGGGUUGAUCCAAACUCGAUUUAUAUCCAGCCCUAGUUUAGAUAAAAAGAAGAUCCCAUUCCAUUUAUUAAAGGGUACACCAUUCAACAUUAAGACAAUUGAAAUAAUAUUAGAGUUUAUUUGUUUUUAUAUCUAAAGUCUUAAUUGGGCUUAAUUUAAGAUGUUUUGAUAUUUUGGCUUGUUUGCCUUUGUAUCUGAAAGUUUUAUUAUUAGACAUUUUUAUUUGAAUAAAAAAUAGUAAAAUUUCAGUUUUAUCUGAAUUAAUAAAAUGUUUGAAUGGAAACUCAACUUUUUUUCUCCCAAAUACCCUCAUUAGAUGUAUUUAUUUUCUACUUACCUAUUAGAUGUCAUAUCACAAAUUUUCUUGAUAUCAAAUUUUACUUCGUAUUAAGUACUUAACAUAAAUUCAUUUUGAAUUUAGUUUUUUUUUUAUAAUUAGAUAACAGCUUUUUUAUGUAUAAAUAUUAUGUUAAAUUGUAAAAAUUAAUGUUAUCAAAAUUAUUUUUCAUAAAUUAUAUAUGAGUUACUUCCCUUGUAAAUAUUUAUAACAUAUAAAAACUAUUGUACUAGAAAACACCAUAAAUAUAUAUCUGUUUAAGCUUCAAGUAUAUAUAACACUUUCAAGGUCAUCAGUGUAAAAAUAUUAGAUUUAAAAUGUUUUGAGUUUAAUAAGUACAAACAACUUACCACUUACACCUAGAUGUCAAAAAAUAAAAAAAACAAAUAUAUUAUUUUGACAUAGGCAUUCAGACCCUUUCAAACUUUAGCAACAUUCAUACCUAUUUCAGAUUUAAGAUAAAAGAAAAAAAAAAAAAAAAAAAAGAACACCAACUUAAUGUUGGGCUAUUUGCAAUCUAGAUUUUACUUUGAGUGCCACUUUAUUUUGUACUCUCAUUCUCAUUUAAUAAAUUUUAAAAAUUGAUUUUACUGAGCACAUUCUUUUAAAUACCAAAAUAAUCCUCCAUUUAUAUCUUACAUCUCACCCAAUUUAAUUCUUUACUAAGAAAAUGAGUCUUACCCAAAAUAAUCCUACUAUCACUUGUAUCAUAUCCUAAUGCCAUUAUAGAUUUCACAGUGGAAUAGUAGUCUUAUCCAUGUAGUGUCACAUUGUGUGGUUUAUCUUUAGAUUGGUACUAAUCCCACUAGAUUGGCAUUUUGAAAUAUAAAACCAGGCUGACCACACAAACUUGUGUACUCGAUUUUGUUUGGGUUUUUUCCUCCACGAGUGUUACGUCGUAAAACAGCAAAUUAGAUAUAGACAAAUAUAAAACAAUGAAAAAAAAUAGACAAUUGCGCCUAUCAAGUUCACGUGCCCAAUCAUAAAACUUACGAAACUAUUGGGAUAUUUUAUUGUUGAUCGGUCCGCAUCGUUGGUAGAAAUCACGAAAUUUAGAAGAGGACCAUGGCUUUUCAAAAUGCAUUAUUAAUUUAAGUCCUUUAAAUUUAAAUUCAUUUUUGUUUUAUCCAAGUAAUUGAAUAAGCACUCAUUUGGGAUUACUAUUUUGACUUAAAAAUAAUUUUAAAAUAUCAAAAUUUAAGUUUUGUUUGGUAAUUUUUUUAAAAGUAUUGGUAAAUCUAAUUUUGAGAACAAAUGUUAUACUUAAUACAAUUUUAAAUAUAUUCUUACAUAAAAUCAAAAUUAUUCUUAAUUAAUUAAAAAAUAAAAUAAAAAAUUCAAUAUCACUAUUAUUUUUAUUCAUUUUUUUCUUCAUGCACGCUUUCUACCCCAAUUCUUCUUCUUUUGUUUUUCUAUUCCAUCAAUAAUUCUCUAAUACUGCAAAUAUCAUUCCUGCAAGAUCAUCACUGAGUAUGUGUUUCACGACUUUAUUUUUUAAUUUAUCAAUAUUCAAUAAAAUUUAAGGUAAACAUAUAUGUGUGUGUAAUAAAAUUAAAAGUUCACAACUUAAUAAUUAAUUCACUCAUUUUAUUGGUAUGGACUCCAUAUAAUCUUAUCAUGUAAUUCAAAACAAUCAACAACUUUUAACCGCCUAAUUUUGAAUCCUCAAGAAAUCAAUAAAUGACUUUCCACGCAGCUCGCUUGAAAAGAAUCUUUUCAAGUGAUCUACCACACUUAUCCUCUUAAAUAAUGCUGGAGUCUUUGGAGUAAUAAGACUCAGUGCUGGACCCAAUUCUCCAUCUAAUUUUGGACUGUAAAAUGUACCAAAAGAUAACCUUUCCUUCAUUGAGUUUACAGUCGCACGAUGUUCAAUACUACGAUAAGUUCCAUUGCUAAAAAUCUGCAGGAUCAUAAAUUGAACCAAAAAAAAAAAAAAAUUAACAAGUAUAAUCAAGAAGAGGAAGAAAUUAGAUGAAACUAGUCAUCAACUAUAUAUCCUAUGCUAACAAUUAACUUAGUUUUUAUUGCAAGCGACGCGUCACCAAUUAUUUCUAGAUUCGCAUUUAGUUGACUUUGUUUUCUAUUAUUAAUACAAAUUAUACAAUAAUUCUACUCUACUUACUAAUAAAAGACACGUCAGAUGUCACGUAACAUUAUUAGAGAGAAAAUACUUGGUGAAGAGAAGCACGAGAGAAAGACGAGAGAAAUAAAGAAGAAAAUGGUAGAGAGAGAGUGAGUGGGUAGAGAGAGAGGACAAAAUUCUCUCAUCUUUCUCUCCUUCUUCACCUAGCACUGCUCUUACUAGAGAUACAAACUACGUAGAGACAUAGCGUUACUUAUCAUAGGCUGUAGAGAAAGACAAGUGUUACCUCUAAAACGUCACCAACGUUGACUAUAAAGGCAUCAGGAAGGGGCUUAACAGCAAACCAUUUUCCAUCUUUCUUAAUUUGGAGACCAUCCAUCUCAUUGAUUUGGAGGAGGAUGGUGAGCACGGAGCCAUCAGAAUGAGGCUUAAAGCCGAGAACUUGCUCUGGUUGCGGACAAGGAGGAUAAUAAUUCAUCCUUAAUGAUUGCAUCCCGUUUUCAAACAGCUCUUUCAUGUCAUUGGGAUCCAUUCUUAGAGCUUUAGCCAUUAGGUCAAGGAUUUUCAAGGUAAGAUUUUUAAGUUCCGUUAAGUAAACUUCCAAGUCAUCUCUGCAUGCAAAUAAUAAUAUAUAGUCCAGUAAUUAUCAUAAGAUAGAAUAUUCUAUAUAAGAAAAGUCUAAAAUUUAAGUAUAGAACCUGAAUGGAAGAGGCAACUUGGGGAACAAGUGGGGUUUCCUCAGAUGGGUUGGGAGAGUGAACAUAGUAAAGCCGUAUCCCCAAUCAAGCUUCUGCUCUUCAGACGUAAUAAAAAGCUGCCCAAAUCCCUCAAUAUCUCCUGGCUGCUGCCAAAACUUCUUUUUCUCAUCAAUUGGAAGAUUAAAGAAUUCUUGAAUCUCUGCUUUCACUUUCUCCACCAAUGAACUGCUCACUCCAUGAUUCAUCAACUGCAUAUAUGCAAAUUAAAGCAAGAUGUUCUUUCCAUAUAUACAUGGUUCAUAAAGGAAAUUUUGAAGUUCUGGAAACAAAUUGAUUUUUAUGGAAAAAGCUAAAGAAACGGAGAGCUGAUAAAAUGCUGACAAAAACAACGAUAAAUCAGUGUCUGUUUAAUGGGUUUACAAUCAAGUGACUAAUCCGGUACUGAUUUACUUUGUUUUUUGUAAACGUUUUGUCUAAUUUUUAUUAUCUGAAUAUCACUGCUAAAUUGUUAUGUACCUGAAAGAAACCCCAGUCUUUACAUGCAUGGUUCAUAUAGGAAACUUAAAGCUCAGGAAGUAAAAUUAUUUUUAUGGAAAAUGUAAAAACACUGAGACCUGAAAAAACGCUAACCAAAGCAAUGAUUUGCAAUCAAUUAAGUAUUUUUAUUAUAUGAAUAUCACUGCUCAAUUAUUAUGUACCUGAAAGAAACCCCACUCUUUACAUGCAUGGUCAAGCUUCUCAAGCUCUGAGUCAUCCCCAGAGAGCAACGUGUGCAUGUCAAUGACUGGAAGUUGUUGUGCUGAAUAAUCGUCGUUGCGAAUCAAGGGAUGGUCUAUCUCAGGGAGAACAUAACGUGGCGGAACAGUUGUCAGUGGCAGAUUAUUUGCCAGCUCCAGAAUCGAAGGCUCCACGAGAGAAUUCCCAAUAACUGUUGCUUUUGCCUCCAUGUUAUAUAGAUUUAGAUUAACUGAUUUCUAGCUAUUACCUUUUUGUUUUCUUCUACUCUUCUGCAGACUUAGCUAGUUUGUGUUUUGACAAGAAACUCAUAUAUAAAUAGUCCUCUAGAUGUACUGUACUGUAACUGGGUGCAGUGAAAUAUUAAUUUUAUCAUGAAAAUUCGAGAGAAUUUUGACUUUUAUUAAAGGACACAAAUCAGUGCAACAUUAACACGAUAAAAUUAAUUUUAUAAUGGAAUUAUUUACACUCUAAAUUUAAUUUUGAAUAUCAUUUGAUUUUUUUCACUCAGUUAAUAAAUUUUAAAAAUUAAUUUUUAUUCUAUACGUUCUUUUAUAUACCAAAACAGUCUUUUAUUUAUAUAUGAUUAUUAUCUCACCCAAUUUAAUUCUUUAUCAAAGAACUUCAUUCUAAAUAAGUCUAUUAUUGUUAACAAGAUAUUUAAGUCUCUGUUUAACAAAAUAUCACUGUGAUGUCUUUAAAUGAAAUAAUAUAUAUAUAUAUUUUUUUUAAAAAGAGAAUUUUCUCUUAUCUUUACUAGAGAGUUAUAUAUUAGAAUCCAAUUCAUGUUCUUCAUUCAUAAUCUUCAAGCAAUAGAAAUAAGCAACUGAUUUGUUUUUCUUUUUCAUUUUUUUAAUCGGAACUUACAGUUUUAUUUUUUAUUUUUGAAAACAAAAUAAUGUUACUCGUAAAUUUCUAUUUUUUUUUAUUCAGCUUCUAUAGUUGGUAGCUUGUUGGGUAUUUAUGAAACUUCUAAUAUUUUAUGAGGUGUAACUGUAAUUGGAUUACUGGGUUGAGCGUGUGUUAAAUGGUGUUAAGAGUAAUAAUAUUCUAUUAACUUGAAUUGACUUGUUCUUAUUAGUAAAUUAUAUUAGGGUAACUUUUGCAAUAAUAUUUUUAUUAAAAAUUAAAGUGUUCAGAAUAAAAUUUAAAGUAUAGUGUUUAAAUUUCAUUUGUCACUGUCAACGCUCCCCUAACUAAAGCUCGGAUAAGAUACGAAUGCGAAAGGAUUGUUAUCGACUUCCUUAGUAUUCGUAUCCAUUUAGUAUUCGUAUCUUUUGCAAUAACGUUCCACCCAUAAUGUUUUGUUCAUUGAACAAUAACACUUCAGUCACAUCUUAAUGUCACUAUAGUGUUUAAAAAUCAUUUGUCUCUGUCAAGGCUCCCCUAACUAAAGCUCAGAUAAGAUCAGAAUGCCAAAGGAUUGUUAUCAACUUGGUUAGUAUUCGUAUCCAUCUCUUCUCGCAUUUGCGUGAUUAAUUUUUGAAUUGGUACUAAUACGACUAAAUUGGCAUUUUGAAUUAUGAAACCAGGCUGGCCACACAAAAUUGUGUACCCUAAUUAUUGAAUUGAGCAUACAGUAGUAAAAUAGAUACAGACAGGCAUACAACAAUGACAAAAUGGACAACUAUCGCUAUCAAGUUCACGUCCCCAAUCUAGAAAUUACGAAAUUUUUGGGAUUUUUUUUUUGUUGAUCGGUCCUUGUCGUUGGUAGAAAUUACGAAAUUUAAGGGGCACCCUGACUUUUUAAAAUAAUUUACAUUUGUUUUUCUUUCAUCUUGACUAAGGACUCAUUUAAGAUUUACUAUUGAGACUCUAAAGUCACUUAAAGAAGUUAAAAUUUAAUUUUGAUAAUUUUUUUAAAUCAAAAUUUUAAUUUUGAUAUUUUUUAAAUCAAAAUUUUAAUUUUGAUAAUUUUUUAACUCAAAAAUUUAAUUUUUUUAAAAAUCACCACAAAUUUUGAAUUUAAGAAUCAAUUUUAUACUUAACAUAAUUCCGCAUAUAUUGUUACACAUUUUCAUAAAACAAAAUUAUUCUUAAUUAGUUAGCAAAUAAAAUCAGAAAAUUUAAGAUCGUUAUUAUUUUGAUUUUCUUUUUUUUUUUCUUUGUGCACGCUCUUUACCCCAAUUCUUCUUCUUUCUAUUUUCCAUUCCAUCAAGAAUUCUAUAAUAAUGUAAAUAUUAUUGUUUCAAGAUCAACACUUAGGUUAAUAUGUGUUUUUAAAUAUUUAAUAAAAUUUAAGGUGAAUUAUAUACGCACAUUCCAAUCUAAAACAUGGAUUUAUUAAAGUUCGGAAAAGUUAUCAAGCCAUAUAGCUUAAUAGCUUUUUGGACUUCAAUAAUGUGGUGAUAAAUAUUUAUAUGAGAAUCCUAUUACUCUAUUACUUCUUUCCCUCCGCCACUUGUACCAGAAUUUUCUAAUAGAAACUGCUUAUUGCACCUAAAUGACUAACUGGUGUUGACUUAAUAAUAUAUGCCCCGUUUGGAAUUGAUGUUGAAACUCAAUAAGCAACUUAUUUUGUAAUUUGUGACAAAAAUAAUGUUUGGUAAAUUUUGUAAAAACUGUUUAUUUCAUAAUUUUCUCCAUUUUGACAACGACUUUUAAAAGUAAGUAGAGAGUUGCUUUUCAUAAACAGCUUAUUAAAUAAACUAUCAUACCUUUUUAAAGUUUCUAUUAUAGCCUUAAUAUUUUAAUUAAAAAAAUAAUUGUCUUAUUUUCUCAUACACCAUAAUAUUAAGCCAUUAGAUAUUACAUUACCACCACAAUCAAAUUACCGACACAACUAUUAGAUAUUUUCUCUAGUAUCAAAAUUUUGACCUAGUAAGUUUGUAUUUUUUUUAUAUUUUACUUUUAUUUUCUAUUAUAAGAUUAAAACACAUAUGUAUAUAAUUAUGAAAUUUUUUUUUAACUUUGAACAAUUUCACAUGAAAAUUAACCAUAACUUUUAAAAUUAAUUUUAUAACCAUGGUUUUUAAUAUUCAAUCUCUCUCUCUCUCUCUCUCUCUCUAUAUAUAUAUAUAUAUAUAUUAUAGUUAUGAUGUUUAUUGCAUCAAGUUUAAUACGAAUGUAAUACAUACUACUUUUUUAUUUUAUCUGAGUUAUGUAUUAGUAUGAAUUUUAAUCAUAUUUUUUAUAUAACAAAUUUAUAGAGUUCUUUUUUCACUUUAUGCAAUUUUACUUGUUUUAAAAAGGAAAAGGCAUGUCUAAACAUCAUUAAAUAUACUCCAAAAAAAAGAAGAUAAUUUAAACUUAUAUCUAUUUUCACAACAUGAAAACAGGUAAUAGAUGACGGGAAAUAACUAUCGUAAAAGGGAGUGCAUGACAGACAGUUCAUCUGUUAUCUAUUUCACUGUUAUUAAUUUAUGACAAAAUAUUUUCCAUCAUGAAUUCUUGAUAGUAUUUUACAGUUAUAUAUCGAUCACACAAUAUUUUAAUGUGAAAAAAUAAUUAAAUUAAAAUUUGAAUUUAUAUAAAUUUUUGCGCUAUUUUUUUAAAUUUUUGGUGGGAAAUUAAAUUAUCAUUUGUAAAUUUAUUAUUGAAUUUUGGCUCAAAAUUUUUUAUGACAAACAUUAUGAUGAUUAUUUCCCAUCAUAAAGUCAAUUUUUUUUAAAAAAAAAAUUCUAUGUGAUUAUAAUUUAUUUGUGAAUUUCUGAUUACAAAUUUAAUUAACUAAUAAAAAUGAAUAUCGUCAAAAAAACUAAAAGCAAUUAAUAUUAAUUAACCUCCAUUCAAUCCAACAAAUUAAUUUUUUUAAAAAUACAUCUAGUAUUCAAUGUCGUCACCACCAAUACAUAAUAAAACAUCUCAAAUAUAAAAAAAUCUAAAAUAUAAAACAAUAGUUAAUUCCCAAUUAAACUCCAAGAAAAACAAUUCAAAUUCUAGCCAUCAAGCCAAGUUACCCAACAAAACUUUGAAAGAUUAAUGGAAAUAUUCUAACAGUAAGACUUCUAGUAGAGAUACCCUCUUCCAGCGGCAAUAGAUAAGAAAUUUUACUACAUAUUAAGUAUUUAACAUACAUUCAAUUUAAAUUUAAAAAAAAAUCUUUUAUUAAUAGAUAACAACUUUUUUUAUGUAUAAAUAUUAUGCUAAAUUGUAAAAAUUAAUGUUACCAAAAUUAUUUUUCAUAAAUUAUAUAUCAAUUAUUUUUCUUGUAAAUAUUUAUAACAUAUAAAAACUAUUGUACUAGAAAACACUAUGAAUACAUAUCUAUUUAAGCUAGUCAUAACUGUAAAAAUACAAACAACUUACCACUUACACUCAGAUGCCAAAAAAUAAAAACCAAACAUAUUAUUCUAGCUUAAGCAUUCAAAGCCAUUCAAACUUCAGUAACAUUCAAACCUAUUUCAAAUUUAAAAUAAAAAGAUAAACGAUGACUUAAUAUGGGGCUAUUUGAAAUCUAGAUUUUACAGUAUCACUUUAUUCUAUACACUCGUUCUCUCAUUUAAUAAAUUUAAAAAAUUGAUUUUAUUGAGCACAUUCUUUUAAAUACCAAAAUAGUCCUCCAUUUAUAUCUUACGUCUCACCCAAUUUAAUUCUUUAUUGACUAAAGAACUUUAUUCUAUGUAAUUCUAUUAUUGUUAAAGAUAUUCAAAUCUCUUGAAAAAAAAAAAUGACUCUCAUCUCUUUGAAUGAAAUAAACUUCCGUCAAAAGAGAAAUGUCUCUUAAUUUUACCAGAGAGUUAUAGACUGGAGUCAAGUUUGUAUUUCCAAUUGAUAAUUUUGAAGCAGCAGCAAUAUGCAGCUGAUCUCUUAUUAUUUUCCCUUUUUCUUUUUGGGGUUUUGAAACGUACAGUUUUAUUUUUAAUUUUUUAAAUCAAAAUAAUGUUUCUCAUUUUUUCGGCAUAAACAAAAAUUGUUUUUCAAUUGCUGUUGUUGGUAGCUUGUUGGUUAUUUAUUAAACCGUUAAUAUUUUCUUUUACGAAUGAUAAAUUAGAUUUAUGGUUAAAGAAAGGCACAGGGUUUUGUAAUUGGAUUAUUGAAUUGAAUGUGCGUUCAAUGGUGUGAAGAGUAAUCAUAUUCUAUUAACUUAAAUUGAAUUGUCUUUAUUAGUAAAUGAUAUUAGAGGAGUUUUGUAAUAAUAUUUUUAUUAAAAAUUACAGUCUUUAAAAUAAAAUUUAGGGUACAAAUAAAAUCACUAUAUGAUAUUAUUAUUAUUCGAUAAAUCAUAAUUUUGUGACACACUAAAAUGAUGCGGAUCAUUUACGCAACCUACCAUCACUUGUAUUAUAUCCUAGAGCCAUUAUAGUGUUCAAAUAUCAUUUGUCUAUCCCAAACGUUCGUUCAAUUAAAGCUAAGAUAAGCUAAGAUUUCACAGUAGAAUAGUAUUCUUAUCCAUGUAGUGUCACAUUGUGUGGUUUAUCUUUAGAUUGGUACUAAUCCCACAAAACUGGCAUUUUGAAAUAUAAAACCAGGCUGACCACACAAACUUGUGUACACGAAUUUUUUUGGUUUUUUUUUUCCCCCAAGUGUUACGUUGUAAAAUCGUAAAUUAAAUAUAGACAAAUAUACAACAAUGACAAUGCCUGUCAAGUUCGCGUGCCCAAUCAUAGAAGUUACGAAACUAUUGGGAUAUUUCAUAGUUGAGUCCGCAUCGUUGGUAGAAAUCACGCAAUUUAGAAGGGGACCGUGACUUUUUAAACUGCAUUAUAAUUUAAGUCCUUAAAAUUUAAAUUCAAUUUUGUUUUAUCCAGGUAAUUGAAUAAGGGCUCAUUUAAGAUUACUGUUUUGACUCAAAAGUAAUUUUAAAAUAUUAAAAUUUAAUUUUUGUUUGGUAAUUUUAAGAAAAUUAUUAUAACUUAAUUUUGAGAACAAAUUUUAUACUUAAAUAAUUUUAAAUAUAUUAUUACAUAAAAUAAAAAUUAUCCUUAAUUAAUUAAGAAAUAAAAUAAAAAAAUUCAAGACCACUAUUAUUUUUAUUCGUUUUUUUUUCUUUAUGCACGAUCUCUACCCCAAUUCUUCUUCUUUUGUUUUUUUAUUCCAUCAAUAAUUCUCCAAUACUGCAAAUAUCAUUGCUGCAAGAUCAACACUUAGUAUGUGUUUCAUGUCUUUAUUUUUUAAUUUAUCAAUAUUCAAUAAAAUUUAUUCUCAGGUGCAGACACCCGCAUUUUUAUUAAUGCGGUCACAAUUUUAAACUGUGUGAUUUAAAAAAAAUUUUUGAAUGAAUUAUAAAACCAUGAGGUUUAAAAGAUUUAAAAACUAAUUUUUUUAAACCUCGUGGUUUUAAAGUGUAUCCGCAUGAAAAUAUCAUAAGACUUGGUGGUAGACCCAAUUCUCCAUCUAAUUUUAGGCUGUAAAAUGUAGUGAAAGAUAACAUUUCCUUCAUUAAGUUUACAGUCACACGAUGUUCAAUAUCACGAUAGGUUCCAUUGCUAAAAAUCUAUAGGAUCAUAAAUUGAACCUGUUGAUGCUGAAAUAUGCUCGUCCUUUACCCGACCAGAUCUUUUCACCAACGUUUAUGUGGUCAAUAGAGAAGAUGUCACCUUCUUUCUGUUUCAACGAUUGCUUGAGUUCUUGGGGUUGGAAUCACCAUUUCUCCUCUUCCUAAGCCUGCGUUCACAAAAACGGAUCAGAGACGCCGGUGGUUUUACCGGCAUAAACUCUCUGAUGCUUAAGUUAGCACAAGGUGUUUAUGGGAAAACUAUGUAAUUUAAAUUGUGUGAUUUCUUGUAAUGCUCUCAAAAAUUUGUAUGGAAUGUAAUCUGGUUUCAAUUUGGCAGAGUUUUCCAUUUACUCUCAAUUUUUCUGCCCCUUUUUUCAUCGGUCUUCUGGCUUCUUAUAGCCGUUACCCCACGUUUCUGCGUACUCUUCACGUCUCCUUUUUUCGGGUGAUGGCAGACCCUCAUGGGUCUCCAACCACUGGAUCGUGGGUAAACGUGGGAUGCCAUGUCCUUCCUAACGGUUCGGGGCAUAGCGAAACUGUCGCGAUUUCGUGAGAUCGUGCGCCCUUUUUUUGGGUGAUGAGCAUCUGGCUGGUAUACAUCUCUGGUCCGUAUAUUUCUCUGGUUGGUGCUCGUCUCUAGUUGGCACAUGCCUGUAUAAGAUGUUUUACCAGGACUCUUCUCGUGCCAUUCAGUUGAGGAGAUUCGCCUCAGGAUGAGAGAUGAGGGCAUGGCCGAACUGGUAUUUUUCAUUACUCAACACCAGUCCCCCAGUUUCUGGUCUUGCGAGUGAAAUGAGUUGAGAUUAGAAACUGAGAAUUGGAUCUUACCGACUUCGGAAAAAAUCUCUCUGGUCCUCGUGUUAUUGUGAUGGACCUGAGGUUCCUUCUCUUGUUUAAGGAGAUUUCGGUCUGAGUAUGGGCCUUCGUGAGCGUGUCCACUAUAUAGCUAGGCUAACGUCUCAUCAGACCUUUUCUAACGGCCAGUGACGUGUCGCUUCUUGCCCUUUCGUAUUUGAAAUUCGAACGACGGCUUAUCUGUCCUCGAUAUGCGGCAAUUAAGCUGACAUCCGCGUAACUUAAACGCCUCCAUUCCCCCCUUUCGUUUUAAAUCCCUAAAUUGAAACUGCCAUUGCGUUUCGCUAUCUGCCAUUCUGCCGUAAGCCAACUCCCUCUUUGGACUUUAAUCGCACUUUCCGCGUCGGAAACCUCUAUUUGCUGGGCCAUUUCUCCGUCACGGCAACACUACCAGUGCCAAUCUAUUCCAGGUAUCGCCUUUAACUUCUUCUCUGGUUGUUGUUGCUUGGGUUCUGUAUUGUCCCUUUUUGUACCCAUAUACUUGGAUUUGUUGUGCUUUCCCUUUUAAGAUUUCGAUAUGUCAAACCGAAAGGGAAAAAUAAUUGUAGAUGAGAGUGACGAAGAGGUAGAGGAUUCAUACCCCAACAUGUUUGGACCCAAUGAUCUCCUAUGCUAUUCUCGCAGUGUAGGUCCCUCCUAUCAUAGGGAUACCCCUGAAUACCCUCGUCCCAUGACCACUUUGCCUUCCCUUGAUUUAAAACCUGUGGGAAACCGUGGUGGACCAGCGUCGGGCUCUGGUGAAAAUCACAGUUCUGAGGGGGCGGGGUCCCUGAGGAAGUGGGUGACAGUGAUGAGAGCAGUUUCGAGCAGAGUUGACUCUCUAAGAAGAGAAAUCUUGGUCAUAGGAUGGAGGCAGAUGCUUACCCCAUUGACUAAAUUGCUUGUGCUACUACCCACACUGACCUACUCAAGCUUAGAAAUCUUUACAAUAUCCUUGAAGAGGUUCUUCUUGUAAUCCCUGGGAAAGGUGACGUCCCCAGUCGGCCUCCAAAGGGGUAUGUGACGAUGCAUCUGGAGAGUUUCAAGUUAGGGGCUCGGUUGCCCCUUCAACCUUAUUUUGCCAGGAUAUUUGGUGGCAUGCAUCUGGCUCCAGGUCAGCUUCACCCGAAUGGGUGGAGGGUUCUUUCAACCUUGUAUAUGCUAUGGGAAAGGUGUGGACUCGGGGAGACUUCCCUUGUGGAAGUAAAGCAUUUGUAUCAGCUGAGGAGCAACCCAAGGGAAGCAGGCUAAUACUACUUCAUGUCAAGCUCUGCGAAGAGGAAGCCUAUCACCGACUUUCCUUCCUUAUGUAAAAACUGGAAGAACAAAUUCUUCUUUGCUGGGGGAAAUUUGUGUCCAGCAAUCCAUUCGCUUGGUGGUGAUAUUCACCUUCCAACGCGUUUUGUCACCCCAGGUCGUUUAUUUUUCUGCAUACUUCACUUCUCUGAUCGUUACUUAUUGGGUUCCUUAACCUUGUUCAUUCUUUUAGAGUCGUGGGGCCUGAUCAAGAAACUUGACAACAAACCGUUGCUCAAGGUGGAAACUACUCUGGUGAAUGCGUCUACCGGUCAAGAUCUCCUGUCGUCAACAAAUCUUGUUGGGUCACGCUUAGUGGACGUAGCUGCCGGGAUGGAUAACAAGAUCCUCAGCGCUAUAUCAAAGAAACGUGCUCGGGGUUCAGGUAGCUCUAGCAACCCCCCUCCCCUGAAGAAAACUAAUGUUGGCUCUUCCAAGACUUCUGCUCCUGCUCCUGCUCUGCCUCCUCCUUCACCUCGAAAGAAUGGCGAGGAGAAGGUUAGCGACAAGAGUCCUGAGGUCAGUGUUCAAUAUGGAGACCGAUCCUCUCCUCUUCCGCCUCGGGACCAGGGUGACUAUCUAACCCUGUACCAGAGGGACUAUGGCAAGUCAUUGGGACCUAAAAUGGUCAAAGAUAUUGAAAGCAUGAACCUUAGCGAGUUAGCUGGUUUCAUUCAGAGGGUUUCCUUUAAGCUGGCUACUCUGGUUUCUUGCUACAAGAAUAGGUCCACGCGCCAUGAGAGGAGGCUUCAAGCUGACAACCAGGACUUGAAGAAAAAUGCUAAGUCUGCUAAUCGCUCGAAGGAGAAGUUGCUUGAUCUGCACAAGCAGAUCAUGGACCUGGAGGAGAAAGUGGCCAUUGCUGAGUCCAACUCCUCCAAGCUUGAGAGCGAGUUGGGUGACCUAAAGUCUGAUCUCCAGGCUACUUAAAGUGAACGAGAUACCUUGAAGACGGCCCUCGAGGAGCAAAUCAAGUCCUUGAAUGAGUAGGUAGCCGAGCUGAAAGGUAAAUCUGCUGAGGUGGACGAUCGGCUGGAUGCAAAGUAUAAUUCUAAGCUCGCCUUUUGCUACAAGUGCAUCAUGUUUGUGCUUAAGGAAGAAUAUCCAGAGCUUAACAUGAGCAAGCUGGAGGCGGGAGUGCAGAAAUAUAUGAUUGAGUCAGAUCAAGGAGAUAAAGACCAGGGGGACCAGGAUCAGGUUGAGGUACCUUCAGGUGGGGUGCAGGAGGAGGAAGCAGGGGAUCAUGAUCUGGAAGCAGGUUAGGGGUCAACGCCUGUUCCUCCAAAAGUCACUGGUCCUCAUCUUUCCGAGAUUGCUGAUCCUUCUCCUACUGAGGCUGCUGAACCUCAUAAUCCUUAGGCUUGCUUUUAAAGUAAAUUCUGAAUUUGUUUACAAACACUUGAAUGUUUAUAAACUUUUGAUGCUUUCCGAUUACUUUCUUGCCACGAUUUUGCUUAUGAGUUGUUUCUGCAAAUUACCUUAAAAAAUAUGUUUGCUUGUCUUUGAGUGACCGAGGAAAAAUAGGCGAUUCCUUGCCUUAACGGUUUCGUAGAAUUUUUCCUGUUGGUCCUUCAACGACCAAGCAGGAGUUAGCACAUGUUUGCCUCAGUAGAAUUUUGUAGGAUUUGCCUGCUGGUCUCUUAGGCGACUGAGCAGGAAGAGGCACUUGCUCGCCUUAACAACUUAAUAGUUUUUGCCUGCUGGUCCUUUAGCUGACCGAGCAGGAAUAGGCACUUGCUUGCCUUAACAAAUUUAAUGGAUUUUGCCUGCUGGUCCUUUAGCCGACCGAGCAGGAAUAGGCACUUGUUUGCCUUAACUAAUUUAAUGGAUUUUGCCUGCUGGUCCUUUAGCCGACCGAGCAGGAAUAGGCACUUGUUUGCCUUAACAAAUUUAAUGGAUUUUGCCUGCUGGUCCUUUAGUCAACCGAGCAGGAAUAAGCACUUGCUUGCCUUAACAAAUUUAAUGGAUUUUGUCUGUUGGUCCUUUAGCCGACUGAGCAGGAAUAGGCACUUGCUUACCUUAACAAAUUUAAUGGAUUUUGCAUGCUGGUCAUUUAGCCGACCGAACAGGAAUAUGCACUUGCUUGCCUUAACUAAUUUAAUGGAUUUUGCCUGCUGGUUCUUUAGCCGACCGACCAGGAAUAGACACUUGCUUGCCUUAACAAAUUUAAUGGAUUUUGCCUGCUGAUCCUUUAGCGGAUCGAGCAGGAAUAGACACUUGUUUGCCUUAGUAAAAUUUAUCUAACAAGGGAAUUUUAUGUUGAAUUCAUCUUUAUUGAACUUUGCAUGGAUUACAAAAGGCAAAAUACAUGCAUGUGCCACAAUUCAUCAUCAUGCAUUUAACAGAAAUAGCUUAUCGAAAUAAAAAACUUGGUAAAGCACUUUGCUUACUGGAAGUAUUUCUUCAAGUGCUCAGCGUUCCACGACCUAUUCACAUCUCGUCGAUCUGGGUAAGUCAGCUUGUAAGCUCCUGGGCCAGUUGUUCGUACUACUCUAUACGAGCCCUUCUAUUUCGGGCCAAGAACGCCAUGAUUAGGAUCUCUUGUGUUUUGGUUCACUUUUCUAAGUACCCAAUCUCCUGCUCGGAACUGCCUCAUGCGUACAUUCUUGUUGUAGUAGCGCGUGAUUCUUUGCUGGCAUUUGGCCACUCUCUGCGAGGCCCCUUCUCUUUUCUCCUCCAGCAGGUCCAGACUCAUGCAUAUCUGCUCGUCAUUUUGUUCCUUGUUGAAAUACUAUGUCCGAUGAGUCCCCACCCCAAUUUCUGCUGGGAUUACUGCCUCAUGACCGAAAGCUAAAGCAAACGGGGUUUCUCUCAUGGUAAUUUUGUGGGUUGUCCGGUAGGCCCAUAACACUUCUGGUAGCUCGUCGACCCAAGCUCCCUUCUUCUCUCCCAACCUGGUUUUCAAGAGUUUUUUUAUUACUUUGUUAGAUGUUUCUACUUGCCCAUUUGCCUGGGGGUGUGCCGAGGUAUAACACUUCAGAUCUACACCCAAGUUUUGGCAAAAUUCUUUGAAGUUGUGGUUGUCAAACUGCCUCUCAUUGUCUGUUAUGAUGGCAUAGGGAAUCCCGUAUCUGCAGAUGAUAUUCUUCUAGAUAAAAUUUAUUGUCUUUCUUUUCGUGAUUUGGCUAAGGACUCCCACUUCUACCCAUUUAGUAAAGUAAUCUAUAGCCACAAUUGCAUGUGUUGCGGCUCCUCGGCCUUUGGGUAAUGGGCCAAUCAGAUCGAUUCUCCACUGGGUAAAAGGCCAUGGGGAUGACAUAGCGGUUAGCCUUUCUAGGGGCUGAAGGGGAACCUCCGGGAAGCUUUGGCAGACUUUACAGUUUUUUGCCAUCCCCUUCACAUCAUGGUGCAUAGUCGGCCAAAAGUACCCUUGCUGAAGUGCCUUGAAGGCCUAAGUCCUUGCCCCCGAGUGGUUGCCGCAUAUUCCUUCAUGAAUCUCCCUCAGCACAUAAUUUGCUUCCUCGUCAUCCAAACAUCUCGAAAGGGGCAAAGUGAAUCCUCGGUGGUAGAGUACCCCAACGAGUAGCGUAUACCUUGCUGCCCGACAUUUCAACUUCUUUGUUUGCUUCCUGUCCUCUGGUAAAAUGCCAUCGCGGUUGUAUGAGAGAAUCAGGUCCAUCCAGGAUUUUUCGGUGCUCACCUGUAUUACUUCUACCUCCUCUCAUAUGCUUAGCGAGGUCCUUACUUCCAAUAGAACCGACUUGGGUAACUUUGGAUCCGCAAUUGCGGCCAUUCUGGCCAACAUAUCUGCUCGGUAAUUUUCAUUCCGGGAUAUCUGCUUUCUUUCUACUUCUUGGAAAAGCCCAACCAUCUGCUUUGUCUUCUUCAAAUAAAGCCCCAUCUUCUCUUCCCUCGCUUGGAAUUGUUCACUAAGCUGAUUACAGACUAACUGGGAGUCUGCUCGGAUUUCUACCCUCUCUGCUCAUAGUGCGUGUUCUGCUCAUAGUGCGUGUGCCAGCCCGAUCCCAGUGAUGAAGGCUUCAUAUUCGACUUGGUUAUUCGUGAGCUGGAAUUUGAACUUUACUACAUAGGAUACCUCGGCCCCUUCUGGGCUUCAUAUAUACAACUCCUGCUCCGGACCCCUAUUCACUACGUGACCCAUCAACCAUUACCAGCCACACCCCCUUUGGUUUCUCCUGUUCAACUGGUUGCUCCUCCUGAACUUCUUCCCCUGGUUCAAUACGGUCAACCAUAAAAUCAGCCAAGGCUUGGGCUUUGAUUGCUCCUCGUGGUCUGUAAGAUAGGUUGAAUUCGCUUAGCUUUGCAGACCAUUUUACUAGCCGACUAGAUGCAUCUAGUUUUUGGAGCAUUUACCGAAGAGGUUAGACAGUCAUCACUACUAUCGGGUGGGCCUGAAAAUAUUAUCUGAGCUUGUGUGCUGCCGUUAUUAAAGCUAGCGCCCAUUUCUCUAUCAGUGGAUAUCUAGUUUCUACGUCCACCAGGGCCUUGCUAGUGUAGUACACGGGGUGUUGCUUUCCUUCUUCUUCUAUGACUAAUACCGAGCUGGUAGCCCAUUUAGAGACAACCAAGUACAAAUACAGCCUGUCACCUUAUCUUGGAGUCGAUAGUAACAGGGCACGGGCAAGAUAUUCCCUCAGCUGCCCGAAUGCCUCCUUACAUUCUGAUGUCCACUCCAUUUUCCUCCAUUUCUUUAUGGUUUGGAAGAAAGGGUGACAUUUAUCCGUGGCCUGCGAGAUGAACUGGUUCAAUGCUGCCAACUUCCCUGUAAGGCUUUGCACCUUCUUAACUGUCUGGGGGGACUUCAUUUAUGUUACUGCCCGUAUUUUUUCUAAGUUGGCCUCGAUCUCUCGGUGGCUCACCAGGAACCUUAAAAAUUUGCCUGAGCUAACUCCAAAUGCAUAUUUCUCCGAAUUCAACUUCAUUUGGUACUUCCUCAGUAGUUCAAAGGUCUCUUCUAAGUGCUUCACAUGAUCUUUCGGUUCUUUAGACUUCGUGAUCAUAUCGUCCACGUAUACCUCCAUAGUGUGACCGAUCAAUGGCUUGAAAAUCUUAUUCACCAAUCUUUGAUAGGUAGCCCCUACAUUUUUCAGGCCAAAAGGCAUCACCCUGUAGCAAAACAAACCCAUGUUAGUUAUAAAAGUGGAACUCUCCUCAUCUUGCUCGUCUAUGAGUAUCUGGUUGUAUCCCGAAAAGACAUCCAUGAAGCUGAGCAGACUAUGACCCGCCGUUGAGUCAACCAAUUGAUCUAUUUUAGGUAGGGGAAAGCCAUCAUUUGGGCAUGCCAUGUUAAGGUCUGUGAAAUCCACAUACAUUCUCCAUUUCUCGUUGGCCUUCUUUACCAACACUACAUUGGAAAUUCACUCCGGGUAUUUAGCCUACUUUAUGAAUCAUGCUCUCAACAGCUUCUCCACCUCAGCAUUUAUGGCUUCGUACAUUUUCUGGUUAAAGCACCUCCUUUUCUGCCUCACUGGUCUUGCCCCUUUCCUGAUUGCCAGCUUGUGGCAAGCUACCCUGGGAUCAAUUCCUGGCAUGUCCUCAUGCGACCAGGCAAAUAUAUCUGCAUGGGAUUGUAGGCACUUUACCAGCUCGCCUUUUAUCGCGCUCGCCCAAUCCUGACCCGAUUCUUACCACUCUACUCAGGUUAUUCUUGCUCACCAAAACCUCUUCCAGUUUCUCAGCUGGCUCAUGGCGACCCUUUUUAGAAUCUCCUCGGUUAUCCAGAGUGGUAACUUGUAAUGUUUCCUUGGCGACUGUAGCGUAGCAACUCCUUGCCAUUCUCUGGUCACCUUUUACUAUGCCCACAACCCCGUUCACUCUGUAUUUCAACGCCAGAUAAUGUGUGGAUAAAACGCAUUGGCUUACCCUCAUGAAAUGUCACCCCAGUAUCAUCUGGUAAGGGCUUUUCUCUUCCACUACUACAAAGUCCAGCAUCACUGUCUUUUCAAAUGGUUUUGUUCCUAUAGUAAUCGGCAGCUUGACGAUCCCCAUGGGGGUCAACCGUCCUCCUCCAAAUUCCUUCAAAGAUGUGUUCGUCCGUUCCAAUUUCAAAUCCGCAAUCCCCAUAUCGUCUAAGGCCGACUUAAAUAGUAUGUCGACUGAGCUGCCCGUAUCCACCAGUAUUCACCGGAAUUCUUUACCCACCACCAUCGCCUUGAUCACCAGUGCAUCCUCAUGAGGGUAUAAGACACCUUCUUCAUCUUCAUCUGUCCACAUAAUGAGAACUUGCCUUACUUCCGCCCUCUUGGCUGUUGGCAAAUUGAAUAUCACCUCUUUGUUGGUCAGAGCAUAUCUCUCAUAAUUCUUCCGUGCUUUAUUCGAAUCUCCAGCCAAUGUCAGCCCUCCUGCUAUCACCCGAAUAGUUGGCUGCUCAUGCUCUAGACUCCUCUCAACUCCAUCAUCUAACGUGUAUUGUGAUUCAAUGAUAGGGGACACUCCAUCUACAUACUCAUCCAAGUACCGGUUCCUCACCAAAUCCUCAACCUGAGUCUUCAGGUCACGACACUGGCUGAUAGUGUGACCAUGAGUAUCGUGGAAUUUACAGAAUCUGCUUUUAUCACGUUUGUGGGCAGGUUUGGUUACAGGGGAAGGAGGGUACAACAUGCCUCGUCCCUCGAUCUGCUCAUACAACUCCUCUAGAGAGACUUUCAAUGGGGUGUACUGUUUAUACGCCAAACUCUGAUCAAUCAGUUGGACCGCUCGGCUAUCGUGGAUAUCAUCCCGGGCUAGUAUUGCAGGUAGCUGGUUUGGUCGACCAGCCUUGGAGUUAACUGCAUGCAGUGCUCUGGGAGCGUUGUGAUAAGGAUGGGCAGCCAUCUGUCAGAAUUCUCGUUGCCUCUCAGGGAAUGAGAGGCGUUGAGGCUGAGCUCGGUUGUGUUGGAACUGUUGUGGUGUUUAAGUUAUGGGAUAAGGGCGAGACUGAGCUGAUAUUCCUCCCAUUACUGAUGGUUCCCCAACUCGCUUUCCCGACCCGCUCCCACUCAGGGUUCUCUUUUCCUUUCGCCUCAGCUCCUCUAGCUGUUCACUCUUUAUCCUUGCCGUUUUUUCCUCUUCAAUUUCUAUGUCUCUCCUCGCCUACUCAUACCCCGCCGAAUAAUUCUAAACGAUGGGACUUCUCAAGUUGUACCACAAUCGGCAUAUCCUCACACCCUCUUUUAAUCCUCUCAAUGCAUGUGGGUGAUUAAAAGCUCCCAGAUCAAGCACGGCUCGAUGGUAUCUUUUCACAAAAUCCUGAAGGGAUUCGUGUUCCUCCUGCUUCAUCCCCAUCAAUUCCAUCAUAUCGUCCUCUGGGGCUACCGCUCCUCGGAACUGCUCAGCCAACUCUUGGCACAUCUGCUCAUAUCCCCCUAUACUUCCUCGUGGCAGCUUACGGUACUAUUCUCGGGCUCGUCCCUCUAGUGUCAAUGGGAACACCCUACACCACUGAGCUAGUGUUAGCCCCUGCACACCCGUCAUAUCAUUGAAACGCUCAAUAUGCACCAUCGGGUCACUUCUCCCGGAGUAUUUGAGGUCAGGAAAACGGAAAUCUCUUGGGAUUACGGUACCCAUGAUCUCGGUUGAUAGCGGAGAUUCUUCAUCCAACAUUAUCCGUCAGCUCGGAGGCUUUCUCUUGCCCUGGAUUUCAUCCAUCACCUACGCCAACCUGCGUACCUCACCUUCCAACUCUAAAGCACGGUCAGGAUCACGCGCAACUAUUUGAUCUCGCUCCUGCUCGGCAUUAUGCAACCGCUGUCUGAGCUCACCCUCAUCAAUAUUCGCUCCUCAGCCAUCAAUUUCCAGAACUCGCCCAGAGCGAGACUGAUCUCUCCCUUCAUCCACGCGCUCUCCUGGGAUCCGACCUGCACUUCUAUGGGGAUGCACCCCAUAGGGUUGGUCUACUAGCGGAGGGAUCUCCUCGAUUCUAUGCCUCCGUAAGCUGGGUUUCACCACGACUUUGUCUCUCACGACGGUGGUCUCACAAUCCCUUCUCCGCUCAUCCCUCAGCUCAUGUAAUAUAGCUGUGAGAGUCUUCAUUUGCUUCUCCAUCCGUUCCAUUCGAUCUUGCAUCAUCUUUUCUCUAGCUUCAUUUGCGAUCUCUCGGAGAGUAAUCAUUUCACCAGUUUCAUUGUCGCCCCCUAGGGCAUCCUUUCUCGUCAUAUCCAUAAUCGAUCGUUCGCUACUCCUCUGAUGACUACUAACUUGGUGGUAGCUUUUUAUCCAGCUCCCCACAGACGGCGCCAAAAUAUUGAUGCUGAAAUCUGCUCGCUCUUUACCUGACCAGAUCUUUUCAUCAACGUUUAUGUGGUUAAUAGAGAAGAUGUCACCUUCUUUCUAUUUCAACGAUUGUUUGAGUUCCUGGGGUUGGAAUCACCAUUUCUCCUCUUCCUAAGCUUGCGUUCACAAAAACGGAUCAGAGACGCCGGUGGUUUUACCGGCGUAAACCCUCCGAUGUAAUUUAAAUUGUGUGAUUUCUUGUAAUGCUCUCAAAAAUUUGUAUGGAAUGUAAUAUGGUUUCAAUUUGGUAGAGUUUUCCCUUUACUCUCAAUUUUUCUAUCUUUUUUAUCAUCAGUCUUCUGGCUUCUUAUAGCCGUUGCCCCACAUUUCUGCGUACUCUUCACGUCCCCCUUUUUCGGGUGAUGGCAGACCCUCAUAGGUCUCCAACCACUAGAUCGUGGGUAAACGUGGGAUGCCAUGUCCUUAAUGGUUUAGGGCAUAGCGAAACUAUCGCAAUUUCGUGAGAUCGUGUGCCCUUUCUUUGGGUGAUGAGCAUCUGGCCGGCAUACAUCUCUGGUCGGUAUAUUUCUCUGGUUGGUGCUCGUCUCUAGUUGGCACAUGCUUGUAUAAGAUGUUUUACCAGGACUCUUCUCGUGCCAUUCAGCUGAGGAGAUUCGCCUCAGGAUGAGAGAUGAGGGCAUGGUCGAGCUGGUAUUUUUCAUUACUCAAUAGAACCUAAAAAAAAAAAAGUUAGAGAGUAUAAUCAAGAGGAGGAAGAAAUUAGAUGAAACUAGUCAUCAACUAUAUAUCCUAUGCUAACAACUUAGUUUUUAUUGCAAGCGAUGUGUCACCAAUUAUUUCUUAUUAUAGAUUUGUUGUUAGUAGACUUUAUUUUCUAUUAUUAAUACAAAUUAUACAAUGAUUCUACUUUACUUACCAAUAAAAGACACGUUAGAUGUCAUUUAACAUUACUAGAGAUAGAAACUACGUAGAGACAUAGCAUUACUUAUAAUAGGCUAUAGAAAAUGACCAGUGUUACCUCUAAAACGUCACCAAUGUUGAAUAUAAAGGCAUCAGGAAGGGGUUUAACAGCAACCCAUUUUCCAUCUUUCUUAAUUUGGAGACCAUCCAUCUCAUUGAUUUGGAGGAGGAUGGUGAAUACGGAGCCAUCAGAAUGAGGCUUAAAGCCAGGAACUUGCUCUGGUUGCGGACAAUGAGGAUAAUAAUUCAUCCUUAAUGAUUGCAUCCCGUUUUCAGACAACUCUAUCAUGUCAUUGGGAUCCAUUCUUAGAGCUUUAGCCAUUAAGUCAAGGAUUUUCAAGGUAAGAUUUUUAAGCCCCGUUAAGUAAACUUCCAAGUCAUCUCUGCAUGCAAAUAACGAUAUAUAGGCCAGUAAUUAUCAUAUGAUAGAGUAUACUAUGUAGCAAAACUCUACGAUUUAAAUAUAGAACCUGAAUGGGAGAGGCAACUUGGGGAACAAGUGGGGUUUCCUCAGAUGGGUUGGGAGAGUGAAGAUAGUAAAGCCGUAUCCCCAAUCAAGCUUCUGCUCUUCAGACGUAAUAAAAAACUGCCCAAAUCCCUCAAUAUCUUCUGGCUGCUGCCAAAAUAUUGGGAACAUGUGCAUAGAGCAACUAACAUGUGCAUGUGCAGUAACUAACGUGUGCAUAGAGCAACUAACGUGUGCAUGUGCAGUAACUAACGUGUGCAUAGAGCAACUAACGUGUGCAUGUGCAGUAACUGUUGUAAUAUUAUCUUUGUAUAGCAUUUGUAUUCCAUUAGGAAUAGAAGGAGCAGCUUUUGUAUUCCAUUAGGAAUAGAAGGAGCAUAUUUAGGAGACUAUUUAGAGAUUUCGUAGCUAUCUUUGAUUUUGCGGUAUAGGUGUAUAUAUGAAUAACCGUGUGAUAUACAAUAAACAUACAGAUUUCUUCCCCUCUCACAAACGUUUUCAUAGUAUCAGAGCCUUGAGCCGAACCUUCUAAUAAAUCAAAAUUUUUCCAUAGCCGGCGCUGAAGCUAAGCACUAUGGCUGAAAGGGAAAAGGAAAACUGAAAUAUGAUAGAUUCAUCUUCACCUUAUUAUCUUCAUCCCUCUGAUCAUACGGGCAUGAUUAUAUCCCCGGUGAAAUUAAAUGGUGAGAAUUAUAAAGAGUGGUCACGCUCGAUGCGUAAUGCAUUUCGGGCAAGAAGAAAACAAUCGUUUUUUAAUGGCAAGAUUGAGAAACCUGCCGAAGAUGCUCCUGAAAUUGAAGAUUGGUGGAGUGUGAAUUCAAUGCUUGUAGGAUAGAUAUUUACAUCUUUUGAACCGCAUAUUCGUUCAACAAUCACCUACUAUGAUACUGUUAAGGAACUCUGGGAUGAAUUAAAAUUGAGAUUCUCAAUUGGGAAUGGACCACGGGCGCUGCAGUUGCGAUCCGAUUUGGCCAAAAGUAAACAAGAUGGGCAGACAGUAGCAGCCUAUUUUGGACAUCUCAAGAUUCUGUGGGAUGAACUUAGCAACUAUGUUCAACCUCCUGUCUGGUCUUGCGGCAAUUGCACUUGUAAUCUGUCGACACAGUGGGAAAAACAAAGGGAAUAAGAACGUGUUCACCAAUUCUUGAUAGGACUUGAUGAUGCGAUUUAUGGGACGGUUCGUUCUAAUAUUAUUGCUCAAGAUCCUCUUCCCUCAGAAAGUCGUGCUUAUGCCUUGGUGGUACAAGAGGAAAGACAUCAAACCAUUACAAGGACACGUGAUGUGCGUGUCGAAGCUGUGAGCUUUGCUGUCCAAGCACCCAAGGCACAACAAGGAGCUGCUGCGUCUUUUUCGAAUAAUGCAAAUGGAGAAAAAUCAGUGUGUAAACAUUGUGGCCAAACCGGUCAUGAGAUAUCAUCUUGCUUCAAGAUUAUUGGAUAUCUGGAGUGGUGGAUUACUAAUCGUGGAAAGGGUAACACAGGUGGACGAGGGCAGACAAAUAAUGCUGCUAGGCGUAGUAAAUCGCAUGCUGCUGUGGCUAACGCUGCUCUUAUGCCUGCUGGUGGAGGAGGAAACCAGGCUGGUCCGACUCUGUCAGCACAAGAUCGGGCUGCCCUUGCAGCUACUCUCACGGAUGAUCAAUGGGCAACUAUGGUGAAUAUGCUUAAUUCACAAAAUAAGGAUGUUUCAAAAGAAAAGCUUUCUGGUAAGUGGAUUCUUAAUACAGGGGCUUCGAGACAUAUGACAGGAAGCAGAGAAUUAAUGACUGAUCUGUAAAAUAUUAGGCCUUCGCCCAUAGGUCUUCCAAACGACACAUGCUCUCAUGCUCAGUGCGAGGGCACUGUUGAGUUUGGAAACAAUUUGAGAUUGAAUCAUGUUCUAUAUGUACCUAAUCUUAAUUGCAAUUUAAUUUCUUUGGCUUGCUUGAUUAAUGAUUUGCAGUGCCUUGUCACUUUAACUAACAAGCUGUGUGUGAUACAGGACCGUACUAUGAGGACUUUGAUUGGUGUGGGUGAGCAAGAAGACGGGGUCUAUAUUUUUCAGAGUCCGGCAUCAGCAAAAGUGUGUCGUGUCUCUGUAGAAGGAAAUUAUUAUCUAUGGCAUCGGCGGUUAGGUCAUGCUUCUAAUAAGAUUAUUUCUUUACUUCCUGGUGUUAGCAAAAUGGAAUGUCAGAAAUUUCGUGAUGAACCAUGUGAUAUUUGUUUUAAAGCAAAACAAACUCGAAAUGUUUUUCCUAUUAGUAUGAAUAAAGCCAAUGAUAUGUUUGCACUAGUGCAUUGUGAUGUGUGGGGUGCUUAUCGUAUUCCAUCUUCUUGUGGUGCUCAUUAUUUUCUUUCCAUUGUUGAUGAUUAUUCACGAGGAGUUUCGGUUUAUUUGAUGGCACAUAAAUCUGAGGUGGCUCAAUUUUUCAAAAAUUUUGUGCUAUGGCCAAGACUCAAUUCAAUAGACAAGUUAAAAUGGUACGAAGUGAUAACGGUACAGAAUUUAAAGUUUUGAAUUCUUUUUUUGCUGAAAAUGGCAUUAAAUUUCAAGCUUAUUGUGUGGAUACGCCUCAACAAAAUGGGCGUGUCGAACGGAAACACCGUCAUCUUCUCAAUGUUGGGCGUGCCUUAAGGUUUCAAGCCAACUUGCCUUUAAUUUUUAGGGAGAAUGUAUUUUAAGUGCUGCUUAUAUAAUUAAUCGCACUCCCACUCCUUUACUUGAUGGAAAAACUCCUUAUGAAUUAUUGCAUGGUAAGCCUCCUCCGUAUGCUCAUUUUCAUAGUUUUGGGUGUUUGUGCUAUGCUCGUUAUGUUCCUCGUGACAAGAAUAAAUUCAAUUCUAGAAGUAGGCAGUGUGUAUUUGUCGGCUAUCCCCGUGGAAAGAAAUGUUGGAGAGUCUUUGAUUUAGAAACCAAUGAAUUUUUUGUGUCCCGUGAUGUGGUGUUUUUUUAGGAUACAUUUCUGUAUCAUGAUAUCUCAUUGGAUUGCUCUCCUGCUCAUGAUCCUUACGUCACACAUGAUUCUUUACGGGUGCAACAUGUUGGAGUCUCCUAUUCCUUCACUUGGUAGUAACAGAGACGUUUCCUCCAAUGACGCUCAGGAGGAACCGAAGUCUAAUGAUAGGGGGAGCCCAUCCUCCCCUCAUGUAGUGUCCGAUUUGUCCUCUGAUUUAGCUGCCCUCCAUGACAGGGGGAGCUCUUAUUCUGAUGUUUCACUCUCUUUGCCAUCAUCUACUAAUGAGAAUAUGGGUAUCUCUGUUCGUCAGAGUACACAACCAAAAAUUCCCAACACUCAUUUGCGUGAUUUUGUGUGUCAUACAACUCGAGUUAUAGACCCCGCCUCCUUAUCCCCUGCACCACCACUGUCCUCAGGUAUGCCUUAUCCCAUAGCUAAUUUUGUGACUUGUGCUAAUUUUUCUGCAAAUCAUUCUCGUUUCCUAGCGGCUAUUACUACUCUUACUGAGCCCACUAGGUAUUCUGAGGCUGUAAAAGACCCUCGUUGGCGUGAAGCCAUGGCCAAGGAGAUUGACGCUCUCGAACAAAAUGAGACUUGGACACUAGCUGAUCUUCCUCCGGGCAAAAAGGCUAUUGGUUGCAAAUGGGUCUACCACAUCAAGUACCAUUCUUAUGGCAGUAUUGAGAGGUGCAAAGCUCAACUAGUUAUCCUUGGUAAUAACCAGAUUGAAGGGGUGGAUUAUAAUGAGACUUUCGCACCAGUUGCUAAAAUGGUUUUUAUUCGAACUCUCUUAGCUGUUGUCAUUGCUCGAGAUUAGGAGUUACAUCAAAUGGAUGUACAUAACGCUUUUCUUCAUGGUGACCUUGCUGAGGAAGUGUACAUGCAACUUCCUCCAGGUUUUUCGACUACUUCUUCUGGUAAAGUAUGUCGUCUUCGUAAAUCUUUAUAUGGUAUUCGUCAAGCCCCUCGUAAUUGGUUUGCUAAGCUUGCUGGUGCCUUGAAAUCUUUUGGAUUUGACCAAUCAUAUGCCGAUUACUCUCUUUUUACAUUUGCGAGUCAUGAUAUUUCUAUUCAUGUGCUUGUUUAUGUUGAUGACUUGAUUAUUGUGGGGAAUAAUACUACUGCUAUCUCUACUUUUAAAGCCUAUUUAAGCCGUUGUUUUCACAUGAAGGAUUUGGGUGUUCUUAAGUAUUUUCUGGGCAUCGAGAUCUCUCGAGGACCUACUGGCAUGUUCUUAUCUCAACGCAAACACACGUUGGAUAUUUUGGCUGAAACCGGUCUUCUUGGUGCAAAACCAACUCGAUCUCCUAUUGACCAAAAUCAUCGUCUUGCUCUUGAUGAUGGUCCUAUGUAUUCUGAUCAUGUACGGUAUCGCAGGCUCAUUGGUCGCUUAAUUUAUUUGACUAUUACUCGUCCUGAGCUUUGUUAUUCAGUUCAUGUUCUGGCUCAAUUUAUGUAAUGUCCUCGUGAGAUUCAUUGGGAGGCUGCUACUCGUGUCUUGCGCUAUCUAAAAGGUCAUCUAGGUCAAGGUAUUUUCUUACGACGGAAUAGUGCCCUUCAAGUUAUUGCCUAUUAUGAAGAAUCGUCGUUGCGAAUCAGGGGAUGGUCUAUCUCAGGGUGAACAUAACGUGGAGGAACUGUGAUCAGUGGCUGAUUAUUUGCCAGCUCCAGAAUCGAAGGCUCCGCCAGAGAACUCCCAAUAACUGUUGCUUUGGUCUCCAUAUUAUAUAGAUUUAAAUUAACUGAUUUCUAGCUAUUACAUUUUUGUUUCUUUUCUCUGCUGUAGACUCAGCUGGUCUGUGUUUUAACGAGAAAUUCAUGUAUAAAUAUAAAAUAGUCCUCAGGAUGUACUGUACUGUAAUUGGGUGCAAUAAAAUAUCAAUUUUAAUAUGAAAAUUCGAGAGAAUUUUGACUUUUAUAAGGACAUUGAUUAGUGCAACAUUAAGGGAUAAAUCUGUGGUGCAACUGUGGUACCGUGCCACAGUUGCACCCAAUCGUUGGAUUCUCACUUAUUUAAGUGGACCCCACUCAUUUGAGUGGAUCCAACGACUGGUGCAACCGUGGCACGGUACCACAGUUGCACUGUAGCCUGACCCAACAUUAAGACGAUAAAGAUAAUCUUAGAAUGAAUUAUUUGCACUCUACAUUUAAUUUUGAAUAUCAUUUGAUUUUUACACUCAUUUAAUAAAUUUUAAAAUUAAUUUUUAUUCUGUACACUCUUUUAUGUACCAAAUCAGUCUUUUAUUUAUAUCUUAUUAUAUCUCACCCAAUUUAAUUCUUUAUCAAAGAACUUCAUUCUAUAUAAUUCUAUUAUUGUUAAAGUGAUAUCUAAGCCUCUCUUUAACAAAAUAUCACUAUGAUACCUUUAAAUGAAACAGUAUUUUUAAAAAAAAGAGAAUUUUCUCUUAUCUUUACUAGAGUUAUGUACUAGAAUCCAAUUCACGCUCUUAAUUGAUAAUCUUCAAGCAAUAGAAUAUGCAACUGAUUUGUUUUUAUUUUUCAUUUUUUCAAUUGGGAACUUACAGUUUUAUUUUUUAUUUUUAAAACAAAACAAUGUUACUCGUAAAUUUUUUUUUAUCCAGUUUCUAUAGUUGGUAGCUUGUUGGGUAUUUAUGAAACCUUUAAUAUUUUAUGAGGUGUAACAGUAAUAGGAUUAAUAUUUUCACUUCUUUUCUUCACCCUGCAAACAGCAAAGUAUGCAAUGAAUGUUUAAAGUUAACAACCUCUAAAGUCUGGUCUAAACUUUGCUCUAAUUAAAUAUCAUAAUAAAUUAUAAAGAGAGGUUAGAUUAGAAGAUCUCCAACAGCUAGAUUCAAAGAGAUUCUUCAUUACAUUAUUUUAUAAUCAUUUUUUCGAAAAUGUCUGUUGUAACAGAGGGAGAGAAACAAAUUGAGAGGGCCUUUCAAUUCCAUUUUCAGGGCGAAAAAUGCAAUGUUAUAUGUUUCGUUUCUUUUGUUAAUCUAAUCCACUUUCUAUCAAGCAUUUAUUAUUAUUAUUAUUAUUUUGGCUUUUGUUGAGUGUUUUUGUUCUACGAUGGCAAUUUGGGAGAUGAGAAUUGAGAAACAUUUUUAAUAUUUGAAAGAAACCCACGGCUGCACUGAUAAUAAACCCACAGAGAUUAUCAAAGAGUCCCUUUUCGUUUUUAAAGCAUUAAAGUUUUAUACGGUGGAGUGUAUGAGAAGAGGAUAAAAAUUGUAAUAAGAGUAAAGUGAGGAUUAGACGGGAUAAAUUGAGUGGUAAAAAAAUUAUUUUAAAAUUUUUAGUGGGGUGAAUUGAGAAGUGGAGGAUGAUGUGGAGAAAUGAGAGUGAAAUAUCCAUCAUAACUAUGCUUCAUGAGUAAUGAAAUGUUAUAUUCAUUUAGUUAGGAUAUUUAAUUGGUGUACUAAUUAAUGUGUCACCAAUAUAAAUUUAUCAUUUAGAUAUGAAAUGAUAAGACUGAGUAGUUAAGUUCACUUAAACCAAUCAAAUAAUACAACACGAUCACUUACACAUCUGUUGGUAUACAUAUUAAAUAUCUCAACGAAGUAAAAUUAUUAUUAUAGCAAAUAGAUCUUAAAUAUUAGAAGAAAGCUUAUAAUGAAACUGACUCUGAGCCCACUGUCACCUAACCCGUGCAUCCCAACUACUCUUACGCCUGUAAAUAUUACAAUACUUGGGUUGGGCUGUGCAAUAAUGAAAUUGAUUUUGAUCAGUCACCAUAAAUAGCUGAUUGUAAAUAUUGUGUAAUUAGUUUGAAGUGUGUCACAACAGAAUUAAUGUAGGUUGAUCUCAAUAAAAAUUUAAUUGUAAAUAUAUGAGUGGUGCUCUAAUUAUAAUGUAUAUAUCAAAUGAUAUAAGUAGAGGUCUGAUUGUAAUACUUUCGACGUGAUAUUUAAUUUGACUUGGUUCAACUAUAGCCUUUUCGCUUUCAAUCGAAAACAAAAUAUAAUAAACCGUAAAAACUGUCGUCGAUUACAAUUACAAAUUUACCCCCAUAACUGACAGUCAUUGAUUGCUUCUUUCCCAAGAAACCUUUGGAUAUAUAUUUUAUAACAAUCGGCUAUCACUUUCUUCUUCCAUGUACAAUAUCUCAGUAGGCUGCACUGAUGUUACGGUUGGGUGCUAUUUUGCACAGGAUUAAGAAAACCCAAUUUAGUCAUGCAAACUUAUUGGGAGCUUCCCGGCUGUCAACAACAACAACACGAAACCAAACAACAAGUGCUUUUUGGGGUUCAACGGAAAAGAUCUCCCCAGUCGGACUGUCGGAAGCCCGGCAGUCUGGGUGUUUGAGGAGCUCGAUGAAAUGGCUAAAAUGGGAGAAGACGUAGGCAAAGAUGACAUUGAGUUCAAUAUGGAUCUGUUGCUAAACAAAGCAUGUUACUUGGAUGCUCUCGAGGUAUUUAUUAAAUCAUCAGAUUUCAUUUAUUUAUUUUUUUCCAUUUGGGUUAUCAAUUGCAUCAGUCUUUACUUCUCUGUGUUUUAUUGAUUUUGCAUUAUGGAAUUGGAAUCAAAUGUUAUUUUAUAUAUUUUCACCUUUUAUAAACAUAACGGAAAUCAGCUGAUAUUAAAUUGGGUGCUUGGUUUCCUACAUCAUUAGUGUAUUUUUCAAAGGAUCCUUCAAACACGACAUCAUUUCUCAGCACGCACAGAUGUGUGAUUUUAGUUGUAAUAUUUUAUUGCUUUUGUUUUCUAAGACUUGCUCGUUAUCUUGGGUACCUAUAUUAAUCAAGAAAAUUGACUGGCUGGUAAAAUAGUUUUGAUGUUCUGCCAAAUUUAGCUUUCUUGGAAGCAUAAGAAAUUUGAGCUAUUAUUGAUAAUUGAAUUUUUUUUUUUAAUUAUCUUGUUGCAAAACUUGUUUGGUAUUGUUUGUCAGUUUAGCAUGCUUUUGUCGUCUCAUUUUAUUUUUUGCAAUCCUUUUAUUAUAAUCUCUCUUUUCUCCAGAUACCUAUGUGGAACAAAAGAUACUUUGAACUUACAACUGGUGAUAUUGCUGUUCGACUGGUUUUGAUUUUCCAUUAUAAGGGAAUAGAAGAAGCAGAAAUUUUUUUCAGUAACAUUUCAGAAAACUUAAGGGCUCUCGAGGUUUAUAUUGCUUUGCUUUAUUGCUAUGCCAAACUAGAUUCUGUGUACAAAUCAGAGUCUGUGAAGAAAGCGGAAGCCAUCAUGCAGACAUUAAGGGAUUUGGGGUUAGACAGGGAAACAAUGGCUUACAAUUGUAUGCUUAAUCUUUACUAUCAGCUGGAAAACUUGACAAAAUUGAAAGUAUGGUGCUGGAAAUGGAAGAAAAGGGUAUUGGUUACAACGAUUAUACAUUCUACAUCCGUCUGAGUGCAUAUGCAGCUGUUUCUGAUUGCAAGGGAAUUAAGAAGAUGAUGACAAUGAUGGAAUUGGAUCACAAUUUUGUUGUAGACUCGUCAGUUUAUGCUAUUGCAGCAAGUGGGUAUGCAAGAGCUGAGCUUCUGGACAAGACUUAUGCAAUGCUAAAGAAAUGUGAGGGACUGGCAAAGGGUGGACAAGACAGAUACCCACCGUAUGAUUUUCUUAUCUCAAAGUAUGCGGAAUUUGGGAAUUAAUAAAGACGAUGUUUUAAGAGUUUGGGAAUUCUGCAAAAAGAACUCGAGCGGUUCGAAGGUGGCAGGCUCCGUCAUUCCUUCUGUGCUGAAAUUUGACGACCUGGAAAUUUCUGAGAAGAUUUUGGAGGAAGUGAAUUGGCCCAAGGGGAAUCCACAUUAUUGUAUCCAUGUUAUAAAUCCCUUGAUUGCUGCAUAUUGCAGAAAAGGUCUUUUAGGGAAGGCUGAAGCUAUUAUCAACAAUGCACAAUCAAGGGGGCUGAACCCUGAUGUGAGGACAUGGUAUCUUAUGGCAACGGGGUAUCUUCAGAAUGAUCAAACAGAAAAGGCAAUGGAAGCGAUGAAGAAAUCAAUUUGUGAAACUGGAAUCGGGUGGAUUCCAUCUAAGGAAUGUUUGGCCGUGUUUCUGAAAUGGUUUGAAGCUGGAAAAGAUACUGAGGAGGCAGAGCAUUUGGCAAACUUAGAAGGGGACUUUUUUGUUAGUUUGGAUCUUUCUUGCGAUUUGUUGAAUUAUUUUCAACAUGGCUACGUAGAAAAAUACCCCUGGAGUUCCUGGUUUCGUCUUAGUAGAUACUCCAAUCUUUUAAAUAGAAUUUGGAAUUGGGAAUCUUCUCUACAAGUGUGAUUGAUUUUGUUGCCUCUACAUACAUUUAAAAAAUCUUAAAUAUUGUGGUUUUGUGCUUCCUAUAAGAGUAUAAGAGGCAGAACUUAAUAACAGUAAUGAUUUGGCCAGUUCUAUUAACUCCUGAUUGUAAACACAUACAUUUAUAAUUCUUUCUAGAAGCAAAAUUCUAUCGCGAUUAAUGUAGUAUUUAAUUUGACCUUUGUCUUUUAAUCUGGAGUUAAUCAACGAACCUCAUCGAAAACAUUUUGCAUUGUGAUUGAAGACUUUUCAAAAAAUAAUAUAAAGAAGAUAAACUUACUCUUAAAAUUCAUCAGCAUAUUGGUUCCGUUUAUAUAAGUAUUUGAAAAUCGAAAAAAGAAAUGAUACAAUUCACAUAAUUUGUGAAAAAUAAUUUAUUAACAAAACAUUGAGUUAAUCAAUCUUUAUGUUGAUCAACAAUCAACCUUUCAAAAUCAGUAAUUGAGAUGGAGACAAUCAUUUGAUUGAUUGAGUUAUUUCCAUCAAUAUCAUUUGAUUCUUAUCAUUCUUGUCCCUUGAAUUCAAGUCAUGUAAUUUCUAUUUAAAGUGGGAGUAGUUUUCCCUCUAAAAUAAAAAAUCAUAAAAAUUUAUUUUUGACAUGUAUUUUUAUCUUUUUUAAGUGAAAUUAGAUGUCAUCAUAUGUAAAAUUUCACUUAACAUUAUAUUUAUUUUAGUCACUUGUAUUAUGAUAGCAAUUUAAUAAUAAGAUUUACUAGACACUUAUAAUUGAUUUUAAUACUCCCAGCAAUCUUAAAAAUAAAAUUUACCAAAUAUUUAACUGAUUUCAUUCACAAUUGAUUUUUUGCUCUACAAAUCUAAUAGCAAUUAUUGUCCUCACAACUCGAUUGAAAAGAGUUCUUUUAAGUGAUCUACCACAUUUAUUCUCUUAAACAAUGCCGGAGACUGGAGUUAUAAGGUUUGGUGUUGGACCAAAUUCUCCAUCUAAUUUUGGGUUGCAAAAUGUUGCAAAAGACAAUCUUUCCUUCAUCGAGUUUAUCGUUGCACAAUGUUCGAUAUUACAAUAUAUUUCAUUGGUUAAAAUCUGCAAGACCACAAAGAAAAGAAAAAUGUUAAACAAACUGAAGGUUGAUAGAAAGAUCACAGAUAUAAUUAACAAAGCAUCUUACAUGGUCUUAUAGUUAAUUAUGUCAUCGUUAAAUACCAGUUCUCUAAAGGAAAUUAAGAAAACACUAAGAUAAAGUAGAAAAUACAGGCAAUAGAAAGUGAUGAGUGCUACCUCCAAGACGUCACUAGGGUUUAACGAGAACCCACUUUCCAUCUUUCUUUGUUUGGAUGCCAUUCAUCUCAUUGAUUUGGAGGAGGAUGGUGAGUGCUGAGGCAUCAGAAUGAGAAUUCAAGCUAAUAACUUGAUUUGGUUGCAGACAAGGACGAUAAUAAUUCAUCCUUUUGAUUGCACCACUUCUUCAAACAACUCUUUCAUUUCAUUUGGAUCCAUUCUUAGAGCUUUUGCCAUUUGGUCGAGCAUUUUCAAGGAAAGACAUUCCACUUGUGUUAAGUAAAUUUCCAAGGUACCUUUAGUAGUUAAUGCAGUACUAUUGUUAGAUGGAUGAAACAUUGCACCAAUAAUUGUUGUGUUGUUUGACUAAAAAUGAAAACGAUAAAGUAAUUGAGAGAGCAGGGAGAUGCUGAAUGGGAGAGGCAAUUUGGGGAAUAGGCAGGGUUUCUUCAAAUGAACUGGGAGAGUAAAUAUUGUAAAGCCCUAUCCCCAAUCAAGUUUCUGCUCCCCAGAAGCAAUGAAGAGCUACCCAAAUCCCUCAAUAUCACCAGGUCGUUGCCAGUACUUGUUCUUUUUCUCAAUUGGAAGAUUAAAGAAGUCUUGAGUCUCAGCUUUCAUUUUCUCCACCAGUGAACUGUGUUGUGCUCUAAUACCACUACUUGUGCUAUACAAGCAUCAUUUGUUGUAGUGUGACACCACUCUUGCCAUUGUGUGCAAAUGGGAAUCAAUAUACACCAAAUAUUCACAACAAAAUAAAAGAAACGAGAUUUAAUGUGGUUCGAUAAUAAAGCAUGCGUCCAUUGAGGUAAGAGAUAAUAAUUGUUCCAGUAACAAAUAAUAGAGUACAAAUUUGAAUAUGAAACCUCACUUCUCAAAUACCUAAAUACAUCUAAUACUCUCACAUACUCUUGAAGGAAACAAUUUCCCCAAAACACACAUUCUCUCACAUCUCUACAAAUAGUGCAGAACCCAACAGAGCAUCCAAGGAAAUACUCUCCAAACUUUCUAAGAGCUCACUUGUAGAUACUCCUUUUUUCUAGACUUUUUCACAUGGAACUCUCUCUGGAUUUUUUCAGAGAUCUCUUUAAUUUCUACAUUUUUGGGAUGCUUUACUUCUUUGAAAUGAAGCUUUGUUUAUAAUUGAGCUUCACCAUUUAGUACAUUUAAAAGUCUAAAAAAAGUCUUCUAAUUCAGCACCGAAUUGAAAAACAAUUCAUGCAUGUAGCUCUACCUCCAAUUUGUCUAUUUUAUAUGGCUACCAAAUUGAAAUGAAAUCCGCCAAAUUUGACUUUUCAAUAAUUUCCACAUUGGUGAAGAUUUAUGCAAAUCUGAGCCGACUAUCAACGAACAAUUAUCUUUAAAGUGAUCAUCCAUUAAAGAUCCAAAAAUGGCUAUGUCACUUGAACUGCCUAUACACUUAGCCACUAGGAUCAAACAGACUAUAGUUCAUUGAUUCCUAAAGGAAAUACUUUCGCAGAUUCUCUUGUACUCAUAUUAGAGAAUCCACCUCAUUACAAGCUAGUGAAUUUUACUUGGAUCUACUAAUUACGCUCACUGCUUCAGAUAUAUCAAGCCUUUUACACAUCAUAACAUCCAUAAGACUACCAAUAGCAUAAGCUUAAGAAACAUAAGCCACAUACUCAUGCUUCACUUGAGGAGAAUGACACGAAGAAGAGCUUAGGAGCUAAAGGAGUAUAGACUAGUUUAGUCUUUGUCAUUUGUACCAAACUUUUUUAGCACUUUCUUCAAAAUAAAUCUUUUAAAUCAACUGCAUGCUCUCAUUCUUUCUGUUUUUACAAAGUCUCCAAUCAUAGUAUUUUUUAUGCAUUACCCAUGUCUUUCAUUUUAAACUUAGAAGCCAUCUACUUCUUCAAUUUCAUCCUUAUUCUUCGAAGCUAUAACCUUUUCGUUGACUUAAAGUAACAAAUGGAUAAAAACUUCAUCUCGUAGUCUUUCGAAGUAAACACAUGAUCUUGUUACUUGCUGGUGAAUUCUGCCUUCGUAAAAAUCGACUAGAUCUCUUAUACCCUUGUUUCUCAAUUGCUUUUGUAUGUAUUAAGAUUUAAUCAUUAUACAUACACAUAUAAUUCUCCCUUCAACAACUUUGAAACCAUAAGAAUGAAUCAUUUAGAUCUUCUCCUCCACAUCUCUAUGUAAAAAUGUCAUUUUAAUAUUGAGCUAACUCUAACUUAUAUUCCAAAACUAAGACAAGUCGGAUGUAAAAAUAAGUAUUUUAGAAAAAAAAAAAAAAAACCUUCUUUCUAAGCAAAUUCUUUUGCUAUGAGCCUUACCUUACAGUAAAGAGCUACUUGUUUUGGAGAUUUUACUUUUUAGUGUAUCCCUGUUUAUUGCCAAUAACCCUUAAUCUUUUAGGUAACUUUACGAGUUCCUAAGUUUGAUUUUGAUGAAGAGCGCCACAUCUUCUUCUAUGGCUAACUAUGGCUAACUUCUGAUGAUCAUUUUUUUUUUUUUUUGCAUAUUAUUUCACUGAAAGUGUUUGAAAUAUCAUUAUUAGCAAUUAAAAGUGCAAAGGGUACCACCAUGUAAGCCAUUUAGGUGUAUCUUCUUGGUUUCCUUGUUGCUAUCAUCGUUAUCUACAUCAUCAGUUGUUUUCUCUUCUUAUGGGAACAUCAAUAGAAAUAAUAUCUUCUUCAACUCUUAGUGUCACCUUCAAAGUUGAGCUCUUCUCUAAUAUAGAAUCGUCCAGUCGUAUGGAGUUGUAUCAAAUUCCACUUACUACAAUAUCUUAUAGUCUUGUUCUCCAAAUAUUGAGAACUAAAAGUCUUCCACAUUGAAGCUUCAUUAAAAAUGACAUCUCUGUAAUAGAUAUACUUCUUAUCUUUAAGAUCCCAAGGCUCUACUUUUGAAUCCUAUAAAGAUAACAUACGAAGAGAAUCAUAGUCUUGUGCAUGUUUUUAAGACACAUAUUUAAAAAACGUUUUACCUUUAAUUGCAGCAGAAUAUAAAUAUGGUUUUCUAAAUAAUGUUUGUAGUUUACAGCCUCAAUUUAAGACCUUUUAUCUAAACCAACAUUAAUACACAAUACUUUAGACUAUCAUUUUAGCGUUCUUGCAUGAAUGGAUCACAAAUAUAUCAUUCCAUAUUAAUACACAAUACUUUCAUCUUCCUACUAGGUUGAGCCUCCACCAAUUUCUUUCAUUUCAUGGACAUCUCUAAAACCUCAUCUUAUACUCGUAUGGCGCACACCUACAUAUUUCUAAAGAAACAAUGCAACUCAAUAAUGGUUACCAUUAAUUGAUGCGGUCUUAGUCAAAUUCCCAUACCUUACGUGAACAUUUAAGGAUCUCACAAGUAUUGUGAUUAACCGUGCCAAGGAUGACCCUUGUUUUCUUGCCAAACAAACAAUGCUCACAGAACUCCAUUUUUGCAAGUUCUGGCAAGCACCUUGCAAAAGUCCAUGCCUUAUCUCAAUUUGCAAAUACUUUCUCUCAUGCAUGUUCCUAAUUGUACAUGCUAUAGCUCGAUGGUGUUAUUAUGCGCCAAAAAAUAUGCACAUCAUCAUUUGUACUUCUCUUUUAAUAAUACAAAUUGUAAUGCCAGGCCUCUUUACAGAAUCUCCAUAAACCUAUGUGUAAAUUUUAUUAUGCCAUCUUCGAUCGUAACCCUAUAGCCUUAACCUCCAAAGCACUUACAAAAAAUUAAAUACUUUCUUGUGACAGGAACGUACCUAACUUCUUUUAAUUUUCUUACCAUUCUGUCGAAUGUCUUGACUUGAACUAUUUUUGUCCUCAUUUCUACAACAAGGUUGAUCACUCUUCAUCACAACUAUACCAGAUUCCAUAUCAAAAUCCACCAAUAAUUCCCUAAAGGAACAUAAAUGAUAGGUUGCUUCAGUGUUAAGUAUCCACUUGUUCGAACUUGCCAUAUAAACUAUAAGCGUAAUAUUCAAUUAAUAGUCAAUGUCAUAUGCCAUGUUUAUUUCUAUUAGUUUUUUCCCAUCUUUCUUUUGAGCCUUUUGGUAAUUUUUCGUCAAAUGGUCCCUUUCACGACAAAAGGCACACUCAUCUCGGGCUAUUCUGUUUUAAGAAUUCUUUACACCAUGCUUCAUCUUGUUUUCUUCACCGUCUGUCCUCUACCAUCAAAGCUUCAAACAAUGCUCAUUCAAAAUAUUUAUCAUUAUUCCGAGUCUCUAAAUUGAUCAACAUUGUGCCUACAUCUUUGAAAACGAUUAUGCUCUUUCAUACAACAAUGUAGUCAUAAAGUGGUUGUAUUCUUCUGGAAGUGAGUACAAAAUAAUCUCACUCUUGACUUCAUUCUUGAUCUCUUUGUCAAUAUUCUUUAAUAUCUUGAUACACACGCGUGCAUUGGCACUUUAGGCUUCAUUUAAAAGCCAUACAGAGUAAUGAAACACACAUCAUUUUGAACUAUAUAUUUCACUUCUAUGAACAAGCAAGACUUAAUAUGAUCAAGAGUCUUCUUAUUCAUACGAUCACAAAAUAUCUUCAUCAUACUAGUUCUUUUUCUUAGAUUGGCAUAUGUGAGUAUUUGCAAUUGUGGAUUUGAUAACUUAUUCUUAACUCAUAAUGAUGGCAUAUCUUGAUAGUUAUGUUGAUUUUGAUGAUCUAUAUAUUGUCAUUAUGUACUUAUGUUUUGCUUAAGUUUUGAUGAUAAAGAAUGUGUUUUGAUGAUUAUAUUGUAUUUGAUGAAAUUUGAUCUUAUAAAAUCUGUGAUUGGUGAAUGGAUGCAUUUUUUGGACUUUAUUGACAUAUUGUUGAAAGUGUAUUACUUGCUUGCUUUAAAUGACAUCGAAAGGGUGAGAAAUACAUUCACUUUGAGAUAUUGACACAUAUGAGAUUAAGUGAAUUAAAAUGUCAAAUUAGAUCUUUAAUGAACUUCAUUUUUAAAAUAUGAUUAUUAAUUAUCGAGUUUGGAUAGUUAAUAUUAUACUCUUAUGACUUUUGCAUGCCCUCGCUUGGUCCAUUACUUGUUUUCUUGAUUAUUGAUAGGACGAGCUACCUUAACAACUCUACUUAGUUCUUGUCGCUUCCAUUUUAGAUAAUAUGCAUUUUGAACAUUUUUAUUGUCAAAAGAGGGAGACGAAAUAAUAUACAUUCUUUUAUGAUAAAGGGGAGAAGUAACGUGCAUUUUAAGCAUUUUUAAUGGUCAAAGAGGGAGACAAAGUAAUAUACAUUUUUUAUGAUAAAGGGAGAAGUAACAUGCAUUUUGAGCAUUCUUUGUUGGUUAUAUAUAUACUUGAUUAUUAUAGAUUGAAAUCAUUGACAUGCUUUCUACGUAUGGCAUUUGAUUUUGAUAUCUUAUAAACUCGUGACAUAGAUUGAGGGAGUUUAUAAUUCUUAUAUAUCUUAUUAUUCCUUUAUAAAUGUCAAAAUGCAUGGAGUGUUGUUAUCAUAAAAAAAAGGGGAGAUUAUUGGCCUAAAUAGUUACAUAGUCUUUGAUUUUGAUGAUGCAAACAAUGUGUCAAGGAUAUAUUAGUAUAUGUAUAUGUUUCAAAUCUCACUAAACCUUGAAGGACAAAAAUUACUCAUGUGAGAUCAAGUUCAAGGUACUCAAUGGACAAUGGCACAAAGCUCAUCAAGUCAAGGACAAGUGUUAAAGGUACUAGCUUACGUAAUUUCUCUUGUUACAUUUCUUGUAAAGCUAAUAUGAUUAAAUGUAUGCAUGAUUAAGCAUUUAAAAGCUCAAAUUAUUUUUCAUGACAUUUCAAAUAAAUCAUUAUUUUCAUAAUAUUGAGUUUUUAUAGUUAAAGGAAAAUAAUUUUAUGAAUUGGUUGUUUUCAAGCUUAUGGACUAAAUUGAAAAGGUUUUGAGAACUUUGAAAUCAACAAGUAUUGUUUGAAAUUCUUCAAAUGGACAUGUUUGAAACAUUUUAUAAAUUUGUAGGCCAUAAUUUAAUUUUAUAAAGCUUUAGGGUAAAACUAUAAUUUUAGAAAGUAAGCGGAAAACCGUUUCACUUUAGCCACUUACCGUUUAUGAUUGGUCAAGUUUUUGGAAUUGAAUAGUAAAUCACUACUUUCAAGUGGUAAAAUGUUUUGUGUAAACUUUUCAAGUUUAAAUAUAAUCAAAUAGGCAAAUGGCGAGACGUGUCAUGGAAAGUAGUAAACUGAUUGUGCCCGAAAAGUUUAUAAUAGCUAAUUUCUCUCUCCAACGGUUAGUUUUCUUGUCAAAUUAUAAAAUCCAAAUCAAACUCAUUUCAAGAGAAUUCUUCAAUCCUUAAUCAACCUUAAACUUAUUCAUACAAAUCAUCUUGAGCUGUCAUUUGCUCAUUCAUAUACAAUGAUUCCUUAUUGGCUAUCAUUUGCUUAUAUGCUUUUACAAGGAGUGUGGUCUUUGUAAUCUUCAUUUCAACAUCAAAAAUUAAGUAAUUAUAAGUAUGAGAAACACUUAACUCUAUAAAAUAAAGCUCUAUUUAUAGUUGAUUUAUAGUUGAGCUUCAUUGUUUAAUACAUUUCAAAGUCUUAGAAAAGGGCAAAACUCUUGUAAUUCGACACGGAAUUGAAAAAAAUCCAUGCAUACGGCUUCACCUCCAAUUUGUGAAUUUUAUAUAGCCACCAAAUUGAAAAGCAAUCCACCAAAUUUGACUUUUCAACAAACUGCUCACUGCAUGAUUCAGCAACUGCAUACAAAUUAUUCAAAGUACGGUGUUAUUGUCAUAUAAGUUCCUUAGAACUUAAUUUGAAGUUAGCAAAACAUGAAGAAAUACUCAUUUAAUUCCUAUAGUUUGAACUAAUUAUCUAAUUAGUUGAUGUACUUUCAAAACAACAAUGAUAUGUAUAUAAAAAAUAGUAUAAAAAAUGGUACGUCAUUGCUAGAAAAAAAAUAACUAUAGGAUAAAAAAUUAAUACAAGAAAAGAAUUUGUCUUUUGUUGUUUUUAAACUAAUUUUUGUGUUAUUUUCGGGACAUAUAUCAUUAUUUUUUUAAAAAAAGAUUAUUUAAAACAUAUUUUUGUAGUGAUUGGAUCUGAGUUUUAAGGAUAAAAUACUAUUACAUCGUUUCAACUAAUUUAAAAUUUAAAUUAAUUCAACAUUUAGGAGGUGAAAAAAAUAAAAUAUAAUUAAAUUGAUAUAAAUUAAGAAAACAAAUAGACAACAGAGAGGAUGUUUUAGAUAAUUUGUUUGGAAAAUACAAGAACUAGUUGGAUAAUUUGCUAAAACUAUGGAAAACAUUAAAAAAGACAUUGGACGAACAAAUAAAAUGACACUAAUUAACGAAGAAGAAUACGUAUACCUGAAAGAAACCCAUUCUUUGCAUGCUUUGAAUCAUCUCUGGAGAGCAAUUUCUGCACGUCAUGACUGGAAGUUUUUUCGUUGAAGAAUUGUCGAUGUUUCAAAUCAUUACACCUUUUACAGUAGGGCGAAUAUAUCGUGGUGGAACUGUAGUCAUCAUUGAUUUCGUUGCCAACUGUUGAAGAAAAAUCAGUUUUUAAAAUUUUAUAAAAACUUUUAGGAUUGCUCUCAUACAAUAUACUAAAUGGCCAUUGUAAUAAGAUCUGCCAUUUAGUAUCUAAUGUCAUUUGGGGUACUGUCAUAUAACAUUUCUACACUAUUCCAUUAUAAGAUGAUACUUCCUCUCAAUAUAUUUUAUUUUCUUGUGGUUCCUUGGUUCCUUAGAUUGAGCUACCGCACCACUAUUAUCGCAAAAUAGUUUAAGGGGUGCAGUUACAGCAGGUACCACCUCAAGAUCUUGUAGGAACUUGCGGAGCCAUACAACUUCUUUUACAGCUUCGGAUGCAGCCACAUAUUCAGUUCCAGUUGUGGAGUCUGCGAUACAAGAUUGUUUCACACUCCUCUAACUAAUAACUCCACUUCCCAAUGUAAACACAUAGCCGGGAGUUGAUUUUCUGGAAUCCUUAUCUGACAUAAAGUUAGAAUCAGUAUAACCCACUGGAAUGAGUUCAUCACCAGAAUACACAAGCAUAUAAUUUUUAGUUCUUUUCAGAUACUUCAUUAUAUGUUUGACCUCAGUCCAAUGUUAAAGUCCAGGAUUAGAUUGAUAUCUACUAACCAUCUCUACCGCAAAACAGAUGUUUAGCCUAGUGCAAAGCAUGGCAUACAUGAGACUUCCCACAGCUUCUGCAUAGAGAACUCGUCUCAUUCUCUCUAUCUCUUCAGAUGUUUUAGGUGAUUGAUCCUUAGAAAAUGUAAUUCCAUGUCUGAAUGGUAAUAAACCAGUCUUGGAAUUUUUCAUGCUAAAUCUAGCCAAUAUCUUAUCGAUAUAGACCGCUUGAGACAAGGCUAAAGUUUUAUUCUUCUGGUCUCAUAGUAAUUUGAUACCAAGAACAUAACUUGCCUCUCCUAAGUCUUUCAUAUCAAAUUGUUUUGCUAACUAAAUCUUUAUUGUAGUCAAUACUCCUAUAUCGUUUCCAAUUAGGAGAAUAUCAUCUAUAUAAAAAAUUAGAAAGGUUACAAUUUUUUCCUGAAUCUUCUUGUACACACAUGGUUCAUCAAUGUUUUGAAUGAAUCUAAGUAAUUUAAUCUCUUGAUCAAAUCUGAUGUUCCAUGACCGGGAUGCUUGCUUUAAUCCAUAAAUGGAUCUCUACAACUUACAUACCAUGUGUUCUUGGCUUUUUUGUACGAAUCCAUCUGGUUGUUGCAUGUAGAUGUCUUUUUCAAGAUGCCCGUUAAGAAAGGCUAUCUUGACAUCUAUUUGCCAAAUUUCAUAAUCUAGCACUGUAGCAAUGGAGAGCAAAAUUCUGAUGGAUUUAAGCAUAGCAACCGGAGAAAAGGUUUCCUCAUAAUCGAUUUCUCUUUUUGAGUAAAACCCUUUGGCUACUAAUCUUACUUUAAAUGUUUCCACCCUUUCGUUUACUCCUUUUUUUUUCUCUUGUAGAUUCACUUGCACCUUAUAGGUUUUACCCCAUUUGGUGCCUCUACAAGUUCCCAGACUUUAUUGGAAUACAUAGAUUUCAUUUCUUGAUUCAUGACCUUUUUUUUCAAAAUUCAACAUCUCUGUCUAUUAGAGCUUCGUUGUAGCUAGUGGGAUCUUGUACAUGUUCAACUGAGAUCGUCGUAUAGGUUUCUCUCAAUAACAUGUAUCUCGCAGGUAACCUAGUUACCCUCCCACUACGACGAGGUUCUAAAAGUGAUGGUUGUUCAGGGAUAAUCAUGUGCUGAUCAGCUGGCUGUUGUUGUUCUUCAUGUUCAAUAACAGGUGUUGAAAGCUGAGCAUCAACCUGAUCUCCUUUUUAUUUCUCUAGUUUUACCUUACUCUUAGGUAACAAGUCAUUAUAUAGUCUUCCUCAAAGAAAGUAAAGAAUAUGUCCAUAAAUACAUUCCUAUCUUGAGGACUAUAAUUCAGACUUUCCCUUAUUUCAUUAAAAUACCUUAAACAUGCAAGCUUCUGAACACGAAUCCAUCUUCUCUACCUCUGAUUCUAGUAUAAAUACUAGUAAACUCCAAAUACGAAUGUGUCUCAAACCAUGUUUGUGACUUUUUCAUAAUUUCUUGGAGUAGUAGACACUGAGAUAGAUGAAACUAAGUUCAAUAAACUAUGCAGUUUUAAAUACUAGUAUCUGGAAUCAAAAAGGUAAAUGAUAAACCACUUAGUAUAUAUCUUGUCUUAUCCAAAAGAAUCUUGUUUCUCCAUUUAAUUACACUAUUGUAUCAUAGUGUUCAUUAUAUGAGGGAGUUUAUCCCAUUUGACAACCAAAUAGAGCUUCAAUUCUCCAUAAAGAUAUUCUUUGUUUCGAUCAUAUCGAAGUUCUUUUAUGUUCCUGUCUAAUUGUUUCUGUCUUAUCCACGUACUCUUUUGAAUUUCAAAAGCAAUGGAAUCAUGACGCAUUUAGACAAACAUAAAUAAAAUAAAUAUUCAUCAACAAGAUUGAUAGAAUAUUCAUAACCUCUUAUAACAUGUAAACGGAUUAGUCCGUAUACAUUUGUAAAUGUAUGCGCUAAAUCAUCCAAUACAAUGUCAUGCUUUUAGCUCAAAAAAGAGCAUCCUCGUCAUAUUACUUUUCUAAAUAAGAUUUAUAGAGUUACAAUGAUCAAUCUCGAUAGGCCAACAAGUCUAUCAUUAAUCUUUUUCUUAAAAUCUUAUUAUAGUUUAUAUGACUUAAGCAUAAAUAUCAGAGGUGAUUUUGGUUUGAAGAAACAUUUCUUUUCUUAGAUAAAUGCAUAUACUCUUUAUCAUUAUAUCUUACUUUGAAUAUAUCAAUGGACUUAUAUGAUAUAAAUUGUCUUUAUAAAUAACCAAAAUAAGUAAUAAACAGAGGAUAAAAAAAUAAUAGUGUACUCCUGUUUAUUAAAACAAGCCACCGAAAUUAAAUUCCUCUCAUAUUUGGAAAAAAAUAAAGACAAAUAUCAAAACUAAAAGUCUUGUAAAAUUGAUCUAGCCUUUCAAUUGAUAUAAACUAGCAUGUCCUCAACUGCUGUUUGAAAUUUUCUUCACUUAAUCUCUUGGUUUCCUGAAAACCAAAUAAAUUAAUUACAAAUAAGAUUAGUUAUCUCAUAAUUCACUAUUGUAUGAAUCAAUAGAUAUCUAAACUAAUUAGGAAGCUUAAAGAUUUCCUAUACCUGAUUUUAAUAAUUUUAGGACAAUUUUUCUUCCAGUGACCAUUCUGUCCACAUUUGUAACACUUGCCUUUUGGCUUGCCACUUCUUUUAGUGGACAGUUUGCCGAUCCCAACUCUUUUUUGCUCAUUCUUGUCUUUCGACUUAAGCCUUGAAGAGAAUCCUUUUUCAGGAAGUUUUCUGCUAUGAUAAAAUUCUUCUAUAGCAUGUAGUUCGUGCAUUAAUUCAAUUAAGGUCAUAUCUUUAUUGUUUAAGAUAUAGCUGACCUUAAACUAUUUGAAUGUAUCAGGUAAAAAUUCAAUCACCAUGUUAAUCUUUGAUUUAUCAUUAAUUUGAACACCAUGAAUCUCUACCUCAUUCAAAUAGUCCAUCAUUUUGAGGACAUUAUCACGAUCUCUUGUGCCCUCUUCCAUCUUAGUAUCCGUAAUACGCUUUAAUACUGCUUCUCUGGCAAAAUGAGUAUUUUGCCCAAACAUCUGAUGAAGACUAGCCAUUAUUUCAGUGGUUGUUUCCAUGCUCCGAUAUUUCUUAUGCAGUUCCACAAAAAUCGAAGCCAAUAUAUAGCGCUUAGCCAUUUUGUUAGCUUCACACCAUUUCUCAUAAGGCUCCUUCUGAUUUCUAUAAUCGUAUAACGUUUGUUCUGGAGGGAAUGGCUGGGUCAACACAUAUUUGCAACAUUUAGCAGUGACAAUAUUAAAUAGAUUGCGUUUCUAAUCUAAAUAAUUUUCGCCAAUGAGUUCAUUUUUAACAAGGAUAAUUAAUAAUGGGUUGAUGGAAGACAUUUUCUGAAAAAACAAAAUAGACAUGCAUAAAUACUUUGAAACAAUAUUCACAAUAAAUGACAAAAAUGUAAAAAACCAUAAAUGCAUUGUAAUUUAUUGUAACGAUAAUCUAGUACCGCUUUGACAAGCUAUCUGUUGGGGAAGUCAUGUCUACACUUACUAGACCCAAUUAUCCAUUGGAUUAUUUACUUUCAUGUAGAGAUGUGAUAAAUAAUUAUCGUUAUCCCUUUGGGCCUAAAUUUGUUAACAGAGCUUCGUUGGGAAGGUUAAUAACAAAUUUUAGUUGAGUGUAUAACCAUUAUUUCAAUCUACUUAUUUUUCAUAUCAAUAGUCACCGUUGGGGUGAACAAUCGAUUGAAAAAUAUUUCAAUUUUAUCUUUGAAAAAGUUCAUCAAAUAAAAUAUCUAAUAGAUAUACCCUCCGUAGGGAGCAUCACCGUAUCAUGAAGUUGAGGUAUAUAUAUAAUUUUAUUAUUGAAGUAACAAUGGAGUCCGUGGGAAAAAUUAUCUUGAAUUUUCUCUCUCCCACUCAAUAUUUUAAAAUUGGUUUUUCCUUUUUUAAAACAUACAUAUUGUUAAUUGCAAGCUUCCUAUAAUAUUAUCUAGAUGAUAUCCAAUAUUAUUAAGUAUACGUAAAUUUCAAACAAUAUAAUGAGAUUCAUAAUUAAUGAAUGACAUGUACCAUUAUGCAUAGAGUGGCACUACCUAUUCUAUAUGACAUGUUAUCAUUGCAUGUUAUCAUCCAAAACGUAGCAUAUAGAAAAAUAAUUAAAUAAUCUUAAUUCAUGGCUUUCCUUAAAAAAAUACAUUAACCCUAAGCUUAAUCUUUAUUGGGCCUCUUGUCAAUGUCCAUCUUUUCAUAGGCUUGUCUUUGUUAAUGGACUAGGGAAAUUGGGCUUUUAAAUUUAUUGUUGGUCCAAUUUUAAUUUUGAAAGGAAAUAAAUAAUUAAUUAAAAAUUUUAUUAAAAUAAAACUUUUGGACCAAAAAUAAAUUUAAUGUGUUUAAUUUUAUCUAUGCAUUUUAAUCCAUUAAGCUCAAUUGAAAUUGGGCCUAAAACUAUGAUUCAUUAAGCCCAAAAUUAUUUUUGAACUUAAAUGCAAAAAAUUGAAACUUAUCAGCCCAAAGAGAAAAACUAUGGAACUAUACGGACCUUAAUGAUAAAAUCCAUUAAAACCCUAAAUCCAUCUUUUUCUCUCCCCAACUGUCAUCACCACAAAGGGCAGCCACUGUUCACGCAUCACCGACACCGAUUUGACCAUCACCGCCACGCCAGGAAGCCACCAAACAACGCCCUCCGCCAGCCGCAAAUUUCUACAAGCUUCCAGCCUCCGCGCGUGCUGCUAGCACCGUUGCUUCCAGUUGCAGCACGUGCAGCACGCGCUGCUGGCCACGCUGGCUGUUGAGUGUUAGAAAAUAUAUAUUUAUAAAGGAGAAAAUCGUUAUUUUACAUUUCAAGUCUUACUAAUAACCCUUACUUUUAUGUAUUUAAGGUUCUUGUAAUUUAAUUAUGUGUGUUUUAUUUUAAUUAAGUAUUUUGUGUAUUUUAGGGGCAUCAUAGUCAUUUCACAAUAAACGCGAGAUCAAAUGGCAAAACGGACAUCACUUUUAAACUCAGGACGGUCGAAAACCUUAGGAGGAGCAUAAAAGGAAAAAUGGCAUUGUUCACAUGUACGGUACUAUUCACGUGUACGGUACUGUCUACGUUACUGUUCACGACACUGUUCACAUAGACAGAUCGAUGAUGUGGCAUUGACCGAUGAUAUGGCAUUGAUUGAUGAGGUGUCACGAUCCUGUUGGACUAAAAUUCUUAUGUACUGUUGAUAGUGACGUGGCAGCAUAUUAGUGGACCAAAAAUCUCGCGUACGGUACAUGCAUCACACAGGAUUAUUUUCAACCAAACCGCGUCACUGUUCAACCCGGGUCAAACCGUGUUACUGUUCAUCCACGUGGUCAAACCGCGUACUAUUGACUGAUGACGUGGCGCAAUCCUGAGCGUCCAAACUGUUUUUAAUCCGAUGGCCAUGAUUUACUCCAUGUAUCUAUAAAAAGGGGGCCUUCCCCCCCCAAAUUUGAUAUCUCUGAAUCUAUUUUUGGGAUCCAUUUUCUGUAAUUCUUUCUUCAUCUUGUAUUUUCUACGUAUUUUAAUAAAUUCUCAUUUUGCCCCUAGUUCAAUUAUGAGUGGCUAAUUUUCUUUCAAGUUUGGGUUGAAGGUGAAGUCUCAACAUGUGUCAUGGGCUUUAUUUGGUAAAUUUAUUUUCUCUUCCCCUCUAGUUUUUGUGGAUGUUUUGACUUCUCGUCGAUAAAUAAUAAUAAUCUUGUCUAGAUACCGCCUUGGUUACACCGGCUCUCUAGUACAAGGUUAUUAUUAUUUGGCACGAUAAGCCUUUAACACCAUAUUGAUUAGAGUGUGGUUCAUGAGGUGUGGAUUCCCCCCUCAUGAUUUAAAUGGUAUUAAUAAGGAAUAUCUAGCCCAUGGUGCAUGUUGAUACGGAUCCGGAUACCCAAGUGCUUCAUUUCAAUAGAUCUAUCUUCAAUUUAUUCUCGCCAUUUUAAUUUAAGUUUUAGAAUAUUCCAAAUCAAUUUCACCAUAAAUUCAACCACCCAUUUAUAAAAAUUUAUUCUACACACAAUUAAAAUCCACAUCCUCGUGGGAUCGACACUCGUCACCAUUAGUCUAUUCUACAAUAGAUUCGUGCACUUGCGAGUUCAAUAAAACUUACACAACAAGUUUUUGGCGCCGUUGCCGGGGAGGUAAGUAAUUUUAAUUCAUAGAAUUAAUUUUUGUGAAUAAUUUCUUUUAUUUGUUUUCUUGUAUUUUUUUAUAAAAAGAAAAAAGAAAAAAAAAGUGAAUCCGCAUUUAGAGGUUAGUAUUUCUUUUCUUUUUCUCUUCUUUAAAUUUAUGUAAUUUAAUUUUCAAGUUAAUUUUUUUUCUUUGUACUUUUUGUUUAUCUUACUAAUUCUUUUUAGUUAAUUUAUUUCACGUAUUUUUUUUGUGUAUUUUUAUGGUAAGGUUGUAAUAGUGCAAUAAGGUUAGUAUCGUAAUUUCUCCUUCCUCUUUAUUUUUAUUUGUUUUGUUCCCAUUUAUAUUUGUGUUUCUUGCAUGCAUGGUCGUAGGUCAUUAUUACCUAAUCUUGAACCUAUAGACCUUGAACUAGAAAAAACAUUUCGCACACACAAACAAUUUAAAAAUAAAAUGGAUUUGCAACCACAGGAGAGGCCAUUUAAGGACCAUUUCAGUCCCUUAGCUAAUUUGAGCACAUCAUGCAUAAGAUAUCCAAAUGUAGCUGCUAGGAGUUUUGAGUUAAAACCUAGUGUGUUAAAUUGUCUCCCAACAUUCUAUGGCUUAGAAAAUGAGGACCCAUAUAAUCAUCUGAAUGAUUUUCAUGCUAUUUGUCAAACUUUUAAAUACGAGAAUUUUUCAGACGAUAAUGUUAAACUCAAAUUAUUCCCAUUUUCUUUAAAAGAUAGAGCUCAUUCAUGGCUUAAUACAUUACCUGCUAAUAGCAUUGCAUCAUGGGAACAAAUGGUAACAAAAUUUUUGAAUAAAUAUUUCCCAAUGCAUAAACCCAAUGCUAUUCGCAGGGAAAUUUCAGAGUUUACACAGAGAGAAGACGAGCAAUUUUUCGAAACAUGGGAGUGAUUCAAUAGGCUACUCUUAAAGUGUCCACAUCAUGGGUACGAAGAAUGGCACAAAUCCCAAUACUUUUUGGAGGGAUUAUUGCCGAAUGUGCAAGAAUGGCUAAUGGCAACAAGUGGAGGAGAGCUAAUGUCAAAAAGUGCAACAGAAAUUUGGGAAUUCUUCCAACGACAAGCGGAUAAUUCCCAACAACGGAGUCGAUCACUCAGGAAUACUAGAAGAAUUAAGGGAGUAAAUGAGGUUCACAUUGGCGAGUCAAGUUCAGAAAUUAAAGAAGUCAAAGCAAUAAUUGAAGGCCUCUCUCGACAAAUAGCAUCGUUAUCGACUGCUAAAUUAACAAAGCCACAUAACCAUGACUCAUACUCAGAUCAAGCCAAUGCCAUAGGUGUAAUGAGAAAACCAUCGACUUACAACCCAUACUCCAACACAUAUAACCCUGGAUGGAGAGACCACCCCAAUUUUUCAUGGUCUCAAGGAUUCCAACAAAAUGGACCAGCAGCUCCAACAACACCAAUUCUACAAAAUCCUCAAGCCUCUCAGCCCCUAUUUAGACCAUUCAAUCAGAACCAGAACUACUCUCAACCCAGACAAUGGGAGGAUUCAUUCCAGAAUCUCAAGAAUCUUACUCACUCCACGAUUGAGCAACAGAACUGCACCAUUGAUGGACUACGAAAUGAGUUGAGAGCAGGCUUCAACUCACAAGCUCAAUCAGUUUCAAGCCUCAAGAAGAUGGUGGGACAACUUGCUUCUUCAGUUCAGACCUUGGCAAUGACUGUUGAGAAAGGCAAGUUUCCAAGUCAACCAGUGCCUAAUCCUAAAGGAGUAUAUGAAAUAAGUAUCAGUUCACCACAGCAGCAUGGAGAGGUCAAAGCAGUCAUGACCUUGCGAAAAUGAAAAGAAGUCGACAAUAAAGUGGAGAUGCCGGUGACAAACGAAAAUCAAAUUGUACCUGUGAAUGUUGAGGACUCACCAUCGGAAGAGAAAAAAGAAACCAACCCACGAGAAUAUGUUCCCAAAGCUCCAUUUCCUCAAAGGUUAGGUAAAGGAAAGAAGGGAAAAUCCACAGGUGAAAUUCUUGAAAUCUUCAAACAGGUAAGUGUUAACAUCCCUUUGCUCGAUGUUAUAAAACAAGUUCCAUCUUAUGCCAUGUUUCUUAAAGACCUUUGUACUAAAAAGAGAAACAUUCAUGUUCAAAAGAAGGCAUUUUUAACAGAAAAUGUUAGUUCUAUACUCCAACAUAAAAUUCCUCUAAAAUACAAAGAUCCAGGUUCCUCCACUAUCUCAUGUAGCAUAGGGAACCACACAAUUGAGAAUGCUUUAUUGGAUUUAGGAGCUAGUGUAAAUCUGUUGCCUUACUCAGUAUUUUUGAAACUUGGACUUAGAGAAUUACACCCAACUCCAGUGGUAUUACAGCUUGCAGAUCGGUCCACAAAGAUACCUUAUGGUAUUGUGGAGGACGUGCUUAUCCAAGUAGAUAAGUUUUAUUUUCAUGUUGAUUUCAUUGUAAAUGACACUCAACCAAUACAGGAUUCAAGGAAGCACAUCCCCAUUAUUCUAGGCCGACCUUUCUUGGCAACUGCGGAUGCUCACAUUCAAUGCAGGACUGGAAAUAUGCAGUUGGCCUUCGACAACAUGACUAUGGAGCUGAACAUCUUCAACUUUGCCAAACAACCUCAUAAUGCAGAUGAUGAAAUUGUUGAUGUGGAUUUAAUAGAAACAAUAGUUGAUAAUACUUUUCUUUCAAACCUUAGUGAUGAUCCUUUACAAACAUAUUUAACUCACUUUGGUUUGGAUUUUGAUAUUGACAGAUCGGUCGAUGAGGUCAACGCCCUACUUGACUCAGCACCAUCCAUGGACACUAAUAAAUGGAAGUCAAGAGUUGAACAACUAGCACCAUCAGAAAAGAAACUCAUCCCAUCAUCAGAAUCACCACCGAAACUCAAACUCAAACCAUUACCCAACACUUUGGAAUAUUCAUUUUUUGGAGAAGAAAGUACUCUGCCGGUAAUCAUCUCAUCAUCCCUCAAUGACAAAUAAAAAGGUAAGUUGUUGGAUGUUUUAAAAAAGCACAAAGGAGCAUUAUGAUGGACCAUAGCAGAUAUCAAAGGUAUAAACCCAGUAGACUGCAUGCAUUACAUUCACCUUGAUGAAAAUGCUAAAUCUACUAGGGAAAUGCAACGUCGGUUAAAUCCUAAUAUGAAAGAAGUUGUUAUAACAGAAGUCCUUAAGCUAUUAGACGCAGGUAUUAUUUACCCAAUUUCUGAUAGUUCAUGGGUCAGUCAUGUACAAAUGUUUCCCAAAAAGUUAGGAGUCACAGUAGUUACGAAUGCUGAUAAUGAAUUGAUACCCACUAGAGUGACUACAGGAUGGCGUGUAUGCAUUGAUUAUAGAAAGUUGAAUUCUGUCACACGUAAAGACCAUUUUCCUUUACCAUUUAUCGAUCAAAUGCUUGAUAGAUUAGCAGGCCAUUAAUUUUAUUGCUUUCUAGAUGGCUACUCAGGAUAUAAUCAGAUUCUCAUAGCACCAAAAGAUCAAGAGAAAACUACUUUCACUUGCCCUUUUGGCACUUUUGCAUAUAGGAGAAUGUCAUUUGGAUUAUGUAAUGCACCUGCUACAUUUCAACGAUGCAUGUUGAGCAUUUUUUCUGAUAUGGUUGAACGAUUCCUUGAAGUCUUUAUGGAUGACUUUUCUGUCUUUGGUGAUUCAUUUGAUCAAUGUUUACAUCAUCUAACAUUAGUUCUGCAGAGAUGUAUCGAGAAGAACUUAGUCUUAAAUUAGGAGAAGUGUCAUUUUAUGGUAAAACAAGGUAUUGUUCUCGGUCACAUCAUUUUGAGCAAAGGUAUUGAGGUUGACAAAGUCAAGAUAGAUCUCAUUUCUAAUCUUCCUCCACCCAAAACAGUCAGAGAAGUAAGAUCUUUCCUUGGGCAUGUUGGUUUCUAUAGACGUUUCAUUAAAGAUUUUAGCAAAGUUUCUAGACCCUUAUGCAAUUUACUUGCUAAGGAUGUACCUUUUAUCUUUAAUGAUUCAUGUCUUGUGGCUUUUGAAAAAUUAAAGCAAUUGUUGACAUCAUCACCCAUCAUUCAGGCCCCAAACUGGAGCUUACCAUUUGAACUCAUGUGUGAUGCAUCUGAUUAUGCAGUAAGAGCAGUAUUAGGACAAAGAGUUGAUCGAAUUCCCCAUGUUAUUUAUUAUGUUAGUAUGACAUUGAAUAUGCACAGUUGAACUAUUCAACUACUGAAAAAGAAAUGCUAGCAGUAGUGUUUGCAUUGGAAAAAUUUUGAUCUUAUCUCAUUGGUUGUAAAAUAAUUGUGUUCACAGAUCAUGCUGCUCUUAAAUAUCUUCUCACGAAGAAAGAUGUAAAAGCUAGACUAAUUCGUUGGGUGUUACUUUUGCAGGAAUUUGACUUGGAAUUUAAAGAUAAGAAAGGCACAGAAAAUAUUGUGGCAGACCAUCUCUCUCGUCUCCAUUUUGACACAAUUAUGGAAACAUUACCAUUGAAUGAGUCAUUCCCAUAUGAACAAUUGAUGAGUGUGGAAGUAUUACCAUGGUAUGCUGACACCGUGAAUUAUCUUGUUACAGGUCAACUUCCAGAGCAUUGGACCAAGCAAGACAAGGCUAAAUUCUUUGCAGAAAUAAAGAAUUUCUUUUGGGAUGACCCGUAUUUGUUCAAGUAUUGUGCAGAUCAAAUUGUUAGGCGAUGUGUCCCAGAAAGUGAAAUUCAGAAUAUCCUUUCAUUUUGUCAUGAACAAGCUUGUGGAGGCCAUUUCAGUGCUAAGAAAACAGCUACUAAAGUUUUACAAUGUGGUUUCUAUUGGCCAACUAUAUUUCGAGACGCUUACACUUUCUGUUCUUCAUGUGAUAGGUGUCAACGAAUGGGGAGCAUUACACGAAGGAAUAUGAUGCCACUAAAUCCAAUUUUAGUGGUUGAGAUUUUUGACGUAUGGGGUAUCGACUUCAUGGGACCCUUUCCCCCUUCUUUUGGCCAUCAAUACAUAUUGGUUGCUGUUGACUACGUAUCGAAAUGGGUAGAAGCAAUUCCAUGCAGAACCAAUGAUCACAAAGUGGUGAUAGCAUUUUUGAAAAGCAACAUUGUUUCACGCUUUGGAUUCCCUCGAGCGAUAAUCAGUGAUGGUGGUGCCCACUUUUGUAACAAAGCAUUCAAAGCUCUUUUGACAAAGUAUUCCAUCACACACAAAGUGGCGACCCCAUAUCAUCCGCAAACCAGUGGCCAAGUUGAGAUCUCCAAUCGAGAAAUAAAGCACAUAUAAGAAAAUACGGUGAAGCCGGACAAAAAAGAUUGGUUAUUAAGACUUGAUAAUGUAUUAUGGGCAUAUAGAACGGCUUUCAAGACCCCGAUUGGUAUGUCACCUUACAGGCUAGUGUAUGGAAAAGCUUGCCACCUACCUGUGGAACUCGAGCAUCGUGCAUAUUGGGCCAUCAAGAAAUUCAACUUUGACAUGCAGUAAGCCAGCUCAUAAAGAAGAUUACAACUGACAGAACUUGAAGAAAUUCGUAAUGACGCAUACGAAAAUGUCAAGAUUUACAAGUAACGAAUGAAAGUCUUUCACGACAAGCAAAUUAUGAGAAAAUCUUUCACUCCAGGUCAGAAAGUGCUUUUAUUCAAUUCUCGCUUACAUCUAUUCCCAGGUAAGUUACGCUCUCGAUGGUCUGGUCCCUUUAUUGUUCAUACUGUUUUUCCACAUGGGGCAAUUGAAAUUAAGGACCCAAAGAACGGUGUCACGUUUAAAGUUAAUGGUCAAAGAUUAAAGUCAUAUCUAGAGUACCAACCACAUCGAGAAGACACCGAAAUAAAUUUGAGUGACCCACCAGAUUUGAAUUGAUUUUUUUUCUUUUCGUUGAUUUGAUUUUUCUAUCUUUCUUUUUAUUAUUAUUUUGCUAAUUGAAAUUAUUUUUGCAUAAGUGUGUUUGUUUUACCAUUACGUUUUUUCUUAUCAUUGUUAAUCAUGAGUACCAUACUUAGACCGUUCCUCCUGAACAUUCUUAAACCACUUCAACGUGUCAAAACUCAUCUCAAAAAGCAGAUUUAAUUUUGUAAAACGCAAUGCAUUUGGGCUCUACAACCACCAGAGUUAGUAGCCUAUGUUGAGAAUCUAGAAAGCCAACUCCGAGAUAUUGAGAGAAGUGUUUACGACAUCCAGUUGGAGCUUGAGGUAAAUUCAAUAAGAGGACGAUUUUAAUUUUCUUUGUGUGUUUUAAUUUAUUUUUCAGUUUGUGUGCUUUAGUUUGUUACCCCGGUGAAGUGGCGGAUAACGGUACUCCGUGACAAUCAAGGUUACUUCAGUUUCCCAUAAUAACUGAUAUUCUGAGGCGAAGGUAUGGACAGAAACGAGAUUCUAGCGAAGCUUCACAAGCGAUUCUCUUCACUUCCUCAGAAUGCCCUCCUUAAAAUCUAUAAAGCCCGGUCCGAACGCAUGCGAUUGCUCAUGAGGAAUAACAUACCUGCUGACAUCCGUUAGUUAAUCGAGGCUAAAGUACGAUUGGCAGGUGAGUUACCUCCAAAAUUUAUUGCAUACAUGCCUGGUUGUGGUAAAGGAAAUUAUGCAAGAAAACGACGAGCUCGAAGAAUUUCUGUUGCUUGUCAUAACUGUGCCAGAAUGAGUUGCGAUAAAAACUUAUGUUCUUUAGGAAUGGUGUCUGAUAACAGGGAAGAUAAGAUUCAAUUCAUUAGGGAUGGCUUGAAUAAGGAGUCAUUGGAUGAUAUCAUUUUGUCUCUUGAAACGCAUCCCAGUGGAUAUGUGCAAGGAACGAUUCUCUAGUUAUGACCAUUAUUCCAGAAAGAGCAUGCACGAUAUAGUCUCGGGAAUCUGACUAUAAACGACCAUGUUUGCCAGUUUAUAAGAAAACUAGAUGGGAAGCCUAUCAUCGACUCAUAGAGGGCGUUCAAGCCGUUUCUGGACGUAAAACCAGAGGAAGAUGUGAGCUACAGUCGCAACUACCUGUAAAUAUCCUUUUACUUUACUGUUAUUUUAUUUCACUGUUGUUUUAUUGUUUGCAUUAUUGUUUUUAAUAAUUUUAUUAUUGUUUGCUUUUUCCUUUUUACUGUUUUCUUUUUUACUCACGAGCUAUAUGCUUUACGCGUUAUUUGACACUGACAUGCUACCUCAUACAUAGCUGUGACCCACUGUCACCAAGAUUCUUAAAUGUGAUUUCUUUUUUGUCAAGCACUCACAAAUUAUUUUUUAGAAGUAUCACAAUGGCAGCUACUCCCAAUAGACAAUUCAAGAACAUUUGUGUGCUUUCUGAAUUUAACUAUGGCAAACAUAAAGAGUUCGUUGAGGCAGCCAUAGAUCUUGGUAGAAGCAUAGCAGAGAGAAAAUUACACUUGGUGUAUGGAGGAGGUAACCGAGGGUUAUCAAAAUUGGUCUCAGAAGCUGCUUUUAUCAGAGGGAGCCAAGUGUUAGGCAUCAUCCCAAGAGCCCUAAAACCUUUGGGCAGUUUGACUGACUCACCGACUGGAGAAGAGUUAGUCGUCUCAGGUAUGCAAGAAAGAAUAACUAAAAUGCUUAAUCAUGCUGAUGCUUUUAUUUUUCUUCCAGGAGAUCUUGCAACACUAGAGGCACUUAUCACACUAGCAUCUUGGGCCCAUCUGCACAUUCACCAUAAACCCAUCGAUUUGUUAAAUGUCAAUAACUUUUAUGAUGGCUUUAUCGCAUUUCUUAACCAUGCAAUAAAAAACUAUUUCAUUCCUUCUAAUGCGAAAAAACUUUUUAUUUGUGCUCACACUGCUAAUGAGCUACUUGAUCUGUUACAAGCUUAUAAACCAGAGCCAAACCCCUGGACCUUUCUGUUGGAACGCCCAAAUAAUGAUGGUAACAGUAGCCGCAGUAAGAAGUACAAAUUAGAUUUAACUCUCCGCUUGUAAAUAUUUUCUUCUGUGUUGCACCACCCAGGUGAUUUCUUCUAAACUUUACUUCUUUUCUUUACAACAUUGAGGACAAUAUUUCGUUCUGGUUGGUGGGAGGGAAUAGUCGACAAUUGUGGAAUCUUAGUUAAGUUUUUACUGAUUUUUUGUUGUAGAAACUAACUGUUGCUAACGUUUUGUGUUGAAGAUGGCUGAAUAUGGAGUGUAAUUACUCUAGAAACGCAUCUUCAUCGUUUGAAAAAAAAAACAAAAAAAAAUUAUUUUCUUCCUCUUUUUAAUUUCUCCUUUAUAAAUAUACAUUUUUAAAUUUUUGAGUCGAAGAUGGCUGAAUAUGGAGUGUAGUGCCUCUAGAAACGCAUCUUCUUACAAAAAAAAAAAAUAUCAUUUUAAGUGUAACUUUUCUAAUUAGUUUUUCUGCAUCAUUUUCACAUUUUUGCAUGCAUAUUUUCUCAAAAAAUUUGUUUUCUUCCUCUUUUUAAUUUCUCCUUUAUAAAUAUACAUUUUUAAAUUUUUUAGUCGAAGAUGGCUGAAUAUGGAGUGUAGUGCCUCUAGAAACGCGUCUUCUUACAAAAAAAAAAAUCAUUUUCGUUUUCUAUCAUUUUAAUUGUAACUUUUCUAAUUAGCUUUUCUGCAUCAUUUUCACAUUUCUGCAUGCAUAUUUUCCUUUCAUGUUUAGAAUAGGUUGGGGGGUAGGACGUUGUUUAAAAAAAAAAAAUUGUGUGAUUUGUUUUAACAUUGGAUGACAUGAUUAAUUUCAAAUUUUAGUAUUUGUAUUAUCUUUGGUCUUAAGUGAUGUUACGCUAUGUUUACUACUUUACAUGUUGAUGUCGGAGACAAAUAUGAGUUGCUUGAAGGAAUGAACAUGUCAUAAAUAAGUGCCAAGUGAGUUUUUGAGCCUAUCAUUUUUCUUGGAGAGUAACUGUUGAGUGUUAGAAAAUGCAUAUUUAUAAAGGAGAAAAUCAUCAUUUUACAUUUCAAGUUUUACUAACAACCAUUACUUUUAUGUAUUUAAGCUUUUUGCAAUUUAAUUAUGUGUGUUUGAUUUUAAUUAAGUAUUUUAUGUAUUUUAGGGGCAUCAUAGUCAUUUCACAAUAAACGAGAGAUCAGAUGGCAAAACGGACAUCACUUUUGAACUCAGGACGGUCGAAAACCUUAGGAGGAGCAUAAAAGGAAAAAUGGCAUUGUUCACAUGUACGGUACUAUUCACGUGUACGGUACUGCCUACGUUACUGUUCAUGACACUGUUCACAUAAACGGAUCGAUGACGUGGCAUUGAUCGAUGAUGUGGCAUUGACUGAUGAGGUGUCACGAUCAUGUUGGGCUAAAAUUCUUAUGUACUGUUGAUGGUGACGUGGCAGCAUAUCAGUGGACGAAAAAUCUCGCGUACGGUACAUGCAUCACACAGGAUUAUUUUCAACCAAACCGCGUCACUGUUCACCCGGGUCAAACCGUGUUACUGUUCAUCCGCGUGGUCAAACCGCGUACUGUUGACUGAUGACGUGGCGCAAUCCUGAGCGUCCAAACUGUUUUUAAUCCGAUGGCCAUGAUUUACUCCAUGUAUCUAUAAAAAUGGAGCCUCCCCCCCCUAAUUUGAUAUCUCUGAAUCCAUUUUUGGGAUCUAUUUUCUGUAAUUCCUUCUCCAUCUUGUAUUUUCUUCAUAUUUUAAUAAAUUCCCAUUUUGCCCCUAGUUCAAUUAUGAGUAGCUAAUUUCCUUUCAAGCUUGGGUUGAAGGUGAAGUCUCAACAUGUGUCAUGGGCUUUAUUUGGUAAAUUUAUUUUCUUUUCCCUUCUAAUUUUUGUGGAUGAUUUGACUUAUCGUCGACAAAUAAUAAUAGUCUUGUCUAGAUACCGCCUUGGUUACACCGGCUCUCUAGUACAAGGUUAUUAUUAUUUGGCACGAUAAGCCCUUAGCACCAUAUUGAUUAGAGCGUGGUUCAUGAGGUGUGGAUUCCCCCCUCAUGAUUUAAUUGGCAUUAAUACAGAUUAUUUAGCCCAUGAUGCAUGUUGAUACGGAUCCAGAUACCCAAGUACGUCAUUUCAAUAGAAUUCUCUUCAAUUUAUUCUCGCCAUUUCAAUUCCAAUUUCAGAAUUUAUUCUCGCCAUUUUAAUUUAAGUUUUAGCAUAUUCCAAAUCAUUUCCACCACAGAUCCAAUCAACCAUUUGCAAAAUUAAUUUUAUACACAAUUAAAAUCCACCUCCUCGUGGGAUCGACACUCGUCACCAUUGAUCUCUACUACAAUAGAUUCGUGCGCUUGCGAGUACAUUAAAAUUUGCACAACAAGUUUUUGGCGCCGUUACCGGGGAGGUAAGUAAUUUUAAUUCAUAGAAUUAAUUUUUGUGAAUAAUUUCUUUAUUUGUUUUCUUGUAUUUUUUAUAAAAAAAAAAGAGAAAAAAAAAGUGAAUCUGCAAUUAGAGGUAAUAAUUUCUUUUCUUUCUCUAUUCUUUACAAUUCUGCAAUUUAAUUUUUAAGUUAUUUUUCUUUAAUUUUUUUUAAUUUAUUUUUAGUUAAUUUAUUUCACGUAUUUGUUUUAGUGUGUUUUUAUAGAAAAGUUGUAACAGCGCAAUAAGGUUAGUAUCGUAAUUUCUCCUUUUUCUUUAUUUUUAUUCGUUUUGUUCCCAUUUAUCUUUGUGUUCCUUGUAUGCAUGGUCGUAGGUCUUUAUUACCUAAUCUUGAACCUAUAGACCUUGAACUUGAGAAAACACUUCGCACACACAGGCACGUUAAAAAUAAAUUUGAAAUGGAUUUACAAGCACCACAGGAGAGGCCAUUUAAGGAUUAUUUUAGUCCUUUAGCUAAUUUGAGCACAUCAUGUAUUAGAUACCCAAAUGUAGCUGCUAGAAGCUUUGAACUAAAACCUAGUGUGCUAAAUUGUCUCCCCACACUUUAUGGCUUAGAAAAUAAGGACCUAUAUAAUCAUCUGAAUGAUUUUCAUGCUAUUUGUCAAACAUUUAAAUUUGAGAAUUUUUCAGACGAUGAUGUUAAACUUAGACUAUUCCCAUUUUCUUUAAAGGAUAGAGCUCGUUCAUGGCUUAAUACAUUGCCUGCUAAUAGCAUUGCAUCAUGGGAACAAAUGGUUACAAAAUUUUUGAAUAAAUAUUUCCCAGUGCAUAAAACUAAUGCUAUUCGCAGGGAAAUCUCAGAGUUUACCCAGAGAGAUGACGAGCAAUUUUUCGAAACAUGGGAGCGAUUCAAUGGGCUACUCUUGAAGUGUCCACAUCAUGGGUACGAAAAAUGGCACCAAUGCCAAUACUUUUUGGAGGGAUUAUUGCCGAAUGUGCAAGAAUGGCUAAUGGCAACAAGUGGAGGAGAGCUAAUGUCAAAAAGCGCAUCAGAGAUUUGGGAAUUCUUUCAGCGACAAGCGGAUAAUUCCCAACAACGGAGUCGGUCACUCAGGAAUACUAGAAGAAUUAAGGGAGUAAAUGAGGUUCAAAUUGACGAGUCAACUUCGAGAAUCAAAGAAGUCAAGGAGAUGGUUGAAGGUCUUGCUCGACAAAUAGCAUCAUUAUCAACUGCUAAAUCAACAGAACCACAUGACCAUGACUCAUACUCAGAUCAAGCCAAUGCCAUAGGUGUAAUGAGAAAGCCAUCUAAUUACAACCCAUACUCCAACACAUAUAACCCUGGAUGGAGAGACCACCCCAAUUUUUCAUGGUCUCAAGGAUUCCAACAGAAUGGACCAGCAGCUUCAGCUCCACAAUUCCUCAAAAUCAUCAAGCCUCUCAGCCACCAUUUAGACCAUACAAUCAGAACCAAAACUACUCUCAACCCAGACCAUGGGAGGAUUCAUUCCAGAAUUUCAAGAAUGUUACUCACUCCACGAUUGAGCAACAGAACCGCACCAUUGAUGGACUACGAAAUGAGUUGAGAGCAGGUUUCAACUCACAAGCUCAAUCAGUCUCAAGCUUGGAGAAGAUGGUGGGACAACUCGCUUCUUCAGUUCAGACCUUGGCAAUGACUGUUGAGAAAGGCAAGUUUCCAAGUCAACCAGUGCCUAAUCCUAAAGGAGUGCAUGAAGCAAGUACCAGUUCACCACAGCAGUAUGGAGAGGUCAAAGCAGUAAUGACCUUGCGAAAAGGAAAAGAAGUCGACAACAAAGUGGAGAUGUCGGUGACAAAAGAAAAUCAAAUUGUACCUAUGAAUGUUGAGGACUCACCAUCGGAGGAGAAAGAAGAAACCAACCCGCGAGAGUACAUUCCCAAGGCUCCAUUUCCUCAGAGGUUAGCUAAAGGAAAAAAGGGAAAAUCCACAGGUGAGAUUCUUGAAAUCUUCAAACAGGUAAGUGUUAACAUCCCUUUACUUGAUGCUAUUAAACAAGUUCCAUUUUAUGCCAUGUUUCUUAAAGACCUUUGUACUAAAAAGAGAAAUAUGCAUGUUCAAAAGAAGUCAUUUUUAACAGAAAACGUUAGUUCUAUACUCCAACAUAAAAUUCCUUUAAAAUGCAAAGACUUAGGCUCCCCCACUAUCUCAUGUAGUAUAGGGAACCACACAAUUGAGAAUGCUUUGUUGGAUUUAGGAGCUAGUGUAAAUUUGUUGCCUUACUCUGUAUUUAUGAAACUUGGACUGGGAGAAUUACACCCAACUCCAAUGGUGUUACAACUUGCAGAUCGGUCCACGAAAAUACCUCGUGGUAUUGUGGAGGACGUGCUUAUCCAGGUAGACAAGUUUUAUUUUCCUGUUGAUUUCAUUGUAAUUGACACCCAACCAAUACAGGAUUCAAGGAAGCACAUCCCCAUUAUUCUAGGCCGACCUUUCUUGGCAACUGCGGAUGCUCACAUUCAAUGCAGGACUGGAAAUAUGUAGUUUUCCUUUGGCAACAUGACUAUGGAGCUGAACAUCUUCAAUAUUGCCAAACAACCUCACAAUACAGAUGAUGGACUUGUUGAUGUGGAUUUAAUUGAAGCAUUAGUUGAUGACACUUUUGUUUCAAACCUUAGUGAUGAUCCUUUACAAACAUGUUUAACUCACUUUGGUUUGGAUUUUGAUAUUGACAGAUCGGUCGAUGAGGUCAACGCCCUACUUGACUCAGCACCAUCCAUGGACACUAAUAAAUGGAAGUCAAGAGUUGAACAACUAGCACCAUCAGAGAAGAAACUCAUCCCAUCAUCAGAUUCACCACCGAAACUCGAGCUCAAACCAUUGCCCAACACUUUGGCAUAUGCGUUUUUGGGAGAAGAAAGCACUCUACCGGUAAUCAUCUCAUCAUCCCUAAACGACGAACAAAAAGGUAAGUUGUUGGAUGUUUUAAAAGAGCACAAAGGAGCAUUAGGAUGGACCAUAGCAGACAUCAAAGGUAUAAAUCCAGUAGACUGCAUGCAUUACAUUCACCUUGAUGAAAAUGUUAAAUCUACUAGGGAAAUGCAACGUCGGUUCAAUCCUAAUAUGAAAGAAGUUGUUAGAACAGAAGUCCUUAAGCUAUUAGACGCAGGUAUCAUUUACCCAAUUUCUGAUAGUUCAUGGGUCAGUCCUGUACAAGUUGUCCCCAAAAAGUCAGGAGUCACAGUAGUUACGAAUGCCGAUAAUGAAUUAAUACCAACUAGAGUGACUACAGGAUGGCGUGUAUGUAUUGAUUAUAAAAAGUUGAAUUCUGUCACACGUAAAGACCAUUUUCCUUUACUAUUUAUCGAUCAAAUGCUUGAUAGAUUAGCAGGUCAUGAAUUUUAUUGCUUUCUAGAUGGCUACUCAGGAUAUAAUCAGAUUCCCAUAGCACCAAAAGAUCAAGAGAAAACUACUUUCACUUGCCCUUUUGGCACUUUUGCAUAUAGGAGAAUGCCAUUUGGAUUAUGUAAUGCACCUGCUACGUUUCAACGAUGCAUGUUAAGCAAUUUUUCUGAUAUGGUUGAACGAUUCCUUGAAGUCUUUAUGGAUGAUUUUUCUGUCUUUGGUGACUCGUUUGAUCAAUGUUUACAUCAUCUAACGCUAGUUCUGCAGAGAUGUACCGAGAAGAGCUUAGUCUUAAAUUGGGAGAAGUGUCAUUUUAUGGUAAAACAAGGUAUUGUUCUCGGUCACAUCAUUUCAAGCAAAGGUAUUGAGGUUGACAAAGCCAAGGUGAAUCUCAUUUCUAAUCUUCCUCCACCCAAAACAGUCAAAGAAGUAAGAUCUUUCCUUGGACAUGCUGGUUUCUAUAGACGUUUCAUUAAAGAUUUUAGCAAAGUUUCUAGACCCUUAUGCAAUCUACUUGCUAAGGAUGUACCUUUUGUCUUUAAUGAUUCAUGUCUUAUGGCAUUUGAAAAAUUGAAGCAGUUGUUGACAUCAUCACCCAUCAUUCAACCCCCAAAUUUGAGCUUACCAUUCGAGCUCAUGUGUGAUGCAUCUGAUUAUGCAGUAGGAGCAGUUUUAGGACAAAGAGUUGAUCGAAUUCCCCAUGUUAUUUACUAUGCUAGUAUGACAUUAAAUGAUGCACAGUUGAACUAUUCAACUACUGAAAAAGAAAUGCUAGCAGUAGUGUUUGCAUUAGAGAAAUUUCGAUCUUAUCUCAUUGGUUGUAAAAUAAUUAUAUUCACAGAUCAUGCUGCUCUUAAAUAUCUUCUCACAAAAAAAGAUGCAAAAGCUAGACUAAUUCGUUGGGUGUUACUUUUGCAGGAAUUCGACUUAGAAUUCAAAGAUAAAAAAGGCACAGAAAAUUUUGUGGCGGACCAUCUCUCUCGUCUUCACUUUGACACAAUUACAGAACCAUUACCAUUAAAUGAGUCAUUUCCAGUUGAACAAUUAAUGAGUGUAGAAGUAUUACCUUGGUAUGCUGAUAUAGUUAAUUAUCUUGUUACAGGUAAACUUCCAAAGCAUUGGACCAAGCAAGACAAGACCAAAUUUUUUACGGAAAUAAAGAAUUUCUUUUGGGAUGACCCUUAUUUGUUCAAGUAUUGUGCUGACCAAAUUGUUAGACGAUGUGUCCUAGAAAGUGAAAUUCAGAAUAUCCUUUCAUUCUGCCAUGAACAAGCUUGUGGAGGCCAUUUCAGUGCUAAGAAAACAGCGACUAAAGUUUUACAAUGUGGUUUCUAUUGGCCAACUAUAUUUCGAGAUGCUUACACUUUUUGUUCUUCAUGUGAUAGGUGUCAACAAAUGGGGAGUAUUACACGAAGGAAUAUGAUGCCAUUAAAUCCAAUUUUAGUGGUUGAGAUUUUUGACGUAUGGGGUAUCGACUUAAUGGGACCCUUUCCCCCUUCUUUUGGCCAUCAAUACAUAUUGGUUGGUGUUGACUACGUCUCAAAAUGGGUAGAAGCAAUUCCAUGUAGAACCAAUGAUCACAAGGUGGUGAUAGGAUUUUUGAAAAGCAAUAUUGUUUCGCGCUUUGGAUUCCCUCGAGCAAUAAUCAGUGAUGGUGGUGCCCACUUUUGUAACAAAGCAUUCAAAGCUCUUUUGACAAAGUAUUCAAUCACACACAAAGUGGCAACCCCGUAUCAUCCGCAAACCAGUGGCCAAGUUGAGAUCUCCAAUCGAGAAAUCAAGCACAUAUUAGAAAAAACGGUGAGGCCAGACAGAAAAGAUUGGUCAUUAAGACUUGAUGAUGCAUUAUGGGCAUAUAGAACGGCUUUCAAGACCCCGAUUGGGAUGUCACCCUACAGGCUAGUAUAUGGAAAAGCUUGCCACCUACCUGUGGAACUCGAGCAUCGUGCGUAUUGGGCCAUCAAGAAAUUCAACUUUGACAUGCAGCAAGCCAGCUCAGAAAGAAGAUUACAACUGGCAGAACUUGAAGAAAUUCGCAAUGAUGCAUACGAAAAUGCCAAAAUUUACAAGCAACGAAUGAAAGUCUUUCAUGACAAGCACAUUAUGAGAAAAUCUUUCACUCCAGAUCAGAAAGUGCUUUUAUUCAAUUCUCACUUGCACCAAUUCCCAGGUAAGUUACGCUCUCGAUGGUCUGGUCCCUUUAUUGUUCAUACUAUUUUUCCACAUGGGGCAAUUGAAAUUAAGGACCCAAAAAAUGGUGUCACUUUUAAAGUUAAUGGUCAAAGAUUAAACCCAUAUCUAGAAUACCAACCACAUGGAGAAGACACCGAAAUAAAUUUGAGUGACCCACCAGAUUUGAAUUGAUUUUAUUCUUCUUUUCGUUGAUUUGAUUUUUCUUUCUUUCUUUUUAUUAUUCUUUUGCUAAUUGAAAUUAUUUUUGCAUAAGUGUGUUUGUUUAACAAUUAAGUUUUCUCUUAUCAUUUUUAACCAUGAGUACCUUACUUAGACCGUUCCUCCUGAACAUUCUUAAACCACUUCAACGUAUCAAAACUCAUCUCAAAAGGCAAAUUCAAUUUUGUAAAACACAUCGUAUUUGGGCUCUACAACCACCAGAGUUAGUAGCCUAUGUUGAGGGUUUAGAACGCCAACUCAGAGACAUUGAGAGAAGUGUUUACGACAUCCAGUUGGAGCUUGAGGUAAAUUCAAUAAGAGGACGAUUUUAAUUUUCUUUGUGUCUUUUGAUUUGUUUUUCUGUUUGUGUGCUUUAGUUUGUUACCCCGGUGAAGUGGCGGAUAACGGUACUACGUGACAAUCAAGUCGGUUCCUUCAGUUUCCCAUAAUAACUGAUAUUCUGAGGCGAAGGUAUGGAUAGAAACGAGAUUCUAGCAAAGCUUCACAAGCGAUUCCCUUCACUUCCUCAGAAUGCCCUCCUUACAAUCUAUAAAGCCCGGUCUGAACGCAUGUGAUUGCUCAUGAGGAAUAACAUACCUGCUGACAUCCGUUGGUUAAUCGAGGCUAAAGUACGAUCAGCAGUGUGCCAGAAUGAGUUGCAAUAAAAACCCAUGUUCUUUAGGAAUGGUGUCUGAUAACAGGGAAGAUAAGAUUCAAUUCAUUAGGGAUGGCUUGAAUAAGGAGUCAUUGGAUGAUAUUCUUUUGUCUCUUGAAACGCAUCCCAGUGGAUAUGUGCAAGGAGCGAUUCUCUAGUUGUGGCCAUUAUUCCAGAAAGAGCAUGCACGAUAUAGUCUCGGGAAUCUGACUAUAAACGACCCUGUUUGCCAGUUUAUAAGAAAACUGGAUGGGAAGCCCAUCCUCGACCCAUAGAGGGCGUUCAAGCCGUUUCUGGACGUAAAACCAGAGGAAGAUGUGAGCCACAGUCGCAACUACGUGUAAAUAUCCUUUUACUUUACUGUUAUUUUAUUUCAUUUCACUGUUGUUUUAUUGUUUGCAUUAUUGUCUUUAAUAAUUUUAUUACUGUUUGCUUUUUCCUUUUUACUGUUUCAUUUUUGACUCGCGAGCCAUGUGUUUCACGCGUUAUUUGACACUGACAUGUUACCUCACUCACAGCUGUGACCCACUGUCACCAAGACUCUUAAAUGUGAUUUCUUUUGUCAAACACUCACAAAUUGUUUUUGAGAAAUAUUCCAAUGGCAGCUACUCCCAAUAGACAAUUCAAGAACAUUUGUGUGCUUUCUGGAUUUACCUAUGGCAAACAUAAAGAGUUCGUUGAGGCAGUCAUAGAUCUUGGUCGAAGCAUAGCAGCGAGAAAAUUACACUUGGUGUAUGGAGGAGGUAACCGAGGGUUAUCAAAAAUGGUCUCAGAAGCAGCUUUUAUCAGAGGAAGUCAAGUGUUAGGCAUCAUCCCAAGAGUCCUAAAACCAUUGGGCAGUUCGUCUGACUCAUCAACUGGAGAAGAGUUAGUCGUCUCAGGUAUGCAAGAAAGAAUAACUGAAAUGCUUAAUCAUGCUGAUGCUUUUGUUUUCCUUCCAGGAGAUCUUGCAACACUAGAGGCACUUAUGACACUAGCAUCUUGGGCCCAUCUACACAUCCACCAGAAACCCAUCGGUUUGUUAAAUGUCAAUAACUUUUAUGAUGGCUUUAUCGCAUUUCUUAACCAUGCAAUAAAAACUAUUUCAUUCCUUCUAAUGUGAAAAAACUCUUUAUUUGUGCUCACACUGCUAAUGAGCUACUUGAUAUGUUACAAGCUUAUAAACCAGAGCCAAACCCCUGGACCUUUGUGUUGGAGCGACCAAAUAAUGAUGGUAACAGUAGCCGCAGUAAGAAGUACAAAUUAGAUUUAACUCUCCGCCUGUAAAUAUUUUCUUCUGUGUUGCACCACCCAGAUGAUGUCUUCUAAACUCUACUUCUUUCCUUUAAAACAUUGAGGACAAUGUUUCGUUCUGGUUGGGGGGAGGGAAUAGUCGACAAUUGUGGAAUCUUAGUUAAGUUUUUACUGAUUUUUUGUUGUAGAAACUAACUGUUGCUAACGUUUUGUGUUGAAGAUGGCUGAAUAUGGAGUGUAAUUACUCUAGAAACGCAUCUUCAUCGUUUUAAAAAAAAAAAAAACUAUUUUCUUCCUCUUUCUCCUUUAUAAAUAUAUAGUUUCAAAUUUUUGAGUCGAAGAUGGCUGAAUAUGGAGUGUAGUGCCUCUAGAAACGCAUCUUCUUAGUUUAAAAAAAAAAAUUCUUUUUCUAAUUAAUUUUUCUACAUCAUUUUCACAUUUUUGCAUGCAUAUUUUCCUUUCAUGCUUAGAAUAGGUUGGGGGGUAGAAUAUCGUUUGAAAAAAAAAUUGUGUGAUUUGUUUUAACAUUGGAUGACAUGAUUAAUUUCAAAUUUUAGUAUUUGUAUUAUCUUUGGUCUUAAGUGAUGUUACAUUAUGUUUGCUACUCUACAUGUUGAUGUCGGAGACAAAUAUGAGUUGCUUGAAGGAAUGAACAUGUCAUAAUAAGUACCAAGUGAGUUUUUGAGCCUAUUAUUUUUCUUGGAGAGUAACCCUUUUGCCCAUUCUUUAUACAGCUUAGCAGUUUAUUAUUUUAUACACGAUCUCUAGAUUUCUUUUAAGUUAACCCUUAAAAAAAAAUUGUAAAAAAAAAAAAAAAUUGUGUGUUGCUACAUUUGGAGGCCCAUCUAACUAGUAGAUAUGGAUGAUUAUUUAGAGCCCUAAAAGACGAUGGAAAUGCCAUCUUUGAUCCGUUUGAGCCUUUCUAGCCAUCUUUUUUAUUAAAUAUCCAUAGUUAACCAUUUUGAGCCUUUUAAAAAAAAAACCUUUUAUUUGUUAAACUUAUCAUCUUGACCCACUCCGAUUUGGAGUAUUACCCGAUAUCUUAUAAGUUCCAUCACCUAUUUAUGUUUAAGAAAAAUGUAAAUAAUUAUUUUGUUCAGUGACGUUGUGCCAAGCAAAAGCAAAAAAAAAAAUUGUUUCAAAAAAAAAUAAUAAAAUAAAUUAAAAUAACAAUAAUAGGUGAAAUUCACCUUCCAACUUCCAAAAAAAAAAAAAAUCCAUCUGCAUUUUUUUCAAACAUAUACUUUAUUUUCCUUAUUUACCUUCUUUGUUAACCAUGUCCCUAGCCUACGUUACGUCCUAAUAAAAGCCCUUGAUUUUAAGGAACUAUAGUCUGAAGUAGAAGCUAGUUAUAUGGGCUAAAAAGAUGUAGUGAUGCAUAAUAAAAAAAAAAAAGAUAAAUAAAGUGAGUUGACUAGCAUUUUUGUUUGACUUGAGAUCGUAUUAUUUCUAAGUUGAGGGUACAUUUCUUUCAUCUUGGUGAGAGCAUGUGAUAUCACUUCUUUAUUAUUUUCUCUCUCAAGUACCAUUCAUUGGAGUGAUUAUUUUUAUUGGGUUUAAUUUCUUUGUGAGAGUGUCACUACUUCCAGUGAGAUUUUGGAGUUUGACAUGUCAUUCUUGAAAGUAGCUAUGACAAAGUCUACUGGGCUGAUUCAUGUGGAUGGUUGAUGUGGGUGUGAUGUUGCUUUAGACUGGAGAUAAUGCUUAUACUUUUAUUUGAUUGCUAUCAUUAGUCUGAUUGAAUAAACAAGAGUGUUUAAAAAAAAAUUGUGUUUGAAUUUUGUUUUCGCUUUAUUUACUAGGGACUAGCAAUAAUCUGGUUGGGGGGUGUGUUGAGUGUUAGAAAAUGUAUAUUUAUAAAGGAGAAAAUCGUUAUUUUACAUUUCAAGUCUUACUAACAACCCUUACUUUUAUGUAUUUAAGGUUCUUGUAAUUUAAUUAUGUGUGUUUUAUUUUAAUUAAGUAUUUUGUGUAUUUUAGGGGCAUCAUAGUCAUUUCACAAUAAACGAGAGAUCAAACGGCAAAACGGACAUCACUUUUGAACUCAGGACAGUCGAAAACCUUAAGAGGAGCAUAAAAGGGAAAAUGACACUAUUCACAUGUACGGUACUAUUCACGUGUACGGUACUGUCUACAUUACUGUUCACGACACUGUUCACAUAGACAGAUCGAUGACGUGGCAUUAACCGAUGAUGUGGCAUUGACUGAUGAGGUGUCACGAUCCUGUUGGACUAAAAUUCUUAUGUACUGUUGAUGGUGACGUGACAGCAUAUCAGUGGACCAAAAAUCUCGCGUACGGUACAUGCAUCACACAGGAUUAUUUUCAACCAAACCGCGUCACUGUUCAACCAGGGUCAAACCGUGUUACUGUUCAUCCGCGUGGUCAAACCGCGUACUGUUGACUGAUGACGUGGCGCAAUCCUAAGCGUCCAAACUGUUUUUAAUCCGAUGGCCAUGAUUUACUCCAUGUAUCUAUAAAAAGGGGGCCUCCCCCCCUAAUUUGAUAUCUCUGAAUCCAUUUUUGGGAUCCAUUUUCUGUAAUUCCUUCUCCAUCUUGUAUUUUCUACAUAUUUUAAUAAAUUCUCAUUUUGCCCCUAGUUCAAUUAUGAGUGGCUAAUUUUCUUCAAGUUUGGGUUGAAGGUGAAGUCUCAACAUGUGUCAUGGGCUUUAUUUGGUAAAUUUAUUUUCUCUUCCCCUCUAGUUUUUUUGGAUGUUUUGACUUCUCGUCGAUAAAUAAUAAUAAUCUUGUCUAGAUACCGCCUUGGUUACACCGGCUCUCUAGUACAAGGUUAUUAUUAUUUGGCACGAUAAGCCCUUAGCACCAUAUUGAUUAGAGUGUGGUUCAUGAGGUGUGGAUUCCCCCCUCAUGAUUUAAUUGGUAUUAAUAAGGAAUAUUUAGCCCAUGGUGCAUGUUGAUACGGAUCCAGAUACCCAAAUGCUUCAUUUCAAUAGAUCUAUCUUCAAUUUAUUCUCUCCAUUUUAAUUUAAGUUUUAGAAUAUUCCAAAUCAAUUUCACCAUAAAUUCAACCACCCAUUUACAAAAUUAAUUCUACACACAAUUAAAAUCUACAUCCUCGUGGGAUCGACACUCGUCACCAUUAGUCUAUUCUACAAUAGAUUUGUGCACUUGCGAGUUCAAUAAAACUUACACAACAAGUUUUUGGCGCCGUUGCUGGGGAGGUAAGUAAUUUUAAUUCAUAGAAUUAAUUUUUGUGAAUAAUUUCUUUUAUUUGUUUUCUUGUAUUUUUUUAUAAAAAGAAAAAAGAAAAAAAAAAGUGAAUCCGCAUUUAGAGGUUAGUAUUUCUUUUCUUUUUCUCUUCUUUAAAUUUAUGUAAUUUAAUUUUCAAGUUAUUUUUUUUUCUUUGUACUUCUUGUUUAUCUUACUAAUUCUUUUUAGUUAAUUUAUUUCACGUAUUUUUUUUGUGUAUUUUUAUAGUAAGGUUGUAAUAGCGCAAUAAGGUUAGUAUCGUAAUUUCUCCUUCCUCUUUAUUUUAUUUGUUUUGUUCCUAUUUAUUUUUGUGUUUCUUGCAUGCAUGGUCGUAGGUCAUUAUUAUCUAAUCUUGAACCUAUAGACCUUGAACUCGAAAAAACACUUCGCACACACAAACAAUUUAAAAAUAAAAUGGAUUUGCAACCACAUGAGAGGUCAUUUAAGGACUAUUUCAGUCCCUUAGCUAAUUUGAGCACAUCAUGCAUAAGAUACCCAAAUGUAGCUGCUAGGAGUUUUGAGUUAAAACCUAGUGUGCUAAAUUGUUUCCCAACAUUCUAUGGCUUAGAAAAUGAGGACCCAUAUAAUCAUCUGAAUGAUUUUCAUGCUAUUUGUCAAACUUUUAAAUACGAGAAUUUUUCAGACGAUGAUGUUAAACUCAGAUUAUUCCCAUUUUCUUUAAAAGAUAGAGCUUGUUCAUUGCUUAAUACAUUGCCUGCUAAUAGCAUUGCAUCAUGGGAACAAAUGGUAACAAAAUUUUUGAAUAAAUAUUUCCCAGUGCAUAAAACCAAUGCUAUUCGCAGGGAAAUUUCAGAGUUUACACAGAGAGAAGACGAGCAAUUUUUCGAAACAUGGGAGCGAUUCAAUGGGCUACUCUUGAAGUGUCCACAUCAUGGGUACGAAGAAUGGCACAAAUGCCAAUACUUUUUGGAGGGAUUAUUGCCGAAUGUGCAAGAAUGGCUAAUGGCAACAAGUGGAGGAGAGCUAAUGUGAAAAAGUGCAACAGAAAUUUGGGAAUUCUUCCAACGGCAAGCGGAUAAUUCCCAACAACGGAGUCAAUCACUCAGGAAUACUAGAAGAAUUAAGGGAGUAAAUGAGGUUCACAUUGGCGAGUCAAGUUCAGAAAUUAAAGAAGUCAAAGCAGUAAUUGAAGGCCUCUCUCGACAAAUAGCAUUGUUAUAAACUGCUAAAUCAACAGAGCCACAUAACCAUGACUCAUACUCAGAUCAAGCUAAUGCCAUAGGUGUAAUGAGAAAACCAUCGAAUUACAACCCAUACUCCAACACAUAUAACCCUGGAUGAAGAGACCACCCCAAUUUUUCAUGUCUCAAGGAUUUCAACAGAAUGGACCAGCAGCUCCAACAACACCAAAUCCACAAAAUCCUCAAGCCUCUCAGCCCCCAUUUAGACCAUUCAAUCAGAACUAGAACUACUCUCAACCCAGACCAUGGGAGGAUUCAUUCCAGAAUCUCAAGAAUCUUACUCACUCUACGAUUGAGCAACAGAACCGCACCAUUGAUGGACUACGAAAUGAGUUGAGAGCAGGCUUUAACUCACAAGCUCAAUCAGUUUCAAGCCUCGAGAAGAUGGUGGGACAAUUUGCUUCUUCAGUUCAGACCUUGGCAAUGACUGUUGAGAAAGGCAAGUUUCCAAGUCAACCAGUGCCUAAUCCUAAAGGAGUACAUGAAGCAAGUACCAGUUCACCAUAGCAGCAUGGAGAGGUCAAAGCAGUCAUGACCUUGCAAAAAUGAAAAGAAGUCGACAAUAAAGUGGAGAUGCCGGUGACAAACAAAAAUCAAAUUGUACCUGUGAAUGUUGAGGACUCACCAUCGGAAGAGAAAAAAGAAACCAACCCACGAGAAUAUGUUCCCAAAGCUCCAUUUCCUCAGAGGUUAGGUAAAGGAAAGAAGGGAAAAUCCACAGGUGAAAUUCUUGAAAUCUUUAAACAGAUAAGUGUUAACAUCCCUUUGCUCAAUGCUAUAAAACAAGUUCCAUCUUAUGCCAUGUUUCUUAAAGACCUUUGUACUAAAAAGAGAAACAUUCAUGUUCAAAAGAAGGCAUUUUUAACAGAAAAUGUUAGUUCUAUACUCCAACAUAAAAUUCCUCUAAAAUGCAAAGAUCCAGGUUCCCCCACUAUCUCAUGUAGCAUAGGGAACCACACAAUUGAGAAUACUUUGUUGGAUUUAGGAGCUAGUGUAAAUCUGUUGCCUUACUCAGUAUUUUUGAAACUUGGACUUAGAGAAUUACACCCAACUCCAGUGGUGUUACAGCUUGCAGAUCGGUCCACGAAAAUACAUCGUGGUAUUGUGGAGGACUUGCUUAUCCAGGUAGACAAGUUUUAUUUUCCUGUUGAUUUCAUUGUAAUUGACACUCAACCAAUACAGGAUUCAAGGAAGUAUAUCCCCAUUAUUCUAGGCCGACCUUUCUUGGCAACUGCGGAUGCUCACAUUCAAUGCAGGACUGGAAAUAUGCAGUUGUCCUUCGACCACAUGACUAUGGAGCUGAACAUCUUCAACAUUGCCAAACAACCUCAUAAUGCAGAUGAUGAAAUUUCAAGAUUGAUUUCAUACAAUCUUCAAGAUUGAUUUCAUACAAUAUUCUUAUUUAUUAAUAUGAGAUGGCUCUGAUACCAAUUGUUGGAGAAAAAUCAAUUUUUAAAAUUUUAUAAAAACUUUUAGGAUUGCUCUCAUACAAUAUAUAAGAAUUUGUAAUCUAGAAAUUGUACCUUGAAAAUUCGAUUUGGCUUUUUCCGCUUAAUUGAUUUAGGCUUCCAGAUCACGAUCAGUCACCAUCACUCUUGUUAGAUCACGAUCCGCCACCAUAUAAUCUUGCAGGCUAUGACUCAAGUUUGAUUUGCACUUGACGUGUGGGCGCCUUUAUCACCACUAAAAGCAACUAGUACGAGAAAAUUUUUCUCUCAACAAUAGAGAGAAAAAUCUUUUUCUCUGAUCUGUAUAAAGUGGUUGCUCUCUUUCUUUUGGGAGAAAAUAAGUCCUUUUAUAUCACUAUCUAGUGGAAACCCUAGCCUCCAUUUUUUAUAUUAUUUAAUUCUAUUAAAUCAAGUUUGAUUUAAAUUAAAAAUAAUAAACCAAAACUAACGUUACUUCUUUCUUGUCAUAGGGGCCCACCUUAUAAAAUAACACAAGACCCCUUAGACACAAGUACAUUACAUGGAGCCUCCCACUAAAUAAUAUAUUUAGACUUUUAACCCAAAUCGCUAGUUAUCUUGCUUAUUAAUCUAGUAGUAGCGCAGUCAAUUAAAUGAGCUAACCCGGGGAUAAUUUGGGAACAUACAAUAGUGGCUAUAAUAAUUAGGCAUGUAAUUAAACUAACCCAAUUAUUUAAUUCCAAAUCUACUCUACUAAAAGAUUGGAACUGACCUCCAUAAUUGUAUACUCGAAUAAUAAUUCGUCCCAAGCCACAUUGAUUUCUUUACUGCUCAAUCCUUUGUACCACAUCGUUAAUUAAAUCGAUGUCUCAAUUGUCCAAUCAAUUUAAUUACAUCUUGUUCCUUGAUACUUACUGUUUUCUCUAAUGAUCAUUUUCAACAUACUAAAUAUGUUGACACACUCUGGCCAGAGAAUUCUAUAAUCAAGUACCGAAAACCCAUCAAGAGAUGUGUUGUAAAAAUUCUAUAGUGUUAAUUUAUAACUCCAAUACUCAUAAUUGCUCCCACCAAGAUACCGGGUAAUCUUGACCACAAUUGUGUGUCGUGCCCAUUGGUAACUCAAAUAUAAUAACAAUUAUAAUCAUAAAAUCAUAACUAACUCAAGCUUAAGAUUAUAGUAAAAUCAAUGCCUAUGAGAUUUAAUAAGUUUGACAGUCAUUUCAAGGUUAAUUAAAUCUCAUAUGUGAUCCAACUCAAUGUAGUCAAACUACAUCAGUAAAUUCAUAUAUGAUUAAUAUAUAUCAUUCAAUGAAUUUACUACAGUCUAAACAUAAAUAGAGCGUCCAACUCUAUUUAUCAACUGUGAACUAAAUUUAUUUAAUCAUAAGAUAACUGGUAUUUAUGUCUUCUGUGAAUCUAUAUGAUGAUCACAUAAAUACAUAUAGUAUGAUUAAACGGACCUUAUUCAAUAUAUAUUUAUGCAAUUGAAAAUAUCCCAAAUAUUUUAUUAAUCAAAAAAUAAAUUAAUAUGCUUUAAAAGAGCAUAUAAUCCCAACACCAACUCCUGAAUCGAAGGCUCCACAAGAGAACUUGCUAUCGUUGUCGCUUUUGCUGCCGUAGUUUGCGAUUCUUUUUAUCCAAACUCUUACGAUUAAACAAGACCACACAAAAUUUUCAAAUAUUGAAGUAAAGGAUAACUUUUUUUAUUGGGGUCAUCUUAAAAAUAUUGUUGUAAAUAGUAAAUAAGAAUUUUUACAUUAAUUGAUAAAAUGGACAACUUAUUAGCUACGAGUUACAAAAGCCAAUAACUCCCUGAGGAAGAGGGAAGUGAAGGAGAGUCUAUUAAUUUAUAGGGAACUGCUAAUUUGGAGGUGCUCUUAAGUUAGAGUCUCUUCUAUAACCAUUUGAUCUAAAGUUGAAAUGAGUGUUGGUUCUUUCAAAUUUAUAUCUAGUGGCUGCAAUGGAUGCUCUAAGUUAGAGCAUAUCCAACAUAGUUGGACCCUAAUUUAUAAUUUUUUUGACUUUACAUUUUUAGGAUGGACUUUAAUUCAAAUAUGUCGAGUUGGGUCUCUAAAGAUAUGUUAGGUUUUAUUUAUUAUAAAAGCCUACAAGUUUAAUUCACACUCAAAAGAUUGCUCAAGAAUUGAGUAUUAUCUCAAGGUUUAUAUUAUAGCCCAGUAAUUUUUUUCAGCCAAUGGCCUAAUGUUGGAUAAUUUCAUCAAAACUUCAUGUCGUAUGCAAACCGUUCUUUUCACAUAGUCCUUGUCUGAUGAAAAGGUAGUGUGAGCCUACUUUUGUAUGAUUUUGACUUUGAUACUAUACAAAAGCUGAUGGUCCUAUCUUAUACUCAAACUAAUUCAAGGGUUGAGGUUGAAUAAUCCAAUAAAUAUUUUGAGCCAAUGUGUAAUUAAAUCCUUAAAAUUUAUCAAUAUUUAUACUUUACUCUUUUCAUAACAAUAUCUUGAAAAAGGUUGGAUAAAAGUACAUUUAUCCAAUAAAUGUACUUUUAGUUUAUGAAUUUUUUUUUAAUUAAAAGUGAUAGACAAAUAAGACAAUAUUUAUAAUUACAAAUUUGGAAUACAAACUCAACUAACAUAACAUACAACACAUUAUAUUCUCUCACACUCGCUCCACAAAAUAGAAUAAUAAAUAUUUUGAGGUUGAAUAAUCCAAUAAUCCAAUAAAUAUUUUGAGCCAAUGUGUAAUUAAAUCCUUAAAAUUUAUCAAUAUUUAUACUUUACUCUUUUCAUAACAAUAUCUUGAAAAAGAAAAAAGAAAAACAUGUCUUGGAAUAACCAAAUUACACAUUUCAUUUUUGUCAGUUUUGUCGAUAUAUCGGGUGGAAAGUAAAUGCAACACUCAAGCUUUUUUUGAAUUUGGAUGGUUGAGCAAACUUUUUCGGCCUAAAGGAUAUAUACUUCAGGUUUGCACGCGGCUUGAUUUGUUUGUUGGAAUUUUAUUGGACCUUGAUCCGUUACAUGAUAAUGUAAGUUAUAUCAGCUAUAGAAUUAAAUAAAACAAGUCAUAAGUGUAGUCUACCUGAUAUAACUUUGUACUUGUCUCGUGCAAUUGACAUAACUUACAUCAUUAUCUAAGGGAUUUCUUACUUUUUAUUGAUAUUUUAAAAUAUUAAUGUCUCACAUUGGAGGAAAGUGAGUAAUUUUUUUUUCGUUUAAUUUGAAAUUAGACAUCUAUUAUAUUUAAUUACAAAUUAGAGUUAAAUAAAUUAAAUUUAGCUGUGAUUUUAAUUAUUUAAAUUGAAUUAAAUUAUAAGACACAUAGAUGAUUAAUUCAAAUUAAAUUAGAAAAAAGACUGUAGAGUGUUUUUCUAUAAAAGAAUUGACUACUAAACAAUGAAGAAAGAAGACAACAGUCCGAUUAAUCUAUUUACCGCUCUUUACUUAUAUAUCUCAUAUUUUUUCAUCAAUUCACUUUUGCUUUUUCAAACUAUGUUGGAUAUUUGAUUCAACUUUUCAAUAGAAGCUGAAAGGAUCAAAGGAAAAAAAAAACACGAGUGGAAGAAAAAUAAAAAUGAAAUAGAAGUUGUCUUAACAUUAUAAGGUUUUCGCAUGAAACAGCACCAUGUGUUAUACAAUUCAAUUAGUAUGACUUUCAAGGGACCAUCACAAACAUCAUCUUUUCAGAAGGAAAAUUGAAAACUGUGUCAUUUUCCAAACUUUCCAGGAAAAAAUCUUAAUUUUCUGGGCCAAUAAAAAGAAGCCCCGUUUGUUGUUUUGGGGAAUAUUCCCCCAGAAUAAAAGGUGGGGAGCAGCUGCCCCAAACGCAUGCAUAAUCACUUCAAGUCAUCGUACCACAAUCUCAAUUAUAGAUUCAAAAUCAGGUUCUAUGACAACAAUUGAAGCUGCAGAUAUAUAUAGAUCCACAAAGAAACAUAGAAUACACACAUAAUUUAUUAUGUAAUUUUAUUUUAAUUUUUCUACUAGUUAUAUUUUACACACAAAUACAGGUUGUACAACUCCGUAGACUUAUUUAACUUUUAUCCAUUGAAAUACUCACAGCCCAACAAGUGCUAAACACAAUCUCACAGAGUUCAUAAGUUCACAACUUUACUAAUUCACUUAUUUUAUCAGAAAGGACUCCAUAUAAUCUCCUUAUAUAACUGGAAGCAAUAAACAAAUUUUAACUGCCCUGAUUUUGAAUUCUCAAGAAAUCAACAAAUGACUUUCCGCGCAGCUCGCUUGAAAAAAAUAUUUUCAAGUGAUCUACCACACUUAUCCGCUUAAAUAAUGCCGGAGUCUUUGGAGCAAUAAGACUUGUUGCCGGACCCAAUUCUCCAUCUAAUUUUAGGCUGUAAAAUGUAGCUAAAGAUAAUCUUUCCUUCACUGAGUUUACAGUUGCGCGAUGUUCAAUACUAGGAUAAGUUCCAUUGGUUAAUAUCUACAAGAUCAUAAAGAAAUAAAAAUAAAUAAAUAAAAAAUGAGAAAGUAUAAAAAAGAGGAGGACAAAAAUAGAUGAAACCAGUUAUCAACUAUAUAUCAUAUGCUAACAAGUAACAACAUAAUUAUUUUUGCAAGCAACUUGUUAUCAAUUAUUUUUUGUUAUGAAUUUGGUGUGUGUCUAUUUUCUAUCAUUAAUACGAUAAUCCUAUUCUAUUUAUUAAUGAAAGAUAUGUCAGAUGUGACAUAACAUUACUAGAGAUACAAACUAGGGAGGGAUGUAGCAUUACUGAUCAAUGGUUAUAGGCUAUAGAAAAUGACAAGUGUUACCUCUAAAACGUCACCAAUGUUGACUACAAAGGCAUCCGGAAGGGGUUUAACAGCAACCCAUUUUCCAUCUUUCUUAAUUUGGAGACCAUCCAUCUCAUUGAUUUGGAGGAGGACGGUGAGUGCGGAGGCAUCACAAUGAGAAUUAUGGCCGACAACUUUUUCUGGUUGCAGACAAGGAGGAUAAUAAUUCAUCCUGAAUGCUUGCAUCCCGUUUUCAAACAACUCUUCCAUAUCAUUGGGAUCCAUUCUUAGAGCUUUAGCCAUUUGGUCAAGGAUUUUCAGGGUAAGAUUUUUAAUUUCUGUUGAGUAAACUUCCAAGUCAUCUCUGCAUGGAAAUAACAAUAUAUAGUGCAGUAAUUAUCAUAAGAUUGAACAUACUAUAUAGCAAAACUCUACGCUUUGAAUUUAGAACCUGAAUGGAAGAGGCAACUUAGGGAACAAGCGGGGUUUCCUCAGAUGAGUUGGGAGAGUGACCAUAGUAAAGCCGUAUCCCCAAUCAAGCUUCUGCUCUUCAGACGCAAUAAAGUGCUGCCCAAAUCCCUCAUUAUCUCCUGGUUGUUGCCAAAACUUCUUUUUCUCAUCAAUUGGAAGAUUAAAGAAGUCUUGAAUCUCUGCUUUCACUUUCUCCACCAAUGAACUGCUAACUCCAUGAUUAAUCAACUGCAUAUAUGCAAAUUAAAGCAAGAUGUUCUUUCCAUACAUCGUUCAUAUAGGAAAUAUAAAGCUCAGGAAACAAAAGAUUUUAAUGGAAAAUGCUAAAGAAACUGAGAGCUGAUAAAACGCUCACAAAAACAAUAAUAACCUAGUGUCGGUUUUCUUUAUUUGCACUCGAGUGAGUAUUUUUAUUAUCUGAAUAUCACAGCUCAAUUAUUGUGUACCUGAAAGAAACCCCACUCUUUACAUGUAUUGUCAAGCUUCUCAAGCUCUGAGUCAUCUCCAGAGAGCAACCUGUGCAUGUCGAUAACUGGAAGUUGUUGUGUUGAAGUAUCGUCGUUGCGAAUCAAGGGAUGGUCUAUCUCAGGGCGAACGUAACGUGGCGGAACAGUGGUCAGUGGCUGAUUAUUUGCCAGGUCCAGAAUCGAAGGCUCCACGAGAGAACUCCCAAUCACUGUUGCUUUUGCCUCCAUAUUGUGUAGAUUUAAAUUACCUUUUUGUUUUCUUCCACUCUUCUGCAGACUCAGCUGGUUCGUGUUUUAACAAGAAACUCGUAUAUAUAUAGUCCUCUGGAUGUACUGUACUGUAAUUGUGUGCAAUAAAAUAUUAAUUUUAUUAUGAAAACUCGAGGAAUCUCGACAUUUAUGCAUAUGUUAAAGGACACUGAUAUAUUAACACCAAUGCAACAUUAGGACGCCAAAUAUAAUCGUAGGAUGAAAUUAUUUGCACUCGAAUUUUAUUUUAGAAACUAUUUUAUUCUCUGCAUUUAUUUAAUAAAUUUUAAGAAUUAAUUUUUAUUCUACCAUUCUUUUAAAUAUCAAAACAAUCCUUUUUUUUAAUAUUUUACAAUUAUCUCACACAAUUUAAUUAUUUAUCAAGAGAAAAAAAAAACUUCAUUCUAUACAAUUAUAUUAUUUUUAAUGUUAAAAUCAAAACCAAAUUAAUUGGCUAGAAUAGCUCCUUGAACAAUCCAACUAUUCUCUGGCACAGUUAGGUACUCCAAAUCAACUCCAUCGUGGAGCGAACAAUGAAAUAUUAAGAAAAGUCUCACAUAGUAGUAAACAAUAAGAAUAAAAAGAGAGUAAAUAGAAUAACACAUAAUAUUUACGUGGUUUGAUUUCGUUAGACCUAUAUCCAUGGGGACAAACACACACAUGCAGAAUUUAUUAAUCACCAAAGAUUUUACAAUGAAAGUACAGGAGAUUAGCGAGCUUACAAUUUCUCCCUCUCCCCCGAAAACUAUUCAUCUAGUUAUCUUAAAUGUUUCUAACCCCCCUACCACUUUGGUUUGCAGCUGCCCCUUGGCCUACCUCCUUCGGCUCCUAGUUGUACCUUGGCCUGCCUCCUGGCUGCCCGUUUGGCUACCUUAGCCCUUUCAGAUUCACUUUUGGAGUAACUCCCUCAUUGAUGUAAAUACCUAAAUAGCUACGAUUGUAAUAUCUAUCAUCAUGGUUAGUUUUCCAACCAUUAAGGGCUCGGGUAGUUAUCUAAUCAUUAUGGGCAGUUCCAACCACGGGUCCGGCUAUGUUGCAACUGUGGUACCGUGCCACAGUUGCAACCAGCCAUUGGAUGAGGGAUGCAACAGUGGAUCCAAAUGGAUCCAAUGACUGGUUGCAAUUGUAACACAGUACCACAGUUGUAAUAUAGCCAAGUCCUCCAUUGGAAGCAGAUCAAUUGGAUUUUUAAUCCACUGGCACAUAGUGGUUAAAUAAAUGUUGCAAAAGUUAUUUAGGGAAGCUAGAAUUUAAGACUAUAAUCUUCUAGUUAAAAAGAUAUUCAAAUCUCUCUUUAACAAAAUAUCACUCUCUUCUCUUUUAAAUGAAAUAAGUUUUCUUAAAAGAGAAUUAUUUUUUUUAUGUAUACUAGAGAGUUACGGAAUAGGUUGUAUUUUUAAUUAAUAAUCUUCGAGCAACAGUAAUAUGAAGCUGAUUUGUUUUUCUUUUUUCUUUUUUUUUCCGUUUCGGAACUUGAAUUUUUUGAAAUUUUUAAAAACAAAAUAAUGUUACUUGAGAAUAGCGACUCUCAUACUCCCAACUCAAUCCGUUCGCAAAUUCAUAUCCAUACAUGCAAAUGGGACCGUAUCUCUGUAGCAUGAGAGUCAAAAUCCGCAAUAAACGAAAGGUUCCAGAAUUCAAGGCUCGUGCUCUGCUUCCCACUACUUUUUGCUCGUCUUUGGUAUUGGAAAAGUAAAAAGGUAAACAACCGCUAGGGAUGGGAAUUACACUCCACCCAUAAAAAUCCUCUCCUUGCCAAAUAAAGCUUUAUCGUCCUUCUUCGCCGGCCCCCACAAGUGGAUGAUAAGUUGAGGCGGCUCCAAAUUCCAACUUGGCGUUUCCCCUUUUUUAUUCAAACGGUCAAAUGUUGCAAGAAAAAUAGUGGCUGCCCUUUUUGGUUUGAUCAAUGUCAUAGGUUCAGCUCAUACCAUAACAUGGCAACUAAACAUCUCUCUUAUUAGAUAGAUAAGAACUUCAUUUCAAAGAAAUUAAGUGACUCUUUUGAAAUGAUCGUGAUUGAAAUAUUUGUACCAACAAGUCAUUUUUAAUUCUUUUUUGUAGAAACUUUUAGCCUUGUACACAUAAGAUAAUAAAUAGAAUUGUUAAUACCCAGUGCAAUUAUACAUGUGUGAAUUAUUUUAAUACUUCGUUUUACUUUACUUUGUUUUUGUUAAAUGGAUGUUGCAUCCACCUUCUUGCAGCUCAUCGAUGGUCACACCCUCGGGUUUGAGAAUAGAUUUUUAAGCUUAAUAUUCGAGCUCGACAUAUCUCUUCGAUGGUUAAAUUUUGAGUUUUGUAUUUAUUUUUUUCACCGUACGUACAAUCAAUUCAACAUUGUUUUUUAACUAGGUUAUAAAGAUCAAGGAGAAGUAAGGAGAAGGAAAAAACAAGGACAGAAUUCUAAUAUGUAACGGCAGGUUUUUAGCUGUGUUUAAUAAAUAUAUCUCAUUAGCAUAUUAAUUAGAAUACGUGGUAAAAUCUCUAUAAAUUAAUAAUGUAGGGACCAUAAAAAAAUCUAUUAGUUUAAGGAGGUAUUAAUUAAUUGAUAAAUUAAUAAUUUAUAGAGUGCAUAUAUAAUUUAAUGGAUAUACAUUUAAUCAACUAAAACUACAUUGUAUUUAACUAAUCUAAGCAAAAUUUGGAGAAAUAGUCAUGCAAACCCCAAAGUUUUAAAAAAGGACACGAAGAAUUUUUUUUUUAUUAUAAUAUCCUUUGAAUAUAGUAGCUAAUAAACUAACUUUAAAUUUUAUUUAUAUAUACAAAUAUAAUAUAAAUAGUAUAAUCUGUCUAGAGACUAAUAAAAUUAAAAUAUUUUUAAUAAUUUAAGUAAUUUCAAAUGUGUAAAUUACUAUAUUUAUUUUAAUAAUAUAUUUGCAUUUAUUAUGAAGAUUUUAAGUAAGUCUUUGUGUUAAAUAGAUUUUACAAUUAAUAAGAUAUAUCAAAUAUUAGUAAUAUUAAAAUAAUUAUUUUACAUAAUAUACAAAAUAAUUCAAAUCCUAACAUAUUUAUUUUAAUAUUAUGGUUCUAUGUAUUAUAUAAAAAACAUUUCUAAUAGAUUGUAAAAUAUUAAAAUAUUAAUACAUUUAUUUUAAUAUUAUAAAAUAUUACAGUUAAAAUUUUUUGUUAAUAGAGGUAAAGGAUAUUAUGGCCAAAAGAAAAUCCUAGCAUCCUUUAUUAAAAUGUGAAAAUUUGGGAAUAUUUGUGAUUAUUUUUUCAAAUCUUAGGAUACAAGUGUCCACUCAUUUUCUUAUUUUAAUAUUUAUUGGGUCUCUAUGUCGGAUCAGGAUUCUCUCCUGAUCUGAUCAUGUCCUGAGCAAAUAACUUAAUCUGUCCUGAACAAAUAACUCAAUCACUGAUUGAUUGUUAAUAAAUAAAAAAGUAAAAGAAGUUAAAUCUUACAUAUACACUACUACUAAAAGACACAUGGCAAAAGAUCCUUAAAAAUUCAGUAGUGCUCAGAUUAGGAGAGGAUCAUGGUCUCUCUAUGUCAUGGUUAUUUAGUCAACAAAAAAUUUUAGUUUUACACGAAUAUUAUUAUUGUGGAAUUUUUUCCAGACACAUGGUAAAGUAGCAGCUUGGAUGUCAGUUCUUUCACUUAGAAAAUUAAGGUCGUUGAUUGACCGGCAUAAAGCUUUCGUUUAUCAAUCAUGAAGUGGUCAGAUUUUCUAGAUAAAUGAUAAACAUUGCGUCCCUUCCUUUCUAUGUCGGAUCAGGAUUCUCUCCUGAUCUAAUCAUGUCCUGAGCAAAUAACUUAAUCUGUCCUGAACAAAUAACUCAAUCACUGAUUGAUUGUUAAUAAAUAAAAAAGUAAAAGAAGUUAAAUCUUACAUAUACACUACUACUAAAAGACACAUGGCAAAAGAUCCUUAAAAAUUCAGUAGUGCUCAGAUUAGGAGAGGAUCAUGGUCUCUCUAUGUCAUGGUUAUUUAGUCAACAAAAAAUUUUAGUUUUACACGAAUAUUAUUAUUGUGGAAUUUUUUCCAGACACAUGGUAAAGUAGCAGCUUGGAUGUCAGUUCUUUCACUUAGAAAAUUAAGGUCGUUGAUUGACCGGCAUAAAGCUUUCGUUUAUCAAUCAUGAAGUGGUCAGAUUUUCUAGAUAAAUGAUAAACAUUGCGUCCCUUCCUUUCUAUGUCGGAUCAGGAUUCUCUCAUGAUCUAAUCAUGUCCUGAGCAAAUAACUUAAUCUGUCCUGAACAAAUAACUCAAUCACUGAUUGAUUGUUAAUAAAUAAAAAAGUAAAAGAAGUUAAAUCUUACAUAUACACUACUACUAAAAGACACAUGGCAAAAGAUCCUUAAAAAUUCAGUAGUGCUCAGAUUAGGAGAGGAUCAUGGUCUCUCUAUGUCAUGGUUAUUUAGUCAACAAAAAAUUUUAGUUUUACACGAAUAUUAUUAUUGUGGAAUUUUUUCCAGACACAUGGUAAAGUAGCAGCUUGGAUGUCAGUUCUUUCACUUAGAAAAUUAAGGUCGUUGAUUGACCGGCAUAAAGCUUUCGUUUAUCAAUCAUGAAGUGGUCAGAUUUUCUAGAUAAAUGAUAAACACUGCGUCCCUUCCUUUGCCCAUGAAGGUCAAGAGUGCAAUCAUCCAAUAUCAACAACGUCGAAAAGGCUGCACGAAAUCGCGUUUAGCCAACAAAACUACAAACACUAACACGUAACUUUCUCGGAUACGUAAGUAGGAGUUUGAAUAUGUGUUCUUUCACUUAGAAAAAUAACUGGUGGGGUGACUGUGAAUAGCUUUCUGUUUAUCAAACUCAAUGGUGCGGUUAGAUAUAACGACACUACUACAAAAUGAGUCAAUAAUGACGGUUUUAAAAGACAUAAGAUGAUGGUUUUAAAACCGUUAUCUUAGGCCGCGACAUUAAAAGGGGUAUAUUUUUUAUGACGGUUCAUAAACCGUCAUAAAAAGUCUAUUUAUAAUGACGGUUAAUUUCUUUAACCGUCAUUAUUGGCCAAUCUCCAUUGAUUUUUAAUGAUGGUUUAAUACUUAAACCGUCAUUAAAAAAUGACAUUUAAUGACGGUUAUUUAGAAAACCGUCAUCAAAUAUAACUUUUAAUGACGGUUGUUAUAACAAAACCAUCAUUAAAAGUUAAUAUUUAAUGACGGUUUAUUUUAAAAACCGUCAUUAAAUAUUGAAAUAACAUUUAAUGACAGUUUUAAAAAUGAACAAUCAUCUUUGUUGAAGAACACUACAUUUAAUGACAGUUUUUUUCAAAUAAUCGUCAUCUUUGUUGUUGAUUUUAAAAAAAAAAAUAUGACAAUUUUAAAACCAUUUCAAGCCCCUAUUUUAAUUCUAAUUUCCUUUCAAGCUCUUUACAAUUAACUUUUAACAAAUGUUUCAUAUACAAAAAGAUAGCUCUACAAAAUGCUUUAACAAUAAUUAAACUUUAACAAUAUAUACCAGUUAGCUUUCACAUCAAAAUUCUUGCAACUCUUUAAUAUCUACUAAUGAAUCUACUAGCAACCAACAAGAUUGGCACAAUGGGAGAGCCUUUUCUGCCGUAAUCAUAGAUUUGGCAAGUCUUCAACCACCAUGUGAUCUAAACCAUAGAUUUGGCAAAACUAGGGAACUGAAGCUCUAGAUUGGACUGAGCCUUUUCUGCACUUGGGUUCAAUGGGAGAACAUUUCCCAUCAAUCACAUCCUUAUUUUUCUUAGAGCUGCAAAUUAAGCACAAAAGCAUUCAUUUAGUCAUAAAUCAAAUAUAAUUUUCUUAUUAACUCUCAAAACUCACCGUUUGGAGACUAAAUAUAAUUUUAUAGUUGUGACUUUUAAUGACGGUUUUAUUUAAAAACCGUCAUUAAAAGUAAUAGAUAUUUUAAUGACGGUUGUUAAAUAAAAUCGUCAUUAAAAGUAAUAGUUGAAUAUUUAAUGACAGUUAUAUAAUAAAACCGUCAUGAUAAAUUUUGAAUUUUUAAUGACCGUUUUUAUAAAUAACGGUCAUUCAAAAUAAGAUUGACAUUUAAUGACGGUUAUAUAAUAGAACCGUCAUUAAAAGUUUAAAAUUUACAAUGACUGUUUUUAUAAAUAACCGUCAUUAAAAGUAAUACUAUACAUUUAAUGACAGUUAUUUAACAAAACCGUCAUUGUAAAUUUCUAACUUUUAAUGACCGUUUUUAUAAAUAACCGUCAUUAAAAAUAAAAAUAUAUUUUAACAUAAUAUUUAAUGACGGUUCUAUAAUAGAACCGUCAUUAUAAAUUUCUAACUUUUAAUGACCAUUUUUAUAAAUAACCGUCAUUAAAAAUAAAAAUAUAUUUUAACAUAAUAUUUAAUGACGGUUCUAUAAUAGAACCGUCAUUAUAAAUGUUAGCUAUUAUGACGGUUUUUCUAAGAACCGUCAUCAAAUAUUUUUAAUGACGGUUAUUAAAAAUAACGGUCAUAACAUAUGGGUCAUUAUUUGGCAUUUUUGUAGUAGUGCGACUUUCAAAUCACAAUAUUCAUGAACCCCUUGCCCCUCUCUAACUCAAAAGACCAGAUUUGUAGGCAGACUUGAAGCAUUGACUUCUUUCAAAGAUUCAGUGAGUAAUCUAAACAGUACACAGUAAAGUCUUUAUAAUUUAAUAUUCAGUAAAUUAAUAAUUUUUCUUAUAUAAUAGUUUUUAGCAAUCUCACUUAGACCAAAAGACUAAGUUAAUAACAUUUUACUUGCUUUAACUAGCUAGAUUUCAAGAUGAAGGAAAUAGGGACAAAAACCUAGCUAAACACAAUAAAUAUGUAUUAAGGUGAGGGGUUGCCUAAGUUGUGGUAUGGGUUUAAAGGUGCAUCCCACAGUUGGGGUCCUCCCCAAGAUAACUCAUGGUUAAAACCAAAAAAAAAAAAGAUGAGGGGCUGCCUCAUGUAAUCGAGGUGUAUUGAUUAUUUUUUACUUUUCAUGGGACUUGAGAAAGAAAUGGAAGAGGUGAAAUCAUGGUGAGAGGCUUAGAUCUGGAUUGAGGUGAUUUUGAUACCUUGCUUAACUUGCAAAAUGGAGAAAAGAGGUUAGAGGUGGAGCUAGUAGUGGCUAGCAACCACACUCCGACACUGAAAUUAUUUUUUAGGUUAUUUUUUAAGUUGAAAACUUGCAAACUCUCAAUAAUGGUGGCUAGAGGUUGAAGAAGGGCCUCUACCUUGUAUUGUGUAUGCUUCGAAUGAGUAAGAAAAAUAAAACAUGAGUGUCUUUACAUAGCAUGCCCAGGGGUUUUGGCCACCGUGCCACCAGGCUCACUUAUAUUGGUCCUUUUGUCUCUCUGAAAAAGACACUCCUAUCCUUUGGCAUUUGUGGGCAUUCAUGCCCUUUUGGAGCACGCUUGGAGAGAAAGUUAUUUUAUUAUUUUAUAAAUUUUCCAUACAUAAAGGUAUUCGACUCUGCCGAGUGGUCCAGCAUGCCUCUACAGGGGCUGUCCCUGUAAUCGCUAGCGUGCCAAGUGAGGGCAAAUAGUCCCAACUGUUUUAAUGACCUGUUUUUGGCUUUUUGUAGGUGUAGGAGCUUGCUGCUUCCUCUUUUCCAACUAGGUAUUUCUCUUUUGAUUCCUCAUUCUCAAUCAAGGAAUCAAUCGCUUUUUCUAGCAGCAGUGGCACCAUACGUGCCUGAUAUUUUUGGAUAUUUUCUUCAGCCCUCUAUGCUGGAACCAUGACGAAAUCUGCAUUCUCCUUUAAUCCUUUGUGUAGUGGGUAUAAGCCAACCUCCUCUAUGAGACUUUCCCAUUAUUAAGCACCAUUGACACGUGGCAAUUUCUUACUGGCCUCUCAUUUCUUCCUCAACAAUACUUUUUUGAAAACUCUUAUACAAUUCUAUCUUACUAUUUAGAUAAUAUAUUACGAAUUUGCUAAAAAUACAAAUUUAGUUGUGAUAUUUUAUUAGAUAAGAUAUUAAGAACUUGGGCAAAACUAUGGUGCAACUGUGGUACCAUACCAUAACUGCAUCCAACAAUUGGAUCCAACCCAUAGUUGUCACUAUAAUUGGAUCUAAUGGCCGGGUGCAACUGUGGUAUGGUACCACAGUUACACCAUAGCUGGACCCUAAGAACUUAUGGUCCUAGGACAACAAUUGAAACUGUAGAUACAUAUAAAUUCGUCAAAGAAACACAGAAUAUAUACUAGUUGAUAUUUUAUUUCAACUUUUCUACUAGUUACAUUUUUACACUCAAAUACAGGUUAACUUUUAUCCAUUGAAGUAUACACAGCCAAACAAGCAGUAAACACAAUCCAACAGGGUUCAUAAAUUCACAACUUAAUUAAUUCACUUAUUUUAUUAGAGUGGACACCUCAUAAUCUUCUCAUGUAAUUGGAAGCAAUCAACGACUUUUAACUAUCCUGGUUUUGAAUUCUUGACAAAUCAACAAAUGACUUCCACCCUGCUUGUUUGAAAGAAAUCUUCUCAAAUGAUCUACCACACUUAGUCACUUAUCCUCUUAAACAAUGGAGGGAAACGGUGAGCAGGUUUCACGGCCACUAAUUUAAUUUGUUUUGUAAAUUAAAUAUGAUGGGUGGUUCCUUACUCAGUAUAUGCUAGAAACAACACAUAUCAUCCUUGUCUUCUUCAAAGGAAAAAAGAACAUAAGGUGGCAUUCUCAUGUGAAGUUAAAUAAAAUUCUUCAAGUUAGAAAGUUUAAAGGAAGAAGGUUCGAGACUAACCAAGAUGUCCAGAGAGGCAACCAAAAAUCGCACAUUAAAAGCUUUACCAGCUAUACAGGAUGCUGAUAUCGCAUAAACAUCUAUGAUCAGUCAAUAUUAAUGAUAAAUUUGAUCCAUAUGAUAUGAUGCAUCAGCAUUUGGAAUUUGGAUUCUAAAAGUGAAACCAAUAAGAAAAUUAGUUCCCCCUGAAAGAAGGAAUCCAAACAGGCAAAUAGACUUCUGAAGAUGCACACACAGGUUCAGCACUAAGACAAUGUGAUUGUAAAAUGAAUUUGUAAAUUGCUUUUAACGACAAUAAUGAUUAUAAACAGACUAGAAUUUCUUGCUUCUUUUCUUAGCUUCUUUUCUCUGAAGCUGGAGUUGAGAAUGCUUAAGGUCAAGAGCAAGAAUGUAAACUAACAAAAUGAUGUUUAAAAAAUUUCUGCAACUUCCUUAAACAAGGAAUACCUAUUAAACAAGAGUAUAUCACUAUCCAUGAAGUUGACAGCUGCAGCACUAACUUAAACUAUAAUGAACUAACAGUCUUCGGCGACACCGUUGACUUAACAUCCAAUCCUUCUGCAGUACGAUUAAACAAGAAAAGUAUUAUUUACCAAAUCAGCUAAACAAAAAGAAUCAUCCAAGAACACAAAUCUAAUAUAAGAACCAAAACUCAAGUCUGAUUACCACUACCAUAUUCCUAACUCUGUUACUUAGAUGUUGUGAAUAGGAUGGAAUACAAAUGAUUUUUUCCUUUUUUUUCCCGAUCUUCAGUUUUUAUUGAUUCUUAUUCACAUUCAUGAAAAGCAACUAAACAUGGAAAAAUGUGCUUCAAAGGAAACCAAGUUGAUUAUUUGAGUAUUUGGUUACAAGGUUAUCUCGCAGCAGAUACAACACCUCUCUUCUGAUGUAUUAGAAAUUAACAAACUCAUGCGAAAACUCCAUUGAUCUAAGAUCAUAAAUCAUAUUUCAUGUAAAUCAACAAAAUUACAGAUUUUCAGGAUAUACAGUAUCAAUUGCUUUAACAAUAACCAAUAGAGACACUAAUGAUAUUUAAGCCCUUCAAUCAAACUUAUAUAAAUAGAGAUUUAUCCACAGCAAGGCAAAAACAGAACCAUUAAGUCCAUGCAUAAAGACAUUCCAAGUAAAUUCCCAUUUUCCGUGUUAAAUUCUACUAGAUUAAUCAUUUGGACUUGUAUCCAUGUUACAGAAUAAUGUUUGACAAAGUCAUGAUACCAAAUCAUUUGUUCUUCCACACAAAACAAUGCAAAUGUAACACCCAAUAAAUAAAAAAUGCCGAAACUACGAACUCCCAAAGAAAGAGAACAUUACACGUUGAACUAAAGAUAAGCAAUUAUGUUGCUUUAUUCCACAUACCUCUCAAACCCAGGUCUUAAAUCCGGAAGAUUCAUUUCUUCUUCAUACAAAUUCAAUAACUGAGGAACUUUCACCUGAAAUUUAGUUACAUAGCUCCCCUUAAAUUGUGUCUCCCCAAGUACUAAGAGAGAGCAUGGACAUAAAUCCUUCUUGAUCAAUCCCUUGGAUAGCAGAACUUGAACAACAGAACACCUAGGAACAAUCCUUUUCUCUAGGCUAUAUAGGAGAAUUUCUGGUCUUUUUGCAAUAUCUUGUGAUAACCAACCCAUUUUGUUAACAAAGAAGUCCAUAGUUUUUGUAAUCUUCUCCUCAGAUAUUCGCAUACAGUAAGGAUGCCUUCUAAAUGCAUUAAGAGUCUCAUCUUUGGACCAACCCCACCUCCGAUAAACCUCAAUCUUGGAUUCCCAGUUCAAUGUUGUCAUUUGACCAAUCACUUCGAUAGCUUUAAGAAACAUUCCCCGCAAGGGGUUAAAUCCCAUUGCCUUAACCUUAUUGACAAUCUCGCAGAACUUAGAAGGUAUAAUGGAUGCUCCACAUGGAUUACUAAUUACAAAAUUGGAAAUGUUAGAUGCAGGUACACCAAUCUCUCUCAAAAAUGCAAUAUUUGGUGCUAAAUUACUAUUAAAAUCGCGUAGGAAUGCCCAUUUCAUGCACUUCAUCACUCUAACAACAACUUCAUCGAGAACAACUAUAUUCUUGAGGAAAUUGUAAUUCGGACUAAGACGAUUCUUCAAACUCACAGCUAACAGAUGUGGGGUGGAUGAUAUCAGCUUUGGAAGGUCGUCACUCAAAACUCCAAUAGAACCGAAAAACUCAAUCUUGGGCAAAAGAUUCCUUUCACAAUUAAGUGCAAUGAUUUGGGGGCAUACUCUCACAACUUUAGAGAUUUGCAAAUUAGUGAAACCAUGGUUCCCGAGAAGCCUAAGCACUGAGUCUGCUCCUUCUGUGUUCUUGAUACUGACUUUCUUAGAAGCAGCUAAAGCAGAUUUUGCUGACAACCCACAUGAGUUCAUGAAAUAGGAGACCAUAGAGGACCGUUUUUGUCCAUUUUCUUUAGUUUCUACUGAUCUAUUCUCUAAAGGCAAAGAUGAAGAAAUCAACCUAACAAUAAAAACUAAGUUUUGUACAAAACCCAGAUGGGUCUUUGAGUUUGUGAGACCAAAAUCUUUAUGAGAAACUAUUGUUCUUUGCAUUCUCCUAGGAAAAAGAAACAAUUAUGAAUGAUUAAAGCUCAUUGCAGAAACAAAAGAAGCAAACCUUGUGCAAUAAUAACACGAUGAAGCUGUGAAUAGAGCCAUCAUCCCUCAAAAUAGUGAGCCACCAUAUUCGUGAUGUUCUAUCUUUUUGCCAGCCACCCCCAGUUCUCCUUCACUGCGAUGCAGGCGCUCUGUUUGAUUGCACUUUUAUUGUUUUUCAUUUUUUACUUUUUAACUUCUGAAAGUUAAAGUACAAACGACAUGUCAUCCAUUAACAUUUUCCGAUAUGCCGUUGAACUUGAACAGAAUAAAAAAUCAUUGCGCCACCACUAUUUAUUCACAUAACACUAAAACGUCCACAUAUUUUUCAAACUCAUCUAUCGUCCCCCAGUUUCGUUGACCAUAGUAAACUGUAAUUAAAGAUUGUUUCAAAAAAUUUAAAAAAAAAAAAAGCAUUUAUCAGUAAGUCAAUUUAUUUUAACAGUGGAUUUAAUUUGAUGACCUAGAGAGAAGAGACAAUUUAACAUUUAUUUAUAAAAGAAUCAUAAAACAAAGUAUUUUCAAAGAAUUUUUUAUGGGUUAAGUUCGAUUGUAGUUCAACCUAACAACCAAGCAAGUUUAUCCUCGAGUUAAAACUAAUAAUUUCGUAUAUCGAACUAAUAGCAAAGUCAAUAGUUAAAUUAAAACCAGCCUAUACACACACACAACUGAUUAGUUAUUUCAAGUUUUGAAACUUAAAACUUGAUGAGGUGAAAAUUAUUAAUUAAAAUUGUUUACGGUUUGUCUUUGUUUUUUAUAUAAGAAAAUUUGAUUAAAAAAAAAAAGAUUAGCAAACUAUUUUAUAUUUUUUAAUUUAUAGAGAUGGUUAGUAAACUUAAGAGAUAUAGAGGAAAAAUAAAAAAUAAAUUAUUUAUAAAUUAAAUGAGAUUAUUUAUUUUAAUCGGAGGCUCAAAUAAUAUUUUUAAAUAUCAAUGGUUCUAAUAGUGUUCACAUUAGUCAAAUGUAAAAAUGACUUUAAAUAUCGGUACAUAUUAAAUUUAGAGUCAUAUUUGUAAUUUUUGUAAAUUACGGGGAUAACUUGAUAAUUAUCUUCUCUAGGGAACUCUGGGUGAAUGCUUGGCUUUACAAGAUCACUCAUUCCUGAGCCUGAAAACAUUUCUCAGCCUUUUCUAUUAUCUUCUGCUUACAACUCCCGCCACCGCAGCCGCUAUCUCAAUUACCAAGAAGGUCAGUGCUAGGGUUUCCGCAGAAAAAUUAUUUAUUUUUUCCCUGAUGCAGUCAUUUCAAAUUAUCGUGAAAUUAUAAAACAAAAAUACCAGGGCUUGUAUAAAAAUGGUUCUUAUUGUUUAUUCGACCAAACAGCGAUAUGGUGACUGACACGAAUGUGUUUUUAUUGUCUGAGUCUUCUUUUUUAUUAUUAUUAGAUUUAGGUAGCAUUUGGGCCUGAGAAUGUGCCUUCUUUAGAAAGCACUUUUGACUAAAAGCUCUUGGUAGCGCUUCUUCGGGAAAGCAGUUUUACAGCUGCUUUGUCAACUGUUGUUUCAAAUGCAAAUUGAAACACAUUCGUGUUAGUGAUGUGCCCCGGCAUGGUUCUGCUUCGAUCUUCAUUUUGCAAGGUUUUGUUCUGUUCUAUAAAACAAAUGAAUUGGUCUCAUCAGAUGGUAUGCAUUUUAAUUGAAAGGUGAAAAAAGUAAAGAAAUUGAAACAAUGUAUGAGAAUCUUUGAGUGUUUUUGUUAUAAAACGUAGUUCUUGAUCGCCUUCCAUUGUGUCAAUGCUUGUUCAUUUAUAGAAAUUUUUUACCAUGAUUUGAAAUUCCGAAGAUGGAUUCAUAGUUUAUAUUGGAAGAUUGAAUGUUGAAACAGCCUAAAUUUAUCCACCAAGUCAUUUACCGAUUAGAAACUAAACAUUCGGGUAUUGACAACCCUGUCUAGAAAUUUUGCAGAGCAAAAGUCUUCAACGAGUCUCAGCAUUGACUAUCGUAGGCCAUGCAGCUUAUUUUCAUUUUCCUUGUUAUCUUUAAUUUGGGUGAUUGAAAUUUACGAGUCAAAUGUAUAUAAAAAUUGUCAAUUUUAUUAAAAUGUUCUGUCAAUUUCUUAAUCUUGAAUUUGAGUGACUGAAUUUUUUAAUUGAUAUGUCUAUAAUAAUGUUUUUUUUAAUUUUACAGAUAUGAGUUCAUCUACUGAUAGUGAUGAUGAUUUAAUUGAUUUGAUUACAUUACCGAUAAUUAUGUAUCAAUAUCUCAACUAUAUGGUCGAGGAAUCAUGUAGUACUGAUGACGACACAUCUUACGGCAGCACUGUUGUUUCUGCACCACAGAAAAAGAGACAAAAAGUUUCAAAAGGAGUCGGAGUUGCUCAAAAUUCUUCCCGUAGAGCUGUUGUUUCUACCCAAGUAAAAAAGACAGAACUUCUUUCUCAAGGAGUUGGAGUUGGUGAUGCUGCGUCACGUAAUAUUGCUGUUUCUACACGAGGAAAAAAGAAAGAAAGCACUUCUUCCCCUAAUGAUGUUGUUGCCACACAAGAGCAAAAGAGAGAAUUUGUUUUAAAAGGAGUUGGGGUUCACAAUUCUUCUCGCAAUGCUGUUGUUUCUACACAAGAAAAAUUGAAAGAUGUUUCUGAAGGAGUUGGAAUUGCUGACACUUCUUCACAUAAUGCUGUUGUUUCUGCACAAGGGAAAAAAAGACUACAAGUUUCAGAAGAAGCUGAACUUAAAGUAUCUCAACAAUUAGAUGUUCUUUUAGAUGCUGUAGCAAAGAAGAGUUUUAAGGGGAUAGAUAAGCCGGGUUGUAGCAUUGGGGAAGUGAUGCAAAUGGUAGAGGGGAUGCCCGAAAUUGUUGAGAACGAUGAGCUAUUCAUGAAAGCUGCUGAUAUCUUAACUGAAAGGCAGAACAGAGAGAUGUUUGUUGCACUAAGGGAGAAUAACAGGCAAAUUAUGUGGCUUAAGCAUAAGAAAGUCUGAUGCCACAGCUCUGUCAAUUGUUGACUUGGUUAUAGGAUCAGUGUGUUCCGUUACGUCAGAUUUAUUUCUAGUCUACAAAUGGUGUCAGGUUUUUUUUGGGUUCCUAUCCCGUACAUCAAGUAUGUGAAUAGAUGGUUAUCCUUUUGGUAUAUUACUUGAGGUCUAUAAUCUCAUUUCAAACUCUAUUAUGCUCAUGCCAUUAUGUAAGUGCAGGUUUCCUAGUAUAGCUCUUGCAUAUAUUGAUGGAAUUUUAGUUAGAAAUUUCUUCUCGAUCACCUUGUUACCUGGUAAUGACACUAUUAGGUUACAUAAUCAAUUAAUCAUCUUAGUCAUUGAUCUCUUUAAACCUUAAUCGUCGGCUUCUGCUUCCGAUGCUAAUGCAAGUUCCCAUCUGGGUUAAUAUUAUUCUGUUUCUGAAGGUAUGGAACUCCUUUGAGUUUUGCUUCU
rnacentral:lncRNA from 1 species